UUCUAUCGAAUACACUCUAAAGCGGGUGUAUAUCUUACAUCCAUUUCAGACUAAAAUUAUUUUUAUCACAUCAAAUUUUUAAAAUUUUACUAAAAAUUAAUUCGAUUUUUAUCAACUCUACACCCUUUUUUGUGGGGUGUACAAGAAGCAUUUUUUAAUAUUUAUAAUCGCAGACUGUGCCUACCGCACCGUACCGUAUCGGUAAAAUAUCGACACGAUACCACUCUUGUGCCAAUAAUAUAGCUCAACAUUUUUUUUCUUUAAAAUUAAUUAGUGAUCAUUAUAUGAUGGUAGCAAAAAAAAAAAAAAAAAAAAAAAAUUUUUUUACGUUUUUAUCGUUUACGUAUAUUUAUUUAACCAAUGACCCACUCAACCCUAGAAGACCGAUCAUUAAUGAUUUGGUUUUUGUAAAAGUAUAGAAGCUAAUUCCUACAUAAAUAAAUCAGUAGGGCUUAUUAAUUAAAGCGCAAACUUCAAAUUACUACCCUAUGAGGGGGGGAAGUUUUUACCGUUUCUCAUUUAGUAUCUUAUUGGGCCUUGCCGGUUGUUUUUGGUUCGAGGUUAUAAGUAAGAACUGCUAGUUCUUAGGGAUAGGUUACAAUUCAGUGAUAAUCACAGGAAUUAGGAACAAUAUUAUGCGUUUGGAUGCAAAAUUUGAGUAGUUCCUUAGGAUAUAAGACAAGAUAGUGUUUGGCAUGUUAGAUUGGAACAAGAGGAAUAAGUUCAUAUUUGAAAUUAAGAUUAUAUUAUGUAAUUAAUAGUAAUAAAAAAUAUUACUUAAAAUAAAUAGAAAUUAAUUAUUAAUAAUUAAUUAUAAUAAUAAUAAUCUAUUAAAUAAUUAAUUAUCAAUUAAAAAUUAAUAAUAUGGAUGAUCUAAUUAAUAAUAAUAAUUCAUUAUAUUAAUUAUUAAUAAAUAAUAAAAUCAUUAAUUAUUCUUAUUAAUUAUUAUAAAUAAUAAUUAAUAUGAGAUAUUGAUUAUCUGAAUUAUAAAAUAUUGAUUAUAAUAUUUAUUAUUAAAUAAUAAUUAAUCAAUUAUUAUUUAAUUAUAAAUAAAUAAAAUUAAUAUUAAUAUCCAUUGUUAUUGAUUAAGAUAACAAAUGAAUAAUUAAUUAAAAUAAUUAUUAUAUUAAUUAUAUAAAUAAAUAAUUAAAUAUAUAUAUCAAUUAUCUAAUUACUUAGAAUAAAAUUAUUAAUAAUAUUAAUAAUAAUAUAAUUAUUAAUUAUAAAUAUGUAAAUUAUAAUAAUAAGAUUAAUAUAUAUAUCAUUUGAUCUAAUAUUAAGAAUACAAAAUUAUUAAUAAUAAUAUAAUAUAAUAAUAUCAUUUAAUUAGUAGAAUAAUAUAAAUAAUAAAUUAAUAUUAAUAGUCAUUUUCAUUAAGAAUAAAUAAUAAUUAUUAUAAAAAUACAGUGAAUAUUAUUAAUUAUUAUAUAAUUAUAAAUAAUAAAUUAAUAAUAAUAUUAUCUAAUUUUUAAUAUUUAAUUAUAUAAUAAUUAUAAAUUAUUAAAAUUAUUUAAUUAUUAAAGUAAUAAAUAAUGAUUUAAAUAUAUUAAUUAGAUUAAUUAAUAAUUUACUGUCAUUAAAAUUAAAUUUAGAUUUUAAUUAAUCUUGUUCUCAUCCAGGAACAAGCUUGUUCCAGGAAACAGGUGGAACAGCAGUUCCAGCCUUAUACCAGCUAGUUCCAGAUUCUCGGGAACUACUGUUCCCGGGAACCAAACGUUGCGUUUGGGAACAAAAGGGGGAACAAGGGCUUAUUCCCCCCCUUGUUCCCGAACCAAACACUACCUUAGAGAUUUAAAAAGUGUAUCAAUUUUAAUACCUAUGAUUUUUUUUUUUUCGUCAAAUUUUUUUCAUUAAACCAAUGGUAAAGUUAAAACUAAAAAGUAUCUAAGUGAAUAUUUGGUAAAUCUAGAUGGGGUGUCUGAAGUUUUUUUGUAUAUAAUUUAACGAAAUGAAAAGAGAAAAGUAUGGUUACGACAGGAUACUAAAGUAAGAAAUUAGGAAACGAUGGUAUUUGAAGUUUAUCUUAAAUUUAAAAAAAAGAAAUUUAUUAUUAUAAUUAUUAUUAAGAAGGCGUUUUUGGACCUCAGGGGAGCGGCGCGGGGGGUGGGGGUGGUAACGAAACCCUAACGGCGGCGACGGAGAAGAAGGUGGCUCAGAUGAUGGAGGAGGACAUGGGGACGGCGAUGCAGUACCUGCAGGGGAAGGGCCUCUGCCUCAUGCCCAUCUCCCUCGCCUCCGCCAUCUCCUCCGCCACCUCCUCCCCCUCCGUCGCCGCCGACCAGUAACGCCGUCAGGAUCUGACGGCGCCGGAAUUCCCGCUCGCGGGAGGGGAAUGGUUAACGGCGAGGUGACGGAGAUUGACGGCCCCAUUAUUUGCCCUAUAAAAUGGGGGACGUCGACGAUCCCGUGGCUCAUCCCGCUCUUCCUCUCUUACCUUUUUUUCUUCUUUUUUUUUUUAUAAUUAUUAUAAUUAUUAUUAUUAUUAUAUUAUGUAUUUUGUUAAAUAGUUGUUAUGAUAUGCGCGCUCUCUCCGCGCUUGUAAGUUGCUGUAUCAUUUUCUUCGUGUUUUCUUCUUCUUUUUUUUUUAUUCCAUCCCUGUCCUUUAUUUAUAGCCUAGUUUUUUUUUAUAUAUUUUUUUGUGGUUUAAUGUAAGUGAAUUAUUAUGGUUUGUGGUUGGAAUUAAAAGGUGGUGGGGGUGGCGGAGUUGAUCAAAGGCAAAAAAAAAAAAAAAGAAAAAAAAAGAAAAAAAAAAAGAGUAAUUUAGGGGGAGUGGGGAUUAAGGUAUCCUUCAACAUCUAAGGAAAACAAAAAUUUGAUGAGAAGGGUGGAAAAAUAAUGGCUUUGGAAUAAGUGGAUACAAAUCUUACCGCUAGACUUUUGCUGCAAUUGGCCCUCUGUUCAUAUGUGNUUUUUUUUUUUUUUGAGAGAGAGAGAGAGAUAGCUUUGUUUAUUUUUUUAAAAAAAUAAACUUAGCUAAAAAUAUGAAUCAACUACGAUUUGAAUUUGAAAUUUCGUAUAUUGAUCGUCAAGUUCUUUGUCACUUGCGUUAGAAGCGGUCAAUUUUAAUUAUUAUUAUUGAGAGAAAGGUAGCAAGAUUUUUGCUACGUUUAUUUUUUAUAAAUAAACUUGACUACAAAUAUGAAGUAACAAGAUUUCGAACUUGAAGGCUUAGAUACCAACCAUCAGGUACUCACUCAAUUGCACUAGAUACGGUCAGUGAUAAUGCUAAAUUUUGAUUGAUUAUUCGUGUACAAAGAUUUGAAAAAAGAGUGUUAUUACCGCCCCCUCCAAUGCUUUCCCUGGCUACAUGAUGAUGAUGUAUUGGGAUAUGUAAUAAAGGGAACUUCAAUUUAUUCAUACUUGCACAGAACACUACGUCGGGAUACCAAAGCCCUCUCCUUUUUUUUCUUUUUACAGAUGGGUUAAAAAAGUUACCGUCAUUCUCAUAUAUUGAUAGCAAUUAUAGUAGAUAAAAAAAAAAAAAAGCUUAUCAUGCUUAAUAUAAAAUAAAAUGUACAACAUUCCCGAAAUCAUCUUAAUAAACUAGCGGAGUGAACGAUCCCUCUGUGAACUAUAGUCAUUAGGGCCUAUAAUCAAAAAUAAGUAAACAAAUAAAUAAAACAUAUAUAAUCAAAAAUAAGUAAACAAAUAAAUAAAACAUAAAUAUAUGCACCACAACUACCUAAACAUUCACGCAUUCGUAUAGAACCACACAAAAAAGACGCACCCAAACUUUCCUAUUAUUACAGUACUACCUUCAGAAAAAAUAAAAAAUAAAAGAAAGGGGAUGAACAGUUUACAAACAGUGGUGAACCCAAAGUAACAUCGUAUGUAAACAGAACCUAAAAGGACAGUAAUAGCUUCACUCAUUACUCAGGUCCAACCAGUCUAUGUACUGCAAUAAACUGAUGAUCUCCAGCAGAGAGAAUAGUCUAAGCUACAUUUUCCGCAGCUUUUUGAUAGCACACCAAUUCCACAACCUUCACAAAACCUAUUGCGGAAAAGUCUUAAAGCUACAUUUUACAUAGCCUUUUGCUAUCACCCCAACUCCAUAACCUUCAAAAAUCCAAUUGCGCGAACUGCAUAGCUAGAGUAUUACCGACUCAGAGAGCGGAUCACUCCGAAAUCUUAAGCUAAUAGAUAAAUAAAACCUCAUACGCCAAAAUUCUGAUUUCUAAUCAACAUGAGAUUAAUAUACUUCAACACUACGUAAGUAAACUAACAUCAUUUGAUAAUCAAACUGUCAUAAAAUUCUGUUAGCUCACCGAAACUGUAUUCCACUGCAACUGGUGCAUAGCAAGCUCCAUUUCUGUUUCAAUAGGGUCCGUGUUUCAGGUGCAGUUAAACAACAUCAUCAAACAGAGAGACAGAUGUCGAAACAAAAUCGUUCAUCUCGCCAUCUCUGGAUUACAGGAAUAGCAACUAUUUCGACAUCACUUUGCAGAACCACUAUAGAAAUCAACUGCUGCAACACUCGAAACAUCUUAAAAUGGUAAUUUCACCACAGGGAUAGUAACAGUCCAUUCACACACAAAAAACACAAAAAGCAAAAAGCCACCAGAGGGAAAAAGCUCAUUAACAUUUUCACUAAAAUACAGAAAACUCUAAAUACUGCAGUUGCACAAUACCCAGUGGAUAUUUAAAAUAUAAACAGGAACCUUUCAUUUGUGAGAAACCUCUCCAAUCACAGCACCGGGGAGAAAAAAAAAAAAAAAAAAGCAAAUGUUAAAAUUAUCCUAGUGUACAAUCUUUUCUCUGAAGACAAACCGCAUGAAAAGAGUUCUCCAUGGGUUUUGGCCAACAAAAAAUUAAGUGCUCAUAGGCAGAGAUUCCGCCCACCGUGCACAAGAUAUCGGCACAAUACAACAACUUCUAUGCCGAUAGCACAUCUCAAAACCCUCUUUCUUUGAAAUUAACAAAUAAUCACAUCAAUCAAUAUAAUACAAUAGAUUUGAUAAAGAAUAUAUUACUAGUAAUCAGACUCCACCAGUGCCGAAGAAAAAAAUUUCAUGCCAAAUUAUGCUGGAACACAUAUCUUGUCCACAGCAAACAUUGGCACAGCACAACACGCAACGCCUUGGCAAGUGUUCGGCACAACCUAGUACCACAGCAUUUAAAUUCUUGGUUUCGACUAUCAAAGGAGAUAUGGUGCAAAUCACAGUAUUUCAAAGGGCUACAAAUAUUUCGACCUAUAAUACAUUUAAACCAAGGAUUAAAGUGCCCAUCGGCAUGGGCCGAAUCCACCGUACCUUAUCGUGCCAGUAGGAUAUCGGCACGAUACAACCCUCAUGCCAAUGGUACAACUUAAAACCCUCUAUUCUUAAAAUUAGAAGGUAAUUUUCUCAACAAAGUUCAAAGAUUUGAUAAAAAUACAUAAUAAAUAAUUGGCAUAUUUUGUUGCUAAAGAAAAUAAAUAUUUCAUACCAUUACGUGUCGACACACAUAUUUUUUUGACCGGCACGCAUCGGCACGGCCUGGCACGCACCGUGCCGGCAAAUUUCCGGCACGAUUCCGUGCCACGGCACUUUAAUCCUUGAUUUUAACCUACCCAUUUUUAAUUCAAAUUACCAUAUCAUCCACUAGAUACGACCUUCCCAAUGAGAUUGAUCUCUUACAAAUACAAUUUUCACUCACUGCUGCAUAGAUAACUCUCUAUGGACAGUGAUAAAUGGCAGUCUGAAGGAAAUAACAGUUAAAGCUUCAAUACUUGAAAAGUCAAAAACAAAGGUGAUUUUGAUAGAAGUUCAAAAACCAAUUACGUGCCUAUGGGCUCAAAAUCAAAAAAGAAAACAAAGUAAUUUACCUGUCACUAGACUCUUUAGAUUCGUUUUUCUUUUUUCCCUCUAAACUAUUCAGAUUAGAUAAAACUUGAUUUAACCUUCCCACUUAAUAAACGUGUGCUACAAAAAUACCAAAGGGGAUUUUGCCUAUACCAAUGGGUAAAACAACAACAGUGCAGCGUUCUAUACAGGCACUGCCACUUGAAAAUAUUAGCAAAGUCAUAUCAACUUAAAGUUGAAAGAAUAGAACACUGCAUAAUUAGAAAAGAUAAGAGGGUGCUUUCUGACUAGAUCACCACAACAAAAUAAACCAAACAACAAACAAGACACUAUGUAAAUGGACACCACCUCAAGAUUGAGAGAUCAAAAGAGAGACAAAGAGACUUCUUUCUCCUACAACUUCGAAAAUUCUAAGUCAAAAUGGCCCAUUGGGAUGGAUUUUUCUUUCUCCUACAUAGCCAUCUAAACUGGCUUCUUUUAACUUAAAAGGGUAAUAAGCAUAAGAGUCAGCUAUUGAUAUUUUUUGCAGGAUAUGUACCCAACACUAACUGCCAACAAAGUAAAUGCUAGACAACAACCACAACAUCCCUACAUCUAUCAGCUAUUUGACCACAUCACCAGCCACGGUCAAUGCCACGGGCAAUUGGUGAGAUACAACGCAAAAAAGGUAAAGUCGAAAAUGGAUGACCUAUUUACCUCAGAAGAUGCAACUAGGAAAAACUAUAAUGUUACCUCACCAAUUAAAUUGCACCUGUCCUCCUGCGCUUCUUUCCCGCAGAAGUCUCACUUCCUUGUGCUUUAGCAGCAGCAGAUCCCAAAUCCAGCUUCUUCCCAGAACCCUUGCUUUCCUGAACUUUCAACUUAGCCUUCUCGGAAGACUCCUUACCAGAACCCUCAUUUUCCUGAACCUUUGACUUCGCCUUCUCAGAUGAGUCCUCCUUCUCAGAACCCUCGCUCUCCUGAACCUUCAACUUAGCCUUCUCGGAUGACUCCAGCUUCCCAGAAACUUCGCUUUCCAGAACAUUCGACUUAUCCUUCUCAGAUGAAUCCACCUUGUUCCCAGAAACCUCACUCUCCUGAACAUUCGAGGUAGCCUUCUCGAAUGACUCCAGCUUCUUCCCAGAACCCUCGCUCUCCUGAAUCUUCGGCUUGGCCUUCUCAGAUGACUCUAGCUUCCCCCCAGAACCCUCGCUUUCCUGAACCUUCGGCUUAGCCUUCUCGGAUGAGUCCAGCUUCUUCCCAGAAACCUUGCUUUCCUGAACCUUCGACUUAGCCUUCUCGGAUGACUCCAGCUUCUUCGACUUAGCCUUAUCUGAUGACUCCAGCUUCUUCGACUUAGCCUUAUCUGAUGACUCCAGCUUCUUCCUAGAACCCUCAGUGUCCUGAACUUUUGACUUAGCCUUCUCGGAUGACUCCUGCCUCUUCCCAGAAUCCUUGCUUUCCUGAACCUUCGACUUAGCCCUCUCAGACGAGGCCACCUUCUUCCCAGAACCUUUGCUAUUCUGAACCUUCACCUUAGCCUUCUCGGACGAACCAACAGUCACCUUUGCUUCAUUACCAGAUUUAGGUGUGGCAAUGCGCCUUUUACGCUUCUUGCCAGCAGUAGUGUCAUCCUCUGAUGUGGCAGUGACGUUUCUGGAGCGACUCAUCGAUAUCCUAUCAGGCUUUGAGGUUUCAUCCACACCAGAAAGAGCAUCAAUAGACUUUGCAUCAACCUCACCACUACCUUCCUUUUUAUUCCUAGUUCUACCUUUAGGCGUCUUCUCUUCUUUAUUCUUUAUUGAAGCUUUCUCUAUCGAUUUGCUUGAGCUUUUAGAGCCAUCAUUAUCAUUAGAUGGCGCAACAGUUUUUGAUCCGCCUUUUGAUCGGCCUUUACCCUUUGGAUGAUCCCCCUCUUGACCACCACUCGACUCCUUGCCACUGUAAAAAAAAGGAAAAAGAAAGAAAAUAUAAGGAUCAUUCAUUAUGGAAUGACUCACUAACUAACAUAAAUGGUUAGUGCAGCUAGCUUGUUAAUUUACCUUUUUGACGGUGUUUCCUCCUUUGAUUGUUUUGGAGGACGACCUCCACUUCCCUUGGGUUUUUUAAUCUCCAGCCUGCCAAAAGGCAGCCAGAUAAAAGAACCAAAUCAGCAGAGCUUCAAGUUUGAUUAAGUCAGAAUAAUCUUCUUACAGAAAAAGGAAAUCCAAAGAAAAGACCACCAAAUGUGUAGUGCGCUUUUCAUGUUUUUCAGUUUCCUGUUUCCAAUUUUCAUCAAGUUCUAUGCAAUUGAAAGCACCUUGGGAUGGCCUUCAUUAGUUUUGUUUGCUUGCAAUCUCUACAUUUAUGUAAAAUAUAUUAAUAAAUAACUUAUAACUUUGUCUUUCCAUUUUUCGUUUUUCUUCCUUGAACUACGGCGAGUUCGCGAACCAACAAAAAUGAAAUUAAAAAUGUCAACCCCAAAAUGCCUUCAAUGUCAUAGAACUUGAUGAAAACAAAAAUGGAAAUAUAAAUCAAGUCAAAUGCACCCAGUUUCAGUAUGCUUCUUUCACAUGCAACCAAACACAAGAACUAACAAACAAAGACAGUAGAUUUUACAAAUUAGCACUGGGUACACCAAAAAAAUCUCAAGAUGCAUGCUUCGGAUCUAGGACUAAAUCAAGGUUUUGCACACCCCAGUGCUUUGGCAUCCAAGUCGAUCUAUCAAAUGAAAUCAGUUGACAAUUGGCACAAAAAAUACUUCUUUGGGGGGGAAAAAAACACUUACACUUCUGAAACAUCAGGACCCAAAACAUCCUUCACUUGUCCCUGCUGAAAGAGCAAAUGAAAUUUGAAAUUAAAAAGAAUAACAAGACAAGUGAUAGUCAAAUGAAUCAUGGUAUGUUACACACCAUAACAGUUUUCGAGCCACCUUCAAUAAGUUCCCAUCGCUCUUUCUUAAGACGCAAUAUCUCCACAUCUCCAUCAUCAUAAAUAAUCUGUAGAAACAAAUACAAUAAUUAAAUACUAAAAGAAAUUAUGUUGCAGACAAAGCUGUAAAGAUUUAAAACAAGCAUAUAGAUGAAUCUACCCACCUUAUGCAUUUUUGACGAAGGAUCGAAUGACUCAACCGAACCAUCGUAAAACCUGCAAAACACAAAAUGCUCGAACUCUGAAAAGGAUUACAAGAUGUAACAGUUAUUCACAGUAACUUGGCAUAUCUCAAGCCCAGCGAAGCAAAUAACGGCAGACCAAUUUGGAAACGUGUCAUAAGUUUUUCCAAGUUUGCUUGAAAAGCAAGCAUCAGAUGGUAAAACGAAUUGAAAAUCAAAAAAAUCAAUCUGCUGCAUUUAUCAGAUAUGGCAUCUAAUAUUUAUUUCGCAUCUACCAAGAAUGACAAUCUGUUUAAAUAUGACAUGUACCAUUUGUGCUUCUAUUUAAUGAUGCGUAUAUGAAUGUUGCCAUUCUAAAAACUACAGAAGCAAACCUUUUGACUUCGGAGUUUGAAGGAUGUCUUAGUUAUUGUUUUAAAAACUGUCUCCUGCUGCCAACAUAAAUUGGCAGGCACUGAAAUCAGAGAGAGAGAAUUUAUUUAAACUAGUACCAAAUCCUGUAAAAUCAAUACUCUCAUCAGCUAUCCAAAAGAAAAUUCUAAGACCUUCACAAACAGAUAUCCAAUAUCGAACCCUAUCAUAUAAUUAAAUAUCCAUUACCCCCAAAGGAAACUCUAAGCUCCAUGAAUAAAUAUUCAAUAUCUACUCCUGACAUAUAAUAUAAGCUUCUGCACUGGAAAGCUUACAGAAGCCAAGUGUAUUGGCAGUCGGUAACUAACUUAUUUUAGAAAUAGCUAUUGAUGGCAUUGAAAACUGACUAAAAGAUGGUGAAGAAACACAAAAGUUGCAAGAUGAAAUGAAGCGAUAGCAGAAGAAGACUCAAAUGGUUAUCAAAGAAUUUCUAAUCCCUAAGGGCCUUCUGUCUAAUGGCAUCAAGAUUCAAGACCAUGUCCAAUAGGCUAUCUUCUCAACGAUAAUUGUCAUGGUGAGACAUCUAUGAUUUAGUCAAAAUGCCAUUCCUGUUAUUUCUUAUAGAUGGGAACCACCAUAUGGACAUCCCACUUAAAAUGGAUAGCUUUCGCAUAAAUAAGAACUAAUCCCCAGGUGUAUCCUAUUUAAAACUAUCCAUCUAAUUUACUCUAGACUCUUGAGUCCUAAAUGAAAACUUUAUUUGAUAGACUUGCCUAUUUAUAAAUGUUCGCAAGCAUUGGCAUAUUAUAUUAGACUCCAAAUAUCCGCGCUCGAUAGUACUCCUGUGAAUAUGCGUGUGGACUGGCUCAUACAAGGACCUUAAGAAGUCAUGUAAUUAAACAUUCCAAAAGAGAACAUCCUCACGAUUCGCCAACCAAGUUGAAUGCCAGCCUACCAAAGUCGGCAUCCCUAGCUUGUACUAAGUGAUUUAGGAAUCUGAUCAAUUAAGCUAUUAUAUCAUUCAUAAUUAGAAAGCGAAGCUACAUUCAAUCCUUGAAUUUGACAAACUAAGAUUUUGUCCAAUCAGUUUCGGGCUACUUGCUAAUUUCUGUAGACAUGCUAAAAUAAACUAUGUUUCUCACCUCUGCAUGGUAUGAAACUGCUAUACUUGUUGUGCACCUAAAAUUUUCCUGGAGGACUUGAUGCACAAGCGAUACUACAACAUGCAAAAAAGUGCCCACCAGUAAUAUUUUAUGAGGUUCCGGAUCCUACUCGAAUUGCUUUUGAAGAAUCAAACCAUAACAAUGCUUACCUUACUUAGAAGCCAUAAUCUAAUGAAACAUCAAUUAAACUAACAAUUGAAACAUCAAUUAAGCUAACAAUUGCAACAUGUCAAAUUAUGAUUACAUUUACAGCAAAAAGAUGGCCAUGAAAAUUUGUUUCCAACUACAGACUACCUAAACAGCGAACAGAAGAAUCGUAUGUAAGAUCAUGCAUAUCGAACACAAAUAGAGCCUACAAAAACAGAAUAGCUGCUAUUGCGAAUAAGAUAAGCAUGUAAAGAAAAUAACUAAUAUUAACAAAAACAAUACUCAUAAGACUCGCAAAGUAGACUAAUUUAUAUGCUGGUUGUACACCAAUAAAUCAAUAGCAGAAAAGUGAACAAUACUUCACAUAAAACAUCAAUAAUUUAAUUAAGGCAAAGAAUACAGUAAUAACAAAUGUGUACAGAAAUAGCAGAAAAAUUAAUGAUACUUCACAUAAAACAUCAAUAAUUUUAAUUAAGGCAAAGAAAUUAGUAAUAACAGAUGUCUAGAGAAAUCUAACUUACGUUUGAUCUUCUGGCCACCAUACUUUAAUCCUUGAACCAACAAGGCGCUCGUUAAGGUCUUUCUUCUGCCUUGAUGCUGAAGCCUAUCAAAAGCAAGGUAUUUUAAUCAACAAAUUAUGUAGUUCAGCGGGUAAAGUUAAAGGUUUGAAGAACUACAAAACAAGUCAAAGAAAUAAUACAAAUUGUGAAGCAUGAAAAAAUUGUUAAGCAAAUAGUUACCUGCGAAAUUUUAAUAUAAUACACAUGCUAACUGGUUAGAUUAAAAUGUACCAAAGCAAUGGAAGAUGCAUGAAGUACUUUCUGCUUUAGGAUCAAACACAAGCUACAAUGCAGAACAGCACCUGAUAAAGUAAAUAUAGUAGUCCAAUACUACAUGUUUCAAUAAUAUCGGAGAUGAAUCCAUAAUAAUUUAUCAAGAUUCUCACAAAAAGGCUUCUAUGCGUUUAAGUUAUUCUAGUAUGCAAUGAGUGGGAAAACUUAGAUAAUACUUCAAUAACAAUGCGAAAUUCACUCGUACAAAUCAAACACUCAAGCUCCCAUGAAGAGAUAAAGUACAGAAACUAGGAUAAUACUUCAAUACUUCUUAAUAAAAAUGCCAACCCAACAUGAAAAGGAGAAAUAUAGAAGAUAAUAUUUUUCAAAUGGCAUAAAAAAAAAAAAAAUCCGCCAUAUAAUCCUUGCAGGCUGGAGUUAACAUUUGUUUUUACAAUAAAUCACCAGCAUGAGCUUUAAGACUCAUAUUAAACCAGCAUACCACUUCAGAUACAACAAAUGUACUGAUGUUUCAGUAUGUAAAACCAUAACAGCAACACAUGAGAGCACAUCAACGCAGAAUUGCGCUAUUCAUGAAAACUGUUAAAUAGACAAUUCCAAAGGUUAAAAAUAAUAAUAAUAAGUAAGAGAACAUCACAAGCUUCUUCAACUGAAAAUUUUUUAAAUUAAUAAAAAUAUUUUAAAGAAACUAAAGUUUCUCGGCUCCCAAACUUUAUAGUAGAACCAAAGAUAACUUCUACAUCUUAGAUUAGGAAUAGCAAGCACAAAGAUAAGAUGCGGAACCUCUUCACUCCCAUGGCCACGCUUUUUCUUAGAUCCACCACUCUCUCCCAAGAUGCCUUUUUCUUUCCCAAAUGCCUUCAUAGCAAUCUCACGCGAAAUCAUUUCCUGCAUAAGAUACAUAACGACACACUAAUUAUUCACUGCGACAGAGAAAAUCAAGAAACCUAAAGAAAUUAAUGGGGAAAAGACAAAUAUGGACACAAAUUCGAUUUCCAAGUUCAAUACUACAACUACCUUCCAUAAGGCUAAAUUUAAGAGAUGCAUUCCAGCCUACAGGUCACAUAUAGAGAAGGUAUGAGAAUGAAUUUUAUAUAAGAAGCAUGAUAAUGGGAGUAAUAAGAAGAGAAGUUAAAUGCCUCAUGGGAUAUCAAACAGAUGAAAAGGUAGGUUCACAAAAUGCAAAUAUCCCGUUAUUCAUGUCAAACAUACAAUCAAAAGCAAGAAAAAUAUAAAUGGCCAAAGGAAAAUAUAACUAAAGGACACCAGCCAUGAUGUUUGGCACUUUGGCUGAUAGAAGUUAAGAGUACAACAAUGAGGGAACACGUAAGAGAAACCAGAAAAUAGAUACAAGAAUAAGAAAUCAUUUCUGAUAUCACCAGAGACUCAUUCAAAAUUGCAACUAGUUUUGCGGUGCAUGGGCCAAAAGCCAUGCACAAAGAAACUAUGUGAUACAUAAGCUUUUGAGGUUACUUUAUUCCUUGAAACUAUCUAUAAUGACACAAGCUUCUAAGGACUUGGACGAAGAAAUACUUUAAUUUCAAGCAGAACUCAAGACUCGAUUCACAUUCAUUGAUCCUUACACCCACGCAAAAGGGUUUACCUACACAAGUCUCAUCUCAAAAGAAAUCAAGUGGAAUCUACCAUAUGAAUGAUGUUACACCAUCAUAUCCAUCCCGAGUUAUUUCAACAGCAGCUAUAUCUUUCCUAAUCACCCCAGGACACACCAUUUAACUGACAGCACAGCAAUAAUUUCUACAUUUAGGUCUUUUACUGGGUUUUUUAAAGCAUGGCCUAAGCAUCGAGAUCCACCAAAGGGGACUUUACUAGCUGGACCACUUACACAUUAUUUGCCUACUCUUCGUUUUUGUCCUCCAUACAAGUCUCAUCUCCAAAGAAAUCAAAUUAAGUCUUGUGAUAAAGCCAAAGGAGUGCAGCAUCAAUAACAGGAGGUAUCAGGUAAGUCACCAAGAACCUAAAGGGUUUUCUCUUCUCUGCUCAAUUCCCUAAUAAAGGCCUACUUUAUAAUUAGUUUGAUUUGGAUGAAGUAUUUUAUUUACAAAAUCCAACAAGUUCUAAUAAUCCCUAACAGAACAUGCCAUCAAUUUUACUUACCGUACAUCUGAGCCAAUUAUAAAUUUUAUGAACUAUGGGUUAAAGAAGCAUAAUUUUAUUAGCCUUAAUGUGCGGGCUGUGUCAUGUGACAAGGCAAGGAUCACUAAUUACAAAGUUACCUUUAAACUGACAUCUUCAGAUGCAUCUUCUUCAGAGUUGAUCUUUUCAUUCCGGUUCUUAAAGUUGAUUUUUCGCCGUUUUUGUGAUGAUUCUCCGUCAGCAAUCUUUUUUGCCGACCCUUCUUUUUCUUUCUGCCUCUGUACUUUCGGCUCCACAUCAGUUAUCACAAUGCCAUGUGUUUUAUCAUCCAGCUGUUCCUUUUUAGAUGAGCGCCUUGAAGGCUUUCCUUCUGAAUCAUUAACAGCCUCCAAAUCCUUACUAAUAUUUGUAUGUUUGGACGGUAAUUUCUCAUCCUGUACUUGCCCUUUUGCCCUGGCUCUCCUCCUUCCAGAUGAAGCUGUAUUGUCAGCUUCAGAACUCUCCCCAACUCUUUCGGAAGAUCCUAUUGAUCUAAGAGGUCGACCCUUUCUUGAAGCUGAAUCAGAAGUUACAUUAUGAGGCUUCAGAACGGUCUGAAGGUCAACUGUUUUUUUGAAACCCACUGGAACAGAUGAUUCAAUUUUAUUACCAGAUGUACCAUCAGGUUGAGCAUCAUCACCUUGUUUUCCACGACCUUUCCUCCUGCCAAGUACUACUGGUGUUUCAUUGUCACCAUCGGCCAUAGAAUGGUCUUUUGUCUCCGCUUCAUUGUUGGGUAAAGUACUCUUUGAUUGCCCACUGCGACGAGAUUUCCCAGAUUUCUCUUUAGGAUGAGCUGGUUCUUGCAGGGAUUCGCCAUUACCUACUGCAACUGUACCAUUGCUCACCGCAGAUCUCGAUAACUUAUUUGAAGUAGCACCAUCUUCUUCAGGAUCACCUGCUUUUUCCUCCACCUUUGUAGAUUCCUAAAUGUGUGUGGAAAUUAAGCAUUUUCGCACUUAAAUCAAAAGGAGUGUAAAAACACUAUGGAAAUAAACAAUUUAACUAUAAAAAAAAAAAAUUGAAGUCAUUUAUGGUAGUUGCAAACAAAAAACCCAACACUGAAAGUCAUUUCUGAUAGUUGCACACCUGAGGAAGCUCAUCGGAAACAGUCCUCUCAGACUGUUUGCUAUCAUCUGCCUGAAGAAUAAAACCAGAUUAUCAGAAAACUAACCAAGUUAAAUUGCAUAUUCUAUUAGAAAACGACUAAUAACUAAAUUCUUGACAGACAAUGCAGUAUGUUAGCUCUAGAAACAUAGCAGUUACAUCAAGCAUGAGCUAAGCCUGCUAGUGUAAAUAAAAUGACGAGAAGUGGAGCACAAUAGUCAUCAGUUAUCACAAAUUUCAUGUGUACAUAACAUAAUUAACAACUUAGAAUUGAUACCGACAUAGACUAGUGCUGAUGUCGCUGCUCACAAAGCAAAAGCUAAAACAAGCACGGUCAGUACAUAUAUAAUUAUAGAAACUUCAAAGGCAAUACUGCCAAAAUAUAUUUGUAGCAACAAAUUCAGGGAAACAAUUAACAACAAAUAUUAAAAUACGAACUAACCAACAAUAUCCAAGAACAAAAACAGGAAGAAGAACGAAUCCUGUAGUGCUCAUUGUUUUAGCUAGCUCAACAUUUUGUGUUUCCACACAACAUUUUUCAGCCCAAAUGAGUAUCAAAUGCCAUAGGUUAGCUAUAACGGAGAUGUUUUAAUGGAGGUUCCAAUAAUAAACAAAUAAAGUCCCGCUUUCAAUAUCAACAGGGAACAAUAUAUUCUGUAGCUCCAAUCUCUACAGAUACUAAAUGGGUGGAAAAAGUUUCAAAUAUAAACUAUUUAAGACAUUCCACAACCAUUAAUUGUGUAAAUUUCAGGAUUAAACUGGGAAAGGAAGAAAAUACCAGCGGUAGUUCCGAGAACAACUAAAGGAAUUUGUAGAAGAAAUAUUGGUAGAAGAGGUAGAAGACGCACUGGUGGUCGCUCUAAGAACAAUUAGAGCAACUUGUAGAAAUGUGGAAGAAGAGGUAGAAGAUGCAAAUGACAAAUGACGAUAGAACGACUUGAUUUCUGGAUCCUUCCUGUGCCAUACUUAUCAACAACCUACUUGACAUAAAAAGAAACACUAGACAAUUCAAUCACUUUUCAAUCCCAUUUAUCACCGCAAUAAGGCCCUUUUAAAACCGUAAAAUAAAUCGAAAAUUUUGUAGUAACCCCUGUAGAACUGUUAUACAGGAAAUCAAAUUCCACUACUAUCAUCCUCUCUUAAAAUCUCAAUCAAUUCUAACGACAACCAACUACGCCUCUCUAGAUGAUAAUAUUUAUUUCAAAAGUAGAAAUAGACUCGCUAUGCCCAGCCGUGAAAUUACAAAUCUGAAUCAUGAAAUCAACUCAAAGAACUUGACCACGAUACUAUCCAGACUGAGAUUAUACCCAAAUGACCACCGACUAACACAAAUUGAUUAGACCUGCUGUGGGACAGCUACGCAUGUCCCUCCUUUCCGAAAAAAGGCACAUCAUGUACAAUGUGCAAUACAAACUUGUAAAUUGCAUCUCGUACAUAAAAAAUGCUAAACCUUAUUAGUGAAAUAGAAAAUUAUAUAUGAAUGACAAAUACAAAGAUAUUCAUAUAAAAAAAUAUAGUGUGUAAUAUGUACGAGCUUAGAACAGUAGAAAUUACAAGAAAUUUGACAUAAAUAUUUCAGAGUCAUUAGUUAUUUAUGGCUCAUUGGUGCCUUUACUAUGGCCUUAGCCAUGAAAAAUGCAACAAGACCUUGCCUUUUUUUGCCUAUCCAACAAAAGCAAAUAUUGCAGUAUAUACAAAACAAUAUCAGAAAGAGAUAACAAGGAGAAGAAAUACAAGAUCUUUUCACUUCACAUGGCAAAUCGUCAAGGAAAAAGGGAACACCUAUGAAAUCUUCAGGGAAUAGUAAUAAUCUAAAUCAGGUUUACCAUAGGUCGUGUAUACCAUAGGUCGUGGGAUCAAAUGUUCAUCAACAAAUAAGAAGACACUAGUUAAGAAAAUCAACAUCAUAAACGCAUGCAUCUUUGUGUUCCACAUAUACCAUAUUCUCCCUAGCAUUUUAUUAUCCUCAAUGAGGCCACUACUUUCGGUAAUAUUAGCAAGUCUUUAAAUAUGUAUCAUAGUUCUGUACAGAAGCAAAGAACAUCAAAGGGUAGUUUGAGACAGACAUCAUAAUAUCCAUAUAUAAGGUACUACUAUAUUGAAGAAACCUUAAUGACGAGAUGUCCCCUUGCUUUCUACAGUACAUGUCAGGUUGUCGAAGGUUAAAUAGAGCGAGCCAACAACAUAUGAUUAUAUAGUUGUAUAUUAGGAUACUAUGCUAGAAAAACAUGAGAUGAUAUACAAAGCUCAGAUGAAAUUUUAUCCAUAACUAGUAAACCCAUCUCUGCACUUAUAUUCAUCUCGGAGGAUUCAUAUUUGAGAGGUUAGAAGACUUUCUAUACCCGUACCCUUCCUUUUUAUUUAUGUAAUUUUUAUACCGUAUCUUCAACUAUAGUGUCCUACAUUUUAUCAACACUAGACUAUUAACAUGAAGCUUUGAACCAGAAAAGAGAGUUAUUACAUCAUUUUAGACUGCUAUACAAUUCCAAUAAGUGUAAGGAUAUCUUUAUCUCACAACAAGAUCAGUUUCCAUUGUUGCAGCGUAUCAUGCCCAUGCCAUCUAGUCUGUACAACUCUUAAAUGGUGGUCCCAGACAUGCACAGCACACACAACCAUGCGAUUCAGCUAAGCAGUCAACACGUAUGUACGGCAAUAAGCUAUUAAGGCACCAAAAAUGCAGUUCAUGAUGCAGAAUCUACAUUCUUUCCAGGCUGCAGAAUUAUGAAAUACUAAAUCUACAACAGAAUCAACAAGUUCAUUCAUAGCCUAGGAGAAAAAUUGACAAAAUAAACUCACCCCAGAAACAUCAUUCUGCCCUGCAGUGUCGGCAUUCUCAUCGCACAGAGAGCUAACUAUCUUACUAUACUCAUUUAAAGGAACAUCAGAUGGCUUAACGAAUUCCACAAAGGCUGGUUUUAGUUUCUCAACACAGUUACCAAUUACUUUCUCUCCAAGUCUGAACGAAAUUGGCAAAACUUCCUGAGAAACAGAUAAAUUUACAUAGAAUUUAAGUGAGACAAUUGCAUAAUCACAUUCAACUAACGGAUGAUGACCCCACUAACAAUACAUACCUUGCCGCCCUUCCUCACACUAUCUAGAAGGCAUGAGACAAGUUCUUUGGAAAUAUCUUCGCUUUCCUCUAUCACAAGCGUCAUUAUUGUCUCCAUAGAAGAGAAAAUACUUUCUGGAUGGUUUGAACUGAAAAUAAAAACAUGUGCACUUCAAUAGCAAAUACACAAGCAAUUAUUCAGGGAACAAUCAGAUUGGUGAGUUUGAAACAGCACCAUACUUAAGAGACUGGUCCAUCGUACUCAAUAUAAAUAUUGCUAUAGCAUGCUAUACAAUCUUUAAGGAUAAAAAAUUUCAAAUUAGAGACAACGAUUUCUCAAGAUAACCUAAUAUAAAGGAGGAAAUCUUAUAGAGCCUAUAGAAAAGAACAAUUCUUCUAACAAGAAGUGGUGUGACCGAUCGACUUAAGCGUUCGAAUGGCGUUUAUUGAAGGUAUCAAACAAAAAUAUUUCUCAUUCUCAAUUUUCCCUUUGGAUAGCUGUGCAAGACAGUUAGUUGUUUCAAUCAAAUGGCCUAACAAAUGUCCUUACGAAACCACCUAAAAGAUUCAUUCUUCUGAUUUUGUUAGCAACUAAAAGCAUGACAUUAUAUCUAAAUAAGAAAUCAAUGAUGAUUCAAGGAUUACAUGAUUGUCGCAUAAUGUACUCCUUAAUUAUUCAAAUUUCAAAGUUAGAUUUUCUGAGCCGGCCAUGCUGCCGGAUGCCGAGCGAUGCCUGCAUGUGACACAGAGUAGCGCAGUAAUAAUUGCACACAACAUGCCAAUUUUGUCGUUAUGUGUGACUAGAACACUGUGUUGGCAUGCCGUACCAUUCCAGUCAUCCUUGUUUCAAAUUAAAAAUUUCAUGUUCGAGCCGAAAUACUUCAGGUUAUGGGUAAGGGCAUGUUUGGUUGGCCAAAAGUGAAGCAUCGAAAGUGGCAUGUUUGGUUAGCCGAAAGUGAACCAUCGAAAGUGACACUUUUGGAAAGUGACGUCUUAGCGGUUAUUUGGUUUGCGAAAGUGAAUAUGAAAGUCACUUUACAAAAGUGGGCCAACAAAGUGAGUUAUAACUAAAUCUCACUUUUUUUACUUUAGCUCAAAAAAUUCGGAAGUCACCGAAAGUAUAAGGAUUAGCUAAGAGGUUAUAUUUUGGUCUUAACUUUGAUCUUUGAAUUUAUUUUUAAAGUUGAAUUUCACUUUAAAUUUGAAUUAAAAUUGUGAUCACAUUUUGAAUUUUGUUUGUAAAUUCAAAUUUAACAUAAAAUUUUUAUAUUCAAAUUUGUGACUUUAUAUUUAAAUUUAAAAUUUAAAAUCUUUAUUUUCAUUUAAAUAUGAAUUCUAGAAUUUAAAUUUAAAUUUUCAAAUGUAAAAUUUUAAUCAAAUUAUUUUUAGCUAAGAACUUCAGUUUGAACUUUGAAUUCAAAUUGUUCCAACUAUAAAUUCAAACUAUUGACUGAUAUUGAAUUUAAAAUUUAAAUUUUUACGUUGAAAUUCAAAUUCAAAUUUAAAUUUGCAAUUUACAUUUAAUUUCAACAAUGAGUUUCAGUUUGAAUUUUGAAUUUAUGAAUUCAAAUGUUCAGUUUGAAUUGUAAUUUAAACUCAAAUUUUAAUUUUAAUUUAAAUAUUAAUUUAAAUUGUGAAUUCAUAUUUGAAUUCAGAAUUUAAGAUCAAAGAGUAAAUUAAAACAUGAUUUACAUUAUAAAUUCAAAUUAUGAAUUCAAAUUUGAAUAAAUGUUCUAAUUUCUAUGUAGAAAUUUUAUUUUAGAAUUUAAUUUCAAUUAUGAGUUAAAACUUAAACUUUAAAUUCAAAUUGUUAAUUUAAUUUAUGUCUUAAAUUUUAAUUAUAAAUUCAACUCAGAUUUAUGUUUAAAUUUCAAUUUUAAAAUAUAAUUUUCAAUUCUAAAUAAUUUUAAUUUUAAUUUUUUAAUUAAAUUGUGAGUAUAAGUCGUUUGUUUAUACUUUCACCUCUUUAUAUAUAAUUAAAGAAUCAAAAUUACAAAAAUAUAGUUUUUCAUGUUUCACUUUAUAGCCAACCAAACAAUCGAACCGAAAACUCACUUUUGUAAAAGUCACUUUUGCAAAAGUGACUUUUUUUACUUCAGUUACUUUCAGGCAACCAAACAUGCCCUGAAGGUAACCAUAAUUACAAUAAAAUUAUGACAUAAACAGGCUUAAUUUCCGGCACCAUGUGCAGCUUGAGAGAAGGAACAAAAAUGUUUCAAAUUAUUGCUGUCUCACAUUGACACAAAACAAAGCCCACAUAACUGGACCAUAGCUACAGUAGCAACAUUAGGUAGUUAUUCAUGAAUCCCCCUCUAAUGGCAACUAGCAAAGAAGGCUAGGACGAAAAUAAAUCAAAUAUAGAACCAUUGGCAAAUAUAUAUACCUUAUUGUCUUCAGAAAAUUGCGGAACAUGUCUAGAAUAAGGUCAUCACAUUCAAGAUCCAACAUCACAACACAAGAUCGGACCUUCGCGACAGUUUCAAGAAUGGAAACUCUUCUCGGAUAUGAACGACUAGACAUGUCAUCCAACUUAUCAAAGGAUUCCACAAUUCUUUGAAAUACCUCCUGAUAUUCAGUCAAAAAAUAGAUGUAAACAAAUUUAUGAGCUCAAAGUAGAAAUAUUAACACCUUUGUGAUAUUAAGUACCAGAUCAAAUUAAAUUAGCAGUGACAAAAGUUGAAAGGAAAAUAUACCUUCAUUACAUCAUCAUCAUAUGGAGCAUCAGGUGCUGUAAUUCUGGUUAUUUCACUUAUACAUGAAGCUACAGCAACUCUUACAUCCAUAUUAUCAUGUCUCAGAAUGGCGUUCGCAACUAGGGCUUUCAUUGCAGGACGAAUUGCAUUUGACAUCGACUGGGAAGGUGAUUGUUCCACUCUUGAUAAAAGGGUUUCGAUUUCCUGGAUGCAAGAACGAAACAAUGUUACAUGCAAACGAUUUUUGAAACAAUUCCAUGAGAAAAGCAAGCACUGCCAUAACCUGAUUUAAUGACCAGUUAAAACUGAACGCAGUCAUUAUCCUUUAAUAAUUUAGAGAAAGAUGUUACUUUAGUUGAAAGCAUAGCUGAGUUUGCAAGAUUGUGCACUAGAAACCUAAGAAAAGGAAAUGUCGUUUCAAAACUUUGCACACCAAAAUUGGGAGCUGCAAAGGAUAUAAAUAGGUAGCUUAAAACAGACAUCAAUAAAGUAUUAAAAUAUUUGUAAUCAUCAAAUUAAGCUAGAGUCCGCAUGACAAACAAAGAAUUUCAUCCACAUGCAAUAACCAAUAGGCCCAAAACCUUCAAAACAACUAUGAACGAGAGUGAUAUAUCGCAAAAGAAGUGCAUUGAUUUCUACCAGCACAAAAAUAAAAUUGUGAGCAUUUCUUAAUGGAGAGACUACCACACAUGAUUACAAACAUAUGGAUACAGAAAAGAAUUUCCAACAUCCUCCUCAACCAAUGUAGAGGAGUUCAGACUUGCAGACCAGCUAUCCAUGGAAUAAGGAGAAUAUAUUCAAAACCAUGGUUUUAAUUUCAGCAGCACAACUGUAUUAAUUUGCUAACGGCAUCGUAUGUGCCACGGGAUGAUACAUGUCAAUACUUGGCAAGGUUGGCAUGAACCAUAAGGGGAGACCAUUAUUAAGUGCCAGACAGUUCAAAAUCGUCACCAGGCCAGCAUAAAACAGCCGAACGGUUGGCCCAGAACUUCUUGUUCCAGCCUGAAAUAGUCAAGUGGAAGGCUAUUGGAUACAAUAUCAUAGCACUACGCUUUAUAUCACUUUUACUACUUUCGUUAUUGUGCGCCUAUUUUCUUCACACUGGUACCCUGAGGUGAAAUCCGGUGAUUCCAACACAUUUUCUCAGGAGAUGAAAUCAAACCCAUUAGUCAGCACCUACGACUUGUUUGGACUAAUAUAAUUUCUAUAAAAGCACCACCAGUUGAGCAGAAAAUUUCACUCAGGAUGUUCUAAAAAGAAAUGCAUGAACCACGUAUGCAGCUGCAUAUGCAACUGCAGCCCCAUUAUGAUUGCAUGAGCACAGGGCUUAAAACUGCCCUAUGAGCACAAAAUUUCUUAUUUAGAGUUUGCAAACACUAGAUUGAGCGUAAUGCGUACGUGAUACAUUUAUGGCACUAGAAUCCAGUUAUAUAUCUUUUCUUUAAUUAAAAUUUUUCCAAUGUUACAUUUCUAGAAAGUUGGGUUACUCAUUACGUAUCUAUCAUAGCUAGCAUGUUUACUUGCUUUUAUUGUACGUUAACGGUUUCAUACGCACCAAUAUAUACCUGCAGACCACGCGGCACUAAGAAGAAUCCUAACUCACCACAUAACACCGCCAUAUUUUAGAAAUAUAUAUUGUUUCUCAACUUUAUUUGCUAUAUAUCGAUCCAUUUCUAAUUUAAAGACCAUCAUAAUAGUGUUUUAAGUUAGAUAAAAUACUGCUGAUAAUUUUAACGUCGCGCCAUAUAGACGCACUUGGCAGCCAUGCACAUGCACAUGCACACCGCUUCUGCGGUAUGUCGUUAUGCAGCGGCUUGCACAUGCACACCGCUUCUGCGGUAUGUCGUUAUGCAGCGGCUUGACCGCUCACGAAUUGUCGGCUUAAAAGUUGCUUCAUGCAGCGGCUUGCACAUGCACACCGCUUCUGCGGUGUGUCGUUAUGCAGCGGCUUGACUGCUCACGAAUUGUCGGCUUAAAAGUUGCUUCUAGAUCUCCAAUCAGCAGUUAUUCGGAUCAACGAAUCUUCAAACCUGUAACUACAGAAUCAGCAAAUUGCUGGUCGGAGAAUAGUAAUAGCGCGAAAAUUCAGUCUCCAGCAAAAAUUCACCACGUUUAUGCAAAAUUCUACUUCCAGGAUCAGCAUUAAGCCAGUUACAUAACAUUUAUGCAACAUGCAAAAGUGUCUCUAAAAUGCAAGAAAUAAUGAUAUUAAAACGAUUAACAAGCACCCAUGAGCUCGCCUCACUGCUUCAGCACUACAACAAAUCACAUUGAAGAUGAUAAUUAUAAUCAUUUCGAGUGAUAAAACAUAAACUAGAUGCGCGAAUCGAAACCAAUUUCCAAGAGGGGAAAAGGAAAAGAACUAACAGGACAACAUAUACAAAUAAAUGGAUCAAGCAUUGAAAAAAAAAAAAAUCAAGUAAUUCCACGCAUUAACCCAUUGAAACGAUCAGCGCAAGCAAGGAUUUGUAGCAAAAAAUCAAAGGAAAAGGAGAAAAAGCAAAACAUAGGCUGCUUACAUCGAGAAGCGCAAGGAGCUCAUCAACAUCACCGGGCGGCGACCCGAGCCUCCCCCCGACCUCCCGAAGCCGCUCCUCGAGCUCUUUCUCCGCGUUCGCCAUGGCUCUUAUAUAAAUUAAAAGAUGUUUUUUUCCUUUUUGAUAACCUCCACAUUUACACACACACACACACACCCCCACACACACACACAGAGAAACCUAGAGUUAGGGUUAGGGUUAGGGUUUGGGAACAAGAACCCAAGGGAGAACGACGACACUCGCUCACCUCCUCCUCCUCGUCCUCCUCUUCUCCUCUCUCUCUCUCUCUCUCGCUCGCUCGCCGUACUUAUAGCAUCCUCCUUGUCUUAUAUUGGGGUACGCUGAGUCAUUGUAAUAAAUGGGGGAGUGUAUCUGAAUGGCGAGGAGGGGAUAUGAAUAUCAUCGCUUCAAUCGUUGCUGAGUUUAUACACACAGGUGAGAGAGAGAGAGAGAGAUAGAGAGAGAGAGAGUAUUCGCGUGUGUGUGUGUGCUGUGUCUUAAGAGAGAGAGGGAGAGAGGGGGGGAUGGGGUGAGGAGCGUGAAUGGGGAGGGUGCGGACGGGGGAAGGAUUAUGGAAUGGGGUUAAGAAACGAGGGGUUGGCGUCCGCAACGGGCAUUUUCGCUUCUGCAUUGGCCUCCGCGUCCCACGUGGCAGCCGCAUACCUCACCACUGCCGCCGUUUUUUUUUUUUUCCCCUGCUAAAUUACAAAAAAAUAAAAAAAAAACUUCUUAUAAGUAUUUAUUUUUUUAUAUUUUAUUUUUUAAUAAUUCAAAUUUUUGUAUUAAUCUCUCUCCCCAUCGGGAUUCUAUUAUUAUUUUGUCCAUUUCUAACAAUUUAUAUCAAAAAUAUGCUUCAAAAUAACAGAAAUAUAUUAAAAUAUUAUUUUUUAUUUUAUAGAAGAACUAAGAAGAAUUUGGUUAUUUUGCCUUCUCUGCUAACGCCGUACCUUUCUAAAAAUAUUUCUAAACUUUUAAGAGAGUACAAUAUAAAUUUUUGAAAAUUAGAGAGAGAGAAAAUAAAAAAAUAGAUAUUUAUAGAGAAUUGUAUAUAAUUUAGCCCUUUUUUUUAAUAUAUAAAAACUUACCUGAAUUAUACAUAAUUUUAAUUUAGUCAGCCAACACUUUAAAAUUUUAAUCUUACUAUUUAAUUCUUUAUUUAUUUAAUUUAAGCCGGUCACCGAUAUAUAAUUUUAAAUUUUAAAUAUGUUAUUUAUUUUUAUAAAUUUAAUGAGUAUAUCUCAUGUAAUUUUUUCAGAUUUACAAAUUUAUUAAAGUAAAUAAUAAGCUUAAAUUUUGAUGUUACAAAGUAGAAGAAGAGUAAUAAAAAAGUUAAAAAUGAUUGCGGCGUUAAAUCGAAUACUCAAAAAGAUGUAGAUGUCAUCCAGCUCGACAGAACUUAACCCAUUCCGUUGCCAGUUUCCUACUGCGUUAAGCAGUAAAACUUAAUUAUUAAGUUGUGUAGUUUGUAAAUUAUUAUAUAAUUUGUUUGCAAGAAAAAUAUUUCUUUAAUUUUAUAUAUUAUUGAUGCAUUUAUAUGCAUACUUUUAAGAGUGGGAUCCUCUCACAAGGAUAACAUUAUGGAGAAUCCAAAAUAUUUGAUAUUACAAAGUGUAGUGUUGCAAAUAUUUUGGGGUAAACUUCAAAUAUCCCCAUAUGGUUUUAUACUUUUUCACUUUAACACUCUGUGGUUUACAGUGUAUCAAGUUAGCCCCUAUGGUUUCGCACUUUUUCACUUUAGUAUCAUGUGGUUUAAAGUGUAUCAAUUUAGUACCAUGUGGUUUCAUUUUUCUUUUUCUUAUUAUCUAUUUCACUAAUUUUUUUUCGUUAAAUCAGUGACAAAGUUAAAAUUAAAGGGUACUAAAGUGAAUAUCUGAUAAACCUAGGUAGGGUAUCUGAAGUUGUUUGUAUAUAAUUUAACAAAAUAUUAACAAAGGAAAAAAAAUGAGUGACAAAACUAAAACUAAAGGGUACUAAAGUGAAUAUUCGAUAAAUCUAUAUAGGGUAUCUGAAGUUUUUUUAUAUAUAAUUUAACGAAAUAUUAACAAAGGAACCGACGGAAAGAAAAAAAUGAAACCACAGGGUACUAAAAUAAGAAAGUGCAAAACCACAAGAUAAUAAAUUGAUACACUUUAAACCACAGGGUACUAAAGUGAAAAAAUGCGAAACUACAAGGGUGGUAUUUAAAGUUGUCCCAAUAUUUUAUAAUGUUGUCUUCUCUCUUUUUCUCUCUCUCUCUCUCUCUCUCUCUCUUCUCUCUUAAUUUUUUUUUCCCAAAAGAGUAAUGUUACGAUUAUUUCAGAAUAUUGACUUUAUAUAUUGGCUUUAUAUAUUUUUGAUGUAUUUGCAUGUGCACUUCAAGAGUGAGAAAUAUACCACCAUCUUCUUAGGAUAACAAUUUUGUGGAUCCAAAAUGUUUGGCAAUAUAAAAGUAGUGUUACAAUUUUUCUAAAAUAUCGUCUUCUCUCUCAUUUUUAAAAUUUUGAAAAAAAAAAUAUUAUUAUAGAUUUUUUAAAAUAUUGUCUUUAAAUAUUGCUAACGUAUUGCCACAUUUUUGAAAGAUUCAAUUAGUUUAUAUGUAUAUUCCAAAAGUGAGAAAAUGUACCAUCGACGUCUUAUCAAAAUAACAUUUUGGAGGACCUAAAAAUAUUUUGCAUCCCAAAAAGUAGUGCAGUAGUUUUUCAAAAUAUUAUUGUCUUUUCUCUUGCUCUCUCUAAAAAUUUGAAAAAUAAAAUUACCAUUAUAGUUGUUUCAAAAUAUUAUUUUUAUAUGUUAUUGAUAUAGUGCCACUCACAUUAUGGAUAAUUUUGGUUAGAUGGUGCAAACACUUAAUACAACAUUGCCUUAUAAGAACAGUAUUCUGUAACACCCAAUAUAUUUCACUUAUUUAAAAGAACUAAUAAUAUAUGUUUUCCAAGAUGUUGUGUUGAAAAUCAGGAUAUAAAGAACUUUAAUUUGUUUAUAUACACAUUCUUAUAAAGUUACAUGGGUUUGUGAAUAAAACAAUAACUCACAAGCCAAAACAUUUUUGGCCAAUUUGCAUAAAAAAUUCACUUAUUUUGAGCUUUUACAAAAUCGGGGCACCUUUUUUGUUUUUACAGAUUCGAUCCGCUUUUUCAGCAAAGUGACCAAAAUACUCUUAUUACUUUUUCUCUUUCCUCUUUCUCUCUCCUCUUCGUUUUUCUCGUUCUUUUUUUUUUUCGCCGAAAAAAGUAGCGAAGGCAAAGGCGGAGGCGGACCUCGCCUCUCACCCUCAUGCUCUCGCCCUCGCCCUUGCCCUCGCCGACGCAACCCCACCUCCUCGCCUCCGACCCCGUCAAGGCUGCAUCGCGAUUUUUUUUUUUUUUUUGCUUUGUUCUUUUCUUUUUUUAUUCGACUCUUCUCCACCGUUUCCGACGACGACGUCUCUCUCGCCCUUCCCCGCCCUUGUUGUCUCUCCCUCUCCCUCCUUCUCUGCCGCCUCAGACGACGAUGCAUCUUCGCCGGCGCCGACGCGGACACCGUGGAGGUCACUGCGGCGCUGCAGCCUCGGAGCGGGGGGUUCUUAGCGGCGUCGCCGCCGACGCCGUGGCUGUUGGCAGAGAGAGUGAUAAAAAAAAAAAUUAUAGAAGAAACAGAAAAUAAAAAUAAAAAUAAAAAUUAUAUAAAAAGAAGGAUGAAUAUGAAAUUGUAUCGUUAACUGUAAAAAAAAUUACAAGUUGCACUACUUAAGAUGUAAACUGCAAUUUUAAGAUGAAAAUUACACUCUUUAAACAAAAAUUACACUUUUGGGGAGAUAUUUACACUGUUCUUUUCUUAUUGCACUCUUUCAGAUAUAAAAUGCAUCCAUUAAUAUGAAAGUUACACUCUUUAAACGAAAGUUGCACUGUUUCUCCUCUUGUUGCACCAUUUUUUCUCUUGUUACACUAUUUUUUUUCUUAAACUGUAUCCAUUUAAGAGAUAUUUAUACUGUUUCUCCUCUUGUUGCACUGUUUCUCCUCAUGUUGCACUAUUUCUCCUCUUGUUACACUGUUUCUCCUAUUAAAGGGUGCAGUUUAAGAUAAAAACAGUAUAACAAGAGGAGAAAUAGUACAACAAGAGAAGAAAAAGUGCAACAAGAGAAAAAAUAGUAUAAAUAUCUCUUAAAGGGGUGUAGUUUAAGAUAAAAAACAGUGUAACAAGAGAAGAAAUGGUACAACAAGAGGAGGAACAGUACAACUUUCGUUUAAAAAGUAUAAUUUUUAUCUUAAUGGAUGCAGUUUACAUCUUAAAGAGUGUAAUAAGUGGAGAAACAAUGUAAAUAUCUUUCAAAGAGUGUAAUUUUCAUUUAAAGAGUGUAAUUUUUAUCUUAAAGCUGCAGUUUACAUCUUAAGCAGUGCAACUUAUAAUUUUUUUUACAGUUAACGAUGCAAUUUCAUCUUCAUCCUUCUUUUUCUAUUAUUUUUUAUUUUUAUUUUUUUUCUUGCUUCUUUUAUAUUUGUUUUGUCACCCCUCUCUGCCAACGACCACGGCGCCGGUGACGACGCCGCUAAGGACCUCCGGCUCGGAGGCUGCAACGCCGCAGUGACCUCCACGGUGUCGACAUCGGCGCCGGCGUAAAUGCAUCAUCGUCGGAGGCAGGGAGGAGGGAAAGGGAGGAACGAGAAGGGCGGGGAAAGGCGAGAGAGACGUCGUCGUCGGAGACGGUGGAGAAGAGUCAAAUAAAAAAAGAAAAGAAAAAAGCAAAAAAAAAAAAAAUUCGCGACGCAGCCUUGACGAGGUCGGAGGCGAGGAAGGUGGGGUUGCGUCGGCGAGGGCAAGGGCGAGGGCGAGAGCAUGAGGGUGAGAGGCGAGGUCUGCCUCCGCCUUUGACUUCGCUAUUUUUUUCGGCGAAAAAAAAAAAAGAACGAGAGAAACGAAGAGGAGAGAGAAAGAGAAAAGAGAAAAAGUAAUAAGAGUAUUUUGGUCACUUUGCUGAAAAUUAGGACCGAAUCUGCAAAAAUAAAAAAAAUUAUCCGGUUUUGCAAAAGCCCAAAAUAAAUAGAUUUUUUAUGCAAAUUGGCCAACAUUUUUAAAAAUUAAAAUGUAUGAAUUGUCCCUUUAUUAUCUAAAAUUUUUUUAAAAUGCAUUAGCUAUAUUGGUGACACGACGUCCUAAUAAUCAUAUAAGAACUUUUGUAUACAUUAAUUUUCUUUUUUUAUUGAGAAAAAUGCUUCGUAGGCAAUGUACAUUAUGUUUUUUUCUUUAAUAAUCAUAUAGGUCGAUUUUUGCAUAAAAUAAUUUUUUAUUGUAAAUAAUUUUACAUGUUUUUAAUUUAGUUUCAUCUAUAACGACUUCUAAUUUAUUCUAAAUAAGAUUAAAAGUUAUUUACAAAAUUUGGAAAGGAAAGUGUUUAUGAGGAAACUAGAGCAAUAUCAAAACACUAAAGGAUCAAAUACUAUCAAUAAUAUUCCAGCCCAAUUCUAUAUAUAUAUAUAUAUAUAUAUAUAUAUAUAUUCUCUAGCUCUUCCCUGUAUAUACACACACACACCAAGAACCUACUAAAGGCAUGGGUAAAGAAAGGUGACCCUUUACUUUGUAUGUUUCAAUAAAGAAAGCAAGAGCAGAAGAAAUUUUCACCUAUCCCNAAAAUUUAUAUUAUAUUAUGUAUUUUUUAUUUCUAUUAUAUAGUAUUAUAUAUGUACUAUAAUAUUAUAUUAUAUUAUAUUAUUUAUUAAUUUAUUAUAUAAUAUAAUUUUGAUAUAUUUAAUUUACAAAUGUAAAUUAUAAUAAUAUAUAAAUUAUUAUAUAUUAAUACUAUAUAAUAUAUAAUAGAAGAAGUACAUAUAAUUGUUUUUUUUAUCUAAUCUUUUUUUUUUCUUUCAACCAAAUAAUCGUGAUGGAAAACUAUUUUUUAUUUUCUACAAACCAAACUGUAAGAGGCAUAAAAUUUGUCUUCCUCCUAAAAUUUUUUUUCUAUCGAAUUUUUUUUUAUAUAAUUUUACGUGGAACCAAACAACCCCUUAGUGUAUCUACGUUACUAUAUAUAUUGUUGAUAAUGCAUUAUGAUCUUUCUUCACCAACUUUGAAAACAAGGAGCUUUAUUCUCUCUCGCUAUGUACUUUUCUAUACGUUUCUCCUCCUUUUUUCCUCACAAUCACUCUCACUCUUUGUGGUUUACUCCUUUUUCAGAUUCUACCACUGCUGGCGAGGCACGUGACCGCGGCAAGAAUGUCGCAGAAUAGUGGACAUAGUUAGAUCAGGUUGUACCCUUUUUUGUAACAAGAAAGAGACUUGUAAUAUUUUCUGAACCAAAUGAUGUAAACUUACUAAAGUUUCAUUUAGUUGAACGUUUCAAGUAGUUGUGGAACUUUAAAUGUCUAAAGUUGAACGUUUAAGUAGUAGUUUGUUCUCUGGUAUAUCGAUCUCGCACAUAACAUGUAUGAUUGGACAGGUUGAUGUCUGUUACUGUUUCGUUCGGAUAGAAAAGAUCUUCUUGCCCAUUCGGUGGGUCAGGGCGCGUGCCCGAGCGGACCUAAAUUAGGCGAUCUCGGAGCGUGAUAGCCACCCAAUGUCAUCCCUUUAAAAUGGGUUCCAUGAUUCCCGAUCUCGUUGAUUCUCAUUAAACCUUUUUCCAACUUUAGUUAAUCAAUUCUAUAAACUUACCAUUAUAUGUGUAAUGAAGAUGAGACAAUUGUUAAAGCUAGAAGCUGCGGAUGGAGUACUUCUUGAUUAGGUGUUGAAGACAUGGCCAUCGUUAGAAUGUAUUUUCUCAGUAUGUACUUGUAUGUAUUUAUGAACAUAGGGAUGUCAAUGGAUACGUAUACUUGAAACUUUAUUCGAAUUUGGACUCGAAUAGAGUGGAUUUAUCAUAGAUAGAUAGAUAUAGUUUCGGAUAUCGAUAUCAAAAAUAAAAAUUUAACGGAUUUGACUUCGGGUAUGGAUUUUAAUUGUAACUGAACGAAACCAAACCUGAGAUUUUUUUACAUUAUAAUAUAUAUAUAUAUAAAGAGAGAGAGAGAGAGAGAGAGAGAGCUAGGCUGGAGUACUAUUGAUAAUAAAAGGUCAUUUUUGCUUUCAAGUUUUUAACCCUUGGAUGAGAAAUUGUAGGGUUAGGAUGAUAUUAGACCCUUAAGGUUGAGUGGUCUCCCUAGGGUUGAGUGGUCCUUACUGGGUUAUAAUAUUUAAUCCAAUGGUUAAAAAUGAAGAAAAAAAAUAAUCCAAAGGCUAAAAACUUGAUAGCAAAAAACAUCUUUUGCUAUCAAUAAUAUUCUAGCCUAACUAUANUAGGAACUGAUAACUUAUGUUCUAAUAACGAAUAGAAAAACUGAAUAAUAAUAAUUGGGGAACACACAGUAUCUGAAUUAAAAUACUUUUAUGAUUGGAUAUCUCGAUCCGAAGUAUCCAAAUGAUAUACAAAUACUUCCAAUCCAUGCUCAAAUUGAUAGCUAUCUCCCACGUCCUCUCUCUCUCUCUUCUUGAUCAUAUAAAAAUAAUAAAUAAUAUCAAAUAUACCCUUCAAAAUUUUUAAAAGAUCUAAUAUAUUCCUAAUUGGCCAAAUGCCUCUAAAUUAACAUUUAUCAAACAAAUACCGAACAUAUGAAGAACAAUAUUACCUUACAUAAAUUUGGGAGCAAGCGAGACCACCUUGCACGUAUUUGAAAGUUUUAAUGAAGCUUAAUAAAAAGCAAGAAAAAUAAAAGAUUGAUAAUAAGUUGCAAAAUUCAAACCAAAUCGAAAAUGUUAAGUGAAAACUAUGAAAAGAAUGGCUCAGAUGGUAAUAUACUUAUUCAUCAUUAUUUGGUAUAUAAAAUAGACUCCUAAUUUUUAUUCUCAAGUAAAUCAAAUUUUAGAAAGAUUAAGGAUGGCAGUGAUUGCCAUGAGACCAUUCUUACUACCCUUCUAUUAAAACUAUUGGGUAAAAAGUAAAAGAAUCUUUAUUGAAAGGUAUCUUAUCAUCAUUGAUUGCUUUCCCAAAAAAAAGAAAAGAAGGUAUGAAUUAUCAUCAUCCAAACCAAACUUAAUUAUUGUAUAAAUAUUUCCUCAGAAAAAGUGCAAACAAAUCUAAAUUUGCAAUCCAUCCAACAUAUUGAAAAGCAAUACAAUACUCGUACAAUCCGACAAAAUUUUAAGCCACAUACCUGAAGUGACCAUGCAUUGAACACAUAAAAAGCAAAUAUAAAAAUUUGACAACAGUAUAUCUGAAUUGGCAUUUCAUUGAACAUGUAAAAAACGAGAUCACCUUUUAUAGAUUUGGGAGCAUAGUGCUUGAACAGAAUUGAAAACACAAAUUUGCAAGUAAAUUAGUCUCAGAAAAAAAGGAAAAGAAAAACUAAAUGCAAAUAAUCUGCUGCCAACGACAGAGUUUUUGUCACAACUAUCAAAUUAAAUUAUAUCGUCUAGAUUUAAUGCCUCAAACUGAGGGUUUGAAGCGAUAGAUGUGGCCACCUUCAAUUUGUUAAGUUUUUUUUUUUUUGAGAGAUUCAAUUUAUUAAGUUAAUAAGCCAAUGAUAUAUUGCUAGGUAUUAAAAAGAUUGGAAAGUUCAAGAAGUGAAGAAAAAACAAAUAAGUGCAUCAUGUCAUGUGCACGAUUGGCCAUCAUUCAUUCCUUUCAAUUCAAAGUAAUAAGAAUUGCAUCAAAUAAAGACAAUUCUACAUUCAAUCCCGUCAUAUGAUAUAUAAGAAAUGCUAAAUUAAAUAUGCAACAUGCAAGAAAGUAUUGAACAACUAUGUAUGCAAAGUGAAUGACUGUGAAUUCAUGUGUUAGAGAGAAAGAGAGAGAGUGAGAGAGAGAGAGAGAGCGUCCCUCCUAGACUUGCCUGUAGCUUUGCCUUCCUCCUCAUGGAGGGAGGCCCUCCUCCCGACCCUCCACCUUUGAAGGAAUCCUCGUCUCCGUCGCAUGCUCAGAAGGAUUCCGAAUUGAUGCCCCAAUCUCGUUCGUGGGCACAAGUUACUUCAGGUGUGGGAAAGAACAUUGCUCAUAUAAAUGCUAACUUUAUUACUGCUGAUCAACUUUCUAGAAUUAAGGCUGCAACUACAGAUCGUGUAGUUAUUGAUCCAAUAGAGCUCCAGGAGAGUAUAAAUGAAUGGCAGUUCUCAUUAAUUGGUAAGUUUCUUACCAGACCUCCACCUUUACAUAUUAUUAAGAAUGUCCUAAGCACUAUUUGGCCUACUGAUGGGAACCUUGACAUUAUUGACCUGCCAUCGGGUUUCUUCUUGUUCAAGUUCUCAAGCGAGCAAGCUAUGCUAUCAAUCCUGUCAGCUAGCCCAUGGACAGUGAGGGGUCUACCCCUUAAUCUCAUGCGAUGGAGGCCAAAUUUUAACCCAAUGGAGGAGAUGAUCUCUACUGCUCUAGUAUGGGUCCACUUCCACAAUUUACCCAUUGAGUACUGGAAGCAGCCUAUUUUCUUGCAAAUUGCUAGUCGGGUUGGUAGGCCACUCAAGUUAGAUGAUACGACGCUUACUAGGGCCCGGGGACAGUUCGCCCGAGUUUGCAUUAAGAUUGAUCUCUCAAAACCACUAUGUCAAGGAUUAUGGGUGGGUCCUCUUGAGAGGGAAGCUUAUGUGCUUAUUUCUUAUGAGAAUCUCCCUGUUGUCUGCUUUUGCUGUGGGCAUGUGGGUCACCGACCCACGGAUUGUCCCACAAAAAAGUUGAUGAUAGUGAAGGAUCCAAUUAGAAUGAGUAAUAGUUUAAGUGAAGGAGAGCCUGGUGAGGAGAAUUCAAGGCAACAGGACAAUGAGGAUGAUACAUUUCUAUUUGGCCCCUGGAUUCGGGUGAGACGUCGCUCUGGGCGUCGUGGACGUAGCCGUCGUCGUUCAAGAUCACAGCAGCCUAAGACAAUAAGCCCGACUCCGACCGCCGACAGAGGUGUGCGUGAUAACCCGGUUCAAGAAACUCGGGGGUUUAUCGUGGGCCGGGGCGAACCGGCCACAAAAGACCGUUCUGACCACUCACGUGAUAUGGCUCUCAACGGGAAAAAUCACAUUAAUGAGCGUGUCAGAUUUAACCCAUUAAUAUCCUCCAUGAUUACUCCUGCCCAUAGAGGGGAUGCUGCUACUUUAAAUGUUGACCAAGGGGAGACCAAUGUGAACAGGCCAACUAGCAUGAAGUUAGCAAUGGGCCCAAUGGGUUCUGACAGAUGGAAGAAAAGUGGCUUAAAUAAUUCAAAUGCACGUGAUGGAGUAUUAGCUUGGACAAGUGGGACCCAAAAGAUAGUGCAUGNCGGGUUACUUCCACCACCCUUCUAUUUUAGUCGCUCUCUUACUCUCGCUUCACGACUCACGCAACUCAAAACUGAGAUAACGGAACCUCCACCCCCCUUCACCCCACUCUCUCUCCCUCUCUCUCUCUCUCCAAGUUUUUUUUUUUUUUUUUGAGAGAGAGAUAGUUAGCACGCUACCCACUUCAUUUAUUUCUAAAAUCAUUUAUUUCAUUUAGAAAUAAACUUAGCUGGAAAUAUGAAUCAACUAUGAUUCGAACUUAGGUCUCGGGUUCCAACCACCAAGCCUUUUGCCACUUGCUCUAGGAACGGUCAGUCUCUCAUUCCAAGUUCCAACCCUACCUUAUGUAAUCAAAACAACAAUUGAACUUUUGUGCUUUAAAAAUACCAAGUUAUUAAUUAGUACUUGUAGAUUUUUGACAAUUGAAUUAAAAAAUGUGCGAUUAAAAUGAUAUAGGACCCUUAGGGUUGAGUGGGUGGUUGGUUGAAUACUAUGAUCUAACGGAUGAAAAUGAUCAAAGGAGUAGACCUAAUGGUAAAAAAUUUAUAAACACCAAAUGCUUGGUGCUUUUACAAGCACUAUAACCGGACUCAUCAAAACAAUAUAUAUAUAUAUAUAUAUAUAGUAGGACUAGUGUGCUAUUAAAAGAACGGAGGUCUUCAUGCUUCUAAGUCAUUUUCGAUAAUAGAACUUUUGAAUCGACAAAUGGCUCUGUUAAACUUAAUCUAGUUUAUUUAAAAUACCUAAAAAAUAAAUUUUGUAAUUUUCUGAUAUAAUUUACUUAUUGAUCAAAAGGAUUCAAAAUCGAUAAAUUUUAAUAGUUGAUGUGUGCCGUUUAUAGGUUUAACAGUGUAGAAGUAUUUAAACCAUAUGAAAUUUUGACAGAAAAUUUUUUAUAUUAUUUAGAACAAAAUUAAUAUCUCUGAUCGAAAAUUUUAAUGCUAUAUCGCAACUUUUUAUAAGAUUUUUAUUUUUAGCCGUCUAUUUUUAGCAUUUUUUAUUAUUAGGUAAAUAAUAUCGAAAAUCACAAAAUUUAUUUUUUAUAUACUUCAAAAGUCAAUUAUUGAUUUGAAAGUUCUAUCAUCAAAAAUAGCUUAUGACCACAGAGGUAUCCGNCAAUGUGAACAGGCCAACUAGCAUGAAGUUAGCAAUGGGCCCAAUGGGUUCUGACAGAUGGAAGAAAAGUGGCUUAAAUAAUUCAAAUGCACGUGAUGGAGUAUUAGCUUGGACAAGUGGGACCCAAAAGAUAGUGCAUGGGGGCCCAAGUGAGUUGGUGGAUCAAAUUAAGUCUGUGAAUUAUGGUGUUCUUGAAUCAAAUGACGAUCAGAUCGCAGCACGUGGCGAGGCUAUGUCCGUUGAUCGGCAUCCUCAUAAUGGGGAUCAAUGUAUGGAAGAAGGUAACCAUGGCGGGCUCUUGCAGCCAGCUAGCUUUUUUCCCUCUUCUUCUGACCCCAAGCGCCUAGACACCUCUGCCGGCGAGGGGUCAUCUAGACCUCCCUCCCCAACGGAGAUGCUAGCUAAGAAGGUCUCUAUGGCCCUUGACGCCCUUCCUCCUCUUGCUCAUCGGCAGCCCCUUCGAUCAAGUUUAGCUCGAAAACUGGCUAGGCUUGGCUCUAAAAAGGGUAUUAUGGAGGAGCUCGAUGUGGGGGAUCUUGCCCAAAAGUCGCCGGAGCUGCUAAAGGCCAAACUGAAAAGUGCAUCUCGACGAUCGACAAAACGACAACCCCAAAAGAAGGACUUCGAAGCGGCCUCAAUGGCUGAUGAGCUAGAUCUGGAAUCUUCUGUUUCCUUAUGAAGCUGAUUAUUUGGAAUGUGCGCGGGGCAUCCAAGAAGGAAGCCACGANAUAUGAGACAUUUUUUCGUUUAACGGUGUAAAAAUAUCCAAACUAAUUAAAUUUUAGAUAGAAAAUUCUUUAAACUAUUAAAAAUAAAAUCUAUAUUCUUAAUCUUGAUUACAAGACUACUAUCAUUAUUUUUUAAAUAACAUUCAUUUUCAACCGUUCAUUUUUAUGUCAACUUGAUGGACAGAAAAACAAUAUCGAAAAAGUAUGAGAUUUAGUUUCUAAAUGUUUUCAUAUUCAACGGUGUCAAUCGUCAAUUUGGAGGUUCCAUCAUCGAAAAUAAAUGAGUGACAAUAUAGUUCGUUUGCUACUAAUAAAAUUCAACUCAACUCUCUCUCUCUCUAUAUACACACACAACCUUAAAAGUUCAAUUUAUUCUCUCACUCUCUAUUGCACCUUAAAAGUUCAAUUUAUUCUCUCACUCUCUAUUGCACCAGUUGAGAAAUUCUCUCUCUUUUUUAUCAACUCAACCUUAGAGGGUGUUUGGUUCAACAUAAAAUGAAUCGAAAAGAUUAUUUUCAACAUGGAAAAUAUUUUCUACUUGUUUGAUUUAAUAUAAAAAUAUAUUUUUGCAAAAAUAUUUUACAGAUUUGAAAAAAAAAUUGAAGUUUUCAUUUUUCGCUAUUUUUUGGCAGAAAACAAAAAUCCAAACUGUGCAAAACUUUUUUCAUUCAUUUUUCUCCACUAAACCAAACCAAUGUAGUUUUUUUUUCCUUCCAACCAAACAAUAGUGAUGAAAAAAAAAUAUUUCCACAAAUCAAACACUACAAAAUGCGAAAAUAUUUUUUUUACGAAAAAUUAUUUUUUCACGGUUUUAUGUUGAACCAAAGAGACCCUUAGUUGGCAGGGGGUGCAUUGGAACCCAUGGUUAUGGACCCGAAUCCGUUAGUAUAAAUCUGAGAAAAGCUUGGAAAAUAGCUUUUGAGGCAAAUAUGGCAUGCAUGAAACAGUUUUUAUUUUAAAGCUAUUGUACCCCUGCUAGAACUUAGUACAUAGAAACUUUAGUUAAGGCAAGGUUUAGCCCAUGAUUUAUUUUCAUGAGAAUUACUAUGCCUUCUAGCAAAACUAUUAGAACAAAUAUCUUAUAAUUUUUAUGAGUUUAUUAAUUAUAAAAGAAAUAAUAUCCUAAGAGCGCAUUUAGUUCGUGCUAUUCUGCCAGAAUUAAUAAAAAUCCUACAGAAAUAUUUUUCAGAGUGCCGCAUUUAGUUCAUCCCGCACGCAAUUUUAUAAAUAGUUCAAGAUUACUAGUAACAAAGGAUUACUCUAUUAUUGGAAAGAAAGAAAGAAAGAAAAAUAUAUAUCUUGCAUUACUAGACUGUAAUUAUAGAGAACAUUAAUUAUUCUAUAUGACAUGGACUAGUAAAGUCGUCGGGGAGUCGAGCUCUCCUCACUGUAUAAUUCUAGCUCGAUCGAGACUCAUCUUAUACUUUCAGUUGCCGAUUAACUCAUAGUUGCGUCACUCAUUCUAGAAUAUUAAAUUAUACAUUUUAAUAAUAGAAAAUACUCAAAAUUUAAAUUACAUAGCAUAUUAGGUUUUAAAAAUUAGGAUGCACAAGAUGCAUAGAGUGACUUUAAUAGGGUUAAAAGUAACUAAAUAGUUCUAUCCAAAAUGUGCACCAUGUUAUUAAUGCCAAAAAUGUUGCAAACUUUAGACGCGUACAUGUGCUCCCCAAUACAUCUGACCCAUUCUAUAGAUCAGAAUAGAAGAUAAUAAGUUUUGAACCGAUUCAGGAUAGACAACUUCUUAGUAAAAUAAGUUAAACACUUUAUCAUGCAUUUUCAUUGAUUCAACAUGGGGUUUGCUAAGUUACACUUUACCAUGUAGCAACUGCAAUAAACCAACAAAAUAAUCUAUGAACACGCGCGCGCACACAAAAUUUGACCAACCAAAAUUCAUCUCAAUUAUUAUGCCCUCUAUUCAACAUCAGGGCUAUAAACAUUACAUAAUAUUACAACGUAUUACAUUAUACACAAAGAGAUACAAAUGCUCAUCCUCAGUUUCUUGAUACAACUUCCUUUGCAUAAGUAAAGCAUUAAGAAAGAGAAACACGGCGACUAUCUAAACUAGCGAAGACCCUUUUUUAUCUGAUCUUAUUUAAUUAGGACAACAGAAUAUAUGCAGACAACUGGAAACAGAGAGAGGAUCCCGAAUUCCUUGUGAUUUAUUUAAGAAAGGGAUUAAUAUUUACUCGAAUCUCUCAGCCCAUAGUGUAAGAGGGGGCUGGGAGGUUUAUUACGGUGCUCUUGACCUUCGUCAUCAUGUUAAUACUGUUAGUUAUCCCCUGAGAUCCGAUGCCACUGUCCUUAAGACCCUGCAAAGCACAAGCCAAACCGAGAUUUACUUAACGCCCAUUCCGCGCAUAGCUCCUGGAACAACUUUUUCUGCUCAAAAUCAUUUCCAAUAGAAGCCUAUAGCUUUAGGUUGAAACAGAAAGCUGAAAUGAGCUUCAUCUGGACUUUGGAACUCCCGAUUUUAGCUUCAGCAGGAUGCGGCUAGCGCGAUUUCACGACACAAACUGCUCGGGCUUGUUCCAACAGCUCUACUCAAAUAUAAAAAAGAUCAAUACCUGGAAGGGGAAAUGAUCAGGUCCGCGAGCCGGCGCUGAGUUGAUCUGAACAGUUCCUGUCUCCAUUGCAUCGGCUAUCAUGAUUGCUUUGUUGAUGUCUCUCGUGAAGACGCAUCCCUGUGGACAUGUGAAGCGUCUAGGAGUCAGCUUGCUUACGGAGGAGAUUUUAGAAUGUCCAAGGAGCAAGCAACAAUAGAGUAUAUAAGCUCUACUGCACCAACACCAUUUGUUGUAAGUUAUUGCUGUUGUGUCAGGAAUAUCUCAGUUAUUAUAACUAUUACAUUAGAUCGAACGGAGGAAAUUACAAACUACCAUUAAAAUAAUUAAUCGCGGACAGGAGAGAAGUAGCAAAUAUAUGCCCGAAAAAUAGUAGUAGCUGCAUGCAGAUAUUUGUGUGAACAAACUCUUCGGAACAAAUAUAGUUACAUUGUCCAUCAAGGUAACGGUGGCAAGUAUCUAAACUUGGGAUUAACAAUUACUUCUUGCAUUAUCUAUCCAAAGGUAAAAGCAGACAGAGAAUAAGGAAAGCCAGCUGCCCCUGCCAGACUAAUGUAAAAAGGCAAAAUUUACUCACAUAUCCCUAGGCAACCUAUAAUUUUCUAUACUGUCCAAAAGUUGCAAAUAUCAUAAAUGUCAUCUAAAAAUACCCUUACGAAUAUAAAUGCCAGGAAAAUGUGCUUUUAUUUUUAAGAAUGUCCAAGGGAAAGGGCAUUCACGAAAGAAUGUAUUGUUUGAGGGGUAUAUGUGAUAAGUAGAGAGAGGUAGGUGCCCGGGAGGGCAGACCUAGAAAGCGAGACUAACAUACCUGGAGCCCAAAAUUGCUGGCAUUGCAAUGGUGGAUACCUUCCUCGACUGAGCUAAUCCUAAUCACUGGCAAGACCGGACCAAAGGGCUCCUCCCAAGCGAUCCUCAUAUCGGGACGGACGUGAUCCAAAAGCAACGGCCAGAUGAGAUUUCCUUCCCUCUUAUACUCUUGGCAGAAUGUUGCUCCUUUCUCUUUGGCAUCCGUAACCAAGCCUUCAAUGAAAUUUGCCGAGGACUCGGUCACCACAGGGGUUAUAUCAGAGUCUUCCUCAGGCGGACCCACCUUGAGUUUCGCCAGCUUGGCAUUCACUUUCUCCACAAGAGCAUCCGCUACUGAUUCCAUCACCAGGACAACCUUAACAGCAGUGCAUCGUUGGCCGCUGUAUUGGUUGAAAGCAAGGAGAAAAUAAGGCCUCACUAACUUUAAGAAAUCAUACUCACUUCCCACACACAUAGUUAAACUAACAGCAGAGAUAGAUACUGUUCAUAAUCUUACGACGUUUAGAGUAAAUAAAAACAUGAUUUGUUUAUCAGAACAAAAUACUCUUCGGGGGAAAAACCUUUUUAAACCCUAGAUUGUCCCACUAUCUGAUAAUUAAUGAGGGCAAAAUUAAUUUUGUGGUCAGUUUUGGAUUCAUAUGAUUAAUUGUGGGAUUACAAAGAUAACUGUAAUAAACCAAGAAACUGAUGAUGAAUCCAGACAUUAGUUGCAUAGUAUUUAGUUGGAAUUGUAUUUUUGUUAUCCUAGAAUAAUAUGAUUUGACCAGAGCAAACUUCCUGAGGUUAUUUCGGUUGCUUUUGACAGAAUAAGAGGGAAAAUUUGAGCUAUCCCCCUGUUGUUCACCUACCAAUCACUACACAGGAGACUGGCAGCAAGAACGAUCAAGGGCUAUGCUACAUUACCUGUAAGAGAAACCUCCUUUUACUAUAUUUGCAGCAACUAAAUCAAGAUCAGCAUCUUCUAGCACUAUGCACGCAUCCUUCCCCCCGAGUUCCAUUUGAAGGGGGAUCAUUCCAGCCUUCUUUGAAAUGGCAAUGCCAGUAUCGCCUCCAGUAAAGCUGCAAUAAGAAGAAAAAUAAAAUGAAAAAGAGGUUUGUAUAAACACCAUAGUAUAAGAUCCAUAAAAGCCUUCAAACACAAUGUUCAGUACCUUAUACAGUUGACCCCAGGAUGCAUUGUGAGAAAAUCUCCAAUUUCUGAGCCCUUGCCCGUGACACAGCUAAUCAAGCCUUUUGGAAAACCGGCCAGGUGAAAGCAGUGUAUCAUAUGAAGAGCAGCGACUGCACCCUGGUUGAACAAUAAUUCACAAAAAAUGACAAAUUAUAAAUAGUAAGGAUACGAGUGUACGAGUGUGUUUCAUCUAUUACACCUGAGUAGGGGGUUUGAGCACAAGAGCAUUGCCAGCAAUCAAUGCAGGAGCAAUCUUGGAGACCGCCAAGUUCACAGGAUAGUUAAAUGGUGGUAUUGCCAAAACAACUCCAAGGGGUAUCUACAAUAAUACACACGACUAUUACAAACAUAAACAUAAAGAAUAACAUAUCUUAAUUGAUUCGAGUAUUAUUACUAAUUAGUCUUUUUAACGUUUUCCUCGUUUCGUUUUACAAUUCAUAUCUUCCUACUGCUUUUCCUUUCUUUCUUCCCUUAACUUCAGGUUAUCCUAAUUUCUCAUGUUAUCGUACUUUUCUGUUCUUCCUUUUUGUCCUUUCAAUUGAAUUCCUACACUUUUUCUUUUUCCUUCUGAUUCAAAAGUGCUUAGCUUAAGAGAUCACAAACCAAAGUGCCAAUCAUUACUAAUCGUCCUGCUUCUCAUCUGCAAUCUUUGGUCCAUAGCAAAAAAAAAAAAUGUUUUUUAUGACUAGGCCACAAAGUAAUACAUAGCCAGAGUCGUGUUAAUUAAAGAUUCAAAGUGAACAAUGCUUUGCUUCGCAAGCUUUGCAAAGUGAUGCUUCAAUAGCCAUACAAUUCAGGAAUCAGUUAAGGUACUAACGAUUAGUUUGGUGGGUCAACUGUUGUAAAAGUUUCAAGGUACAAGUUUUUCAAUUCACCUGCAUCCAAAUUCUCUCUUCGUAUUAUUCUUUUGUUUCCACACGGACAUGUUGCUAUAGUUUUGUCCUUUUAAAUAUUAAGCACUGAUGAAUUACAGAUAGAUUGGUUAGUAUAUUCAUUAUAAACAUUUCCAAAAUAAUAAUUAGUUUCAGCCACUAACAACGUAACAUGUUUAGAAAUCUUUCCACUCUUAAACUGUACCCAAUAAAGCCCAUGGUUUCAUCAAACAAAUAUUAAUACAGCCUAACUAGGAACAACCAAGAACUGACCCCACAUAAAAUCGACAUGGUAUCUGAUUAGGUCAGAAUUAAUGCCCUAAACAUAAAAAAGAUGCCACAGUAUAAAUGAAUAGCUACUUGUUUUGGCAACUGCAAAAAUAAAUACCCCUACCACCCCAUCUGUUUUUCACACCCAUUUUCUUCCAGUGCACAAAAUACAGUCAUUAAUCCUCUAGUGCACAAAAUACAGUUACUAACUAAUUAACUAAUUUCUAAGCUAUUCCCCCAAACCAACGGCAUAUGGAAGAAAGUCAUCCUCUUCAAGAAUAAUAGAAAGAUUUUUCCUACUUCAAGGCCAUUGAUUCACCCUCUUAACGUUUACCAUCUUCAACUAAUUGAACAGUCUUUGUUUUGUUUUGUUUUGUUCGAGUGUUAUAAACUCUGGCACAUCAUGAAAAAUCAAUCUGAAAUCCUGAGAUUAUAAAAUGUGUUGCACGCGGUGGUUGCAGGUUGGGUGAGGCUGUGAGGGGUCACUUUCUCCAAAUACUCUGCUCUCUGAGAAGACUAGCACCAAAAAGUAAAGGAAAACUAAAUGAGCCACAUACCUAAAAGUCAACUGUAUUUAUAAAUUACAAUCAACAAAACUUCUAACAUCCAGCAAAGCAGAAAGGAACCCGCUAAUUUUGUUAGUUGAUGGUAUGAGAAUAAUGCAUUUAAUACCAAAAAUCAAUCUGAAGAGACAUUUGCGUCGAGCUAAGCCACCGCCAAAUCACAAAAGUUACGUAAGCCCAAACUAGGUUGGAACCAUUCACUACGUUUCUGUUUGCUGAGUUUUUGCAGAAUUUUUUUUAAUAUAUGAACUUUUACCAAGUCCACAAAAGGAGGGUAACAUAAAAGAAAACAAAAUUAAGAAUAGAUAAAAUAUGUAUACCUUAGAAGCAAGGCAAUACUUGUUGCGUUCAUUGCCAGGAAAGCUGUCAGAAAGAAGCAGCUUGCCCUCUCCAAGUACCCGGACACCCUCCUCAGCAGUGUACGAUACGAGAUCACCGGACCUAACCACCUAUUACCAAUAAAGAAAAGCAUUACUAUGCAACAAGAUUCUUCUAUUUGGCAACAACUUCUCUACUCUUAGAGAUAUCAAAACCAAACAUUUGGCAAACAAAAGUCUAAAACUUCUAGCUAUAGCGGGAAGCCCAAUUGAGCUUCUAUGACCCAAAAGUGGAAGGUUUUGCAAAAAUUUCUCGCUGGAAUUUUAAGAAAAAUGCUUUUAAGUACUUUUUCAAACAACUCUUUUGAAUAAUAGUUUUGAAGAAGCUCUAGCUAGGCCAAAAAGGCUCAUUACCGGAAUAGUCCUAUACAUGCAGGGCAAAGAUCCAUCAAUGGCACCACAAAAUAGGUGACGGAUAGAAAAGAAAGAACAUUACAUCUGCUUGGAGGGUAAUUUUACACAAAAUAUACAAGCUAAGGAGUAUUUUCAACUCCUGGGGCUAAAGGACCAUAGUGUCUAAUUGUUGUUCGACAAAGUGUGCCUUAGUACAUUUAGGAGAAGCACAGCUAGCUUUUCAGUUCAAAUUCCUCCAAACAGCUUCUCUCCACAGAAAAAUUAAAAGCCUAAACUUAUAGAUUCUCCUUUUUGGGCCUCAAUUCUUUUUUCUUUUCUUUUCUUUUUUUUUUUUUUUGCUUCUGCCAUUGCAGAAGUUCAAAACAUUUUAGUUCAUCGAACAUGCUCUUAGAGGUGGUUGCAGCUGAAAGAGGAAACAGAAGCUAAGCUACCGGACCUCAGAGACGGCGUCCUUGGCGGGCUUGGCGAUCUCCUUGACGAGGCAUUCGGCGAUGGGGGCGCGGUGCUCCUUGAGGAUGGCCGCGGCCUUGUGGAGGAGCUCCGCCCGCUUCCACAGCGGCGUCCGCGCCCACGCCUUCUGCGCCGCCUUCGCUGCCUCCAUUACCUUGUUCACCUCCUCCUGCGUGCAUGCUGACCACACCAAAAGAAGCAAAAUUUUAACUUGUUAAAAAAAAAAAAAAAAAAAGCAAAAUUUAACAAGUUUGAGACGAAAAUUUCUGAAGAAAAAAGAAUUAGAGGGAAAUAGAAAAUAACAUUCAAUGAACAUAGAAAUUUCUCAAGAAAACGAACAUCACAGAGCUCGUGGAAAAAGGAUAAAUAUUUGAUGACAAUUAAGGAACUCGGUUAAAAUAGAAUUUGACCACUACGAAACCCAUCAGAGAAAGAGCAAAAUGCGAUAUAGUAUACAAUGUAAAAAAAAAAAAAAAGAAGAAAUCGUUAAGAAGCUUAGAUUGAGACAUUAUUCUGGUUUCAUUUUGAAAAUACGAAAUGGUCUCUCCAACGCAUUGACGAUCAUUUCAAUUGCGAAAUAUAUCGAUUUGAGGAUCUAAUUCUCAGUUUUUUCCAGGUAAUUUUAGUUUUAUUUCGCAAGUGAAAAAAAAAAAAAAAAUCGAACUUGCAAGAGAAAAUCUCGCACGGAGCCGAAUCUCAUAAAAUAAAGAAAAAAAUCAAGACCCACCCAAAUUAAUUCAACCUAUCGAGAAAAAAAAAAAAAAGAUCAAAUUUUAAAGAAAAAAAUUGCAGAAAAAGCUGGUAAAAACUCCAUUUCCGCAAAAAUCAAUCACAACCCAAUUCAAAUUACCCUCAAAAAAACCCAAAAGAGCAUCUCAGAGCGCUCUAAUUCUCCCCGAAAAAAAACAUAAUCUUUGCGAAAAUUAAUCACAAACAAAUCCGAAUCACACUCCUAAGAUGCGGAAACUACCACCCAAAAUUAAAAGCAAAAAUGUAAAAGGAAAGAAGAGGAUCGAGCACCUUGCACUUUGUACUGGACCUUCCGAGUGGUGGGAUUAAUGAUGGAAACCGACUUCCCCGAAUUCGACUUCCUCCACUCCCCCUCGGCGUAGUACUUGAACACCUCCCCGUCGACGAUCUCGUCGAACGCUCCCCCUCCUCUCCUCCGCUCCCUCGCCCACGCCCACCUCUCACCCGACGCCCACGAAGCCGAAUUCGAAUUCGAAGCCGAAGCAGGGGAGCAGCGAGCGAAGAGAGGAGACGCGAAGGACAACGCGCGGAGCGAGUUACGGUUCGGGUUAGGGUUAGGGUUAGGGUUAAUAUAUACGGGCGAGGCGAGCCACGAGUCGCCGAUAAAGGGCGGAGCGAGGGCUCCCAUUGGUCGGGGCGGGGUGGUGGGGUCCUCCUCGGGGAAAGCGACGGGGGCGGUGGUGGGGGCCGUUUUUGAGUGUCGGAUUUGCCACCCUUUUAUCGCGGAAAUUACGGACGUACCACUGAGGGACCGGUGGGGCCGCAAAAUUAAUUCGUGGCCUCGUACGGCGCGCCAGUAGCGGGACCCGCGAGAGGAAAAAUUCAAGAAUGCACCGGUGGUAUAUUGGUGACGUUCCGUAACAAAUUAAUAAAAAAAAUUUUUAAAAAAAUAUAUGUCACAUCAUAAUUAUAAAAAAAAUAUUUUUAUUAUACUUUUGUUUCUAAAAAAGAAAAUAACUGGCUUAUUAUUAAUAACGUGAUGCAAGUAUGAUAAUUUGAAUUCUAGUAAAUUCACAUUUUUAGCUAAGUUUAUUUCUAAAUGAAAUAAACGAAGCUGGUAGCGUGCUACCUAUCUCUCAAAAUAUAUAUUUCGUAUGAAAAAUAUUUUUUAUAUUAUUUGGAUCGAUGUAGAAGUAUUUUUUUGUAAAAGAAUUUUUACUGAUUCGAAAAAAAUUAAAAUUUUUAUUUUUUAUUAUUUUUUGGCAAAAAAUAAAAUCUCAAGCUGGAUAAAUUUUUUUCAUUCAUUUUUUUACACCGAUCUAAAUAAAUGUAAAUUUUUUUCUUUCAACCAAGCAAAUAUCAAUGAAAAAUUUUCUUUUCUGAAAACUAAAUAUUACAAAAAGUAAAAAAAAAAUCCACCAAAAGUUUUUCUCAUGGAAAAUUAUUCUUUACUGUUUUAUGUUUAACCAAACCAACCCUAACAUAAAUUUAUUUAUUUGGUUUAAAUUUUACAUCUAAUUUAUUCAAAAACUUUUUUUUUUUACUAGUCCAAUUAACUUUUUUAAUAAAAAGAGAUUUAUAAAUCCUAUGGUUAAUGGGAUGUGAGGUGUCCAUCUAUAAGUAGGUAUAUAAAUAGCAUUUUUCUUUAUUUUAAUUUUCAUUCUUCUAGAGUAAGAUAAAUAUCGAUGACUUAAUCAUAGCCGCUCGUUAUUUAUUUUGUGAGUAUUACAAUUUAAAAUUAUUUUUUUCUAAAUUUAUUAUUAAUAUACAUUAUUUCAGAUUAAUUUUAAAAAUAAUUAAUGAUUGAAAUAGAAUUUUCAAAUUUUUUCUAUGCAUUAGCAUGUUCUUUAGAUAAGUGAAGGCACUUUUUCAUCAUCUAAUAUACGUUCAAAAAAGAUUAACACCAAAUCAGUGGACCGUCAAUGGCUGACGUGGUAAAGCUAGUCCAUGGAAUAAUUUCUCCACUACCGGACAAAAAUAUUAGUGUGAUAAGCCCACAUGAUAUAAAAGCUUUUGUUUAGUAUUAUUAGAAAAUUAUACUUUUUCUUGUUAAACUUUUAUUCAUUAUAAUUUUAAAUUAAAUUGUCCAAAAUGUAAGUUCUACAGUUUAAUUAAAUUACCUAAACAGUAAAAUUGGUGACGUGAUAGUAACACAGCAAUUUUGAAUUGAUAAUGCCGUAAUAAAUAAAUAUCACCUCACUAUCGAAUUACUAAUAUAUCAAUAUUUAAUUAAUUAAAUUAAAUUAUAAUAACUUAAAAGACAUAAAUUAAGACUUUUAAAAUAUAAAGUUGGAUGGCCAAAAGUUCAACAACUAUAAUAAUUUAAAAGAGAAAUAUAAUUUAAUAUAUUAUUUAAUUAUUUUAUUUAUUUAUUUUUUAGCAACAAUAUAAAAGCGUUGAACAUGUGUUGGUGGUGGCAAUAAAAGCGAAGGCAACGAACACAGUAACAGUCUCCAUCUUUUUAUUCAUUUAUUUAUUUACCCAAGAAUUUAGGUGAUAUUAUUUUUUUACCAAAAAUAUAAAAAUAUAGGUGACAUUAUUGCACGAAAUGUAAAGUUCAACAGCUGGUGACAUCAAUAUGUAACCCAUAUACGUGUGGUAGUUUGAAACACUUACUUGGUGCAUACUUAUAAGGAAAGAUUUUAAAUACUGCUUCUGUAAUUUUAUAUUUUUUAUUUUAGUAUUUUUUAAUUUAAAAUGUAUUAAUUUAGUAUUCUGUCGUUUUAUUUUUAUCUUUUUAUUAUCGAUUUUACUAGUUUUUUUCGUUAAAUCGGUGCUAAAAUUAAAACUAAAGGGUAUAAAAAUGAAUAUUCGAUAAUCCUAGGUGGGAUAUUUAAAGUUUUUUUUUUAUAAUUUAACAAAAUAUUAACAAAAAAAUUGACGAAAAGAAGCCACAUGACACUAACUUGAUACACUUUAAACCAUAGAGUAAGUGAGAAAAUACGAAAUCACAGGAGUGGUAUUUGAAGUUUACCUUUUAUUUUUUACAGGAGAUAUGUGAAAUGACAGUUUUGCCAUCACAAAUAUGUUCCUCAAAAAGUCCUAACUUUUAGAAUCAUACAGAAAUGUUCUCUUAAAAAUCUCCAACGGUCACUUUCUUUCUACCAUUACAUAUAAUAUAAAAGAGGUAAAAAGAAUAAUUUAUCUUAUUCACUAAUCAGGGUUAAGUAUUUUACUUACGGUUAGCUAUAUUUUUCUAACGGAUCCUAACAGUAAGGGUAAUAAUAUUUGCUAUUCGAUAUUUUUAUGAGAAGUUGUACGUAGCCCUAAUUAUUAAUUAGUUCCAAUAGUAAAGGGAACUAUAUUUUAGGUAGCAUUAGUAAUCAAAUUUUGUUUUCUUCUUUAGAGAUGAUCAUCUCCACACAUGUCAAGAUCAUUUGCUUGUUAUGUACUAGAAAUAAUUGUCCUUUUCUAAAAGAAAAGUUUGUAGGCAUUUCAUUAACGUAAAACUUUUAAUUAAUUAGUAAACAGUUUGGGAGGAAAUUGUAAGUCCCAAAACCAACAAGGAAAAGAUACAAUAGACGAUCUACAAGCCUAAUUUACCAUCGAUUCCCUAAACAUAAACAUAAAUUCCCAACAAAACAAGGGAAAACUCCGACAAAGUUGUACCCGUUUAGAGUUGUUACUUGGACCAGAUUAGAUCGACACCUAAUUAAUUAUUAAAAUUUUUAGGGAAAACUUCAAGAACCCCCCUUGUGGUUUCACUUCUUUUCACUUUAGUACCCUGUGGUUUAAAAUGUAUCAAAUUAGUACCCUGUGGUUUCUCACUUUAUCACUUUAGUACCCUGUGGUUUAAAGUGUAUCAAGUUAGUACCUGUGGUUUUGCACUUUAUCACUUUAGUAUCCUGUGGUUUCGCACUUUAUCACUUUAGUACCCUGUGGUUUAAAAAUCACAGGGUACUAAUUUGAUACAAAAUUAAAACCAUAUGGUACUAAAGUGAUAAAGUGCAAAACCACAAGGUACUAACUUAAUACACUUUAAAUCACAUGGUACUAUAAGUGAUAAAGUGAAAAACCACAGGGUACUAACUUGAAACACUUUAAACCACGGGGUACUAAAAUGAAAAAGUGUGAAACCACAGGGGGGGGGUUUGAAGUUUUCCCUCUACUUGCAGUAAUCUUUUUAAUUUGGGCUUUUUUUGCAUUUAGACCGCUGACAAAUUUUUAUUUUAAAAAUAGCCCUGUUAAAAUUUAAUUUACAAAAAUGGCCCUGGGCCUGCCACGCAGGCGCCACGUCAGCGCCACGCGGGCAGGGCCCAGGCUGGACCUGUGUGUUAAGUUGAACACGGUGAACCAUUUACCGUGUUCAAACACGAUAAAUGCUUCACCGUGUUUAGUACGUAUUUUUUGUAUAUUAAAAAGUGGAAUAAGGAGUAGGGAUGUCAAUAGGUAUGGAUAUCCGAAAUAUUAUCCGAAUUCAAACCCGAAUAAAUUAUAUAUAUAUACAUAAUUUAUUUUUGUUUAUUUAUACAAUAUAUAAAAUAUUUAAUAAUUUUUAUUCNACCCGGCGGAUUUUAAAAAUCCAUACCUUUGAAUAAAGAUCUAAGAAAUAAAAAUUAUUAAAUAUUUUAUAUAUUGUAUAAAUAAAUAAAAAUAAAAUAUAUAUAUAUAUAUAAUUUAUUCGGAUUUGGAUUCGGAUAAUAUUUCGGAUAUCCAUACCUAUUGACAUCCCUACUGCUUAUUCCACUUUUCAAUAUACAAAAAAUACGUAAGAAACACGGUGAACCAUUCACCGUGUUUAGACACGGUGAAUGAUUCACCGUGUUCAACUUAAUACGCUGGCCCCAGCCCUGCCCGCGUGGCGCUGACGUGGCGCCUGCGUGGCAUGGACAGGACUAUUUUUGCAAUUUUAAUUUUGAUAGGGCUAUUUUUAAAAUAAAAAUUGCUUAGGGGGCUAUUUGCAAAAAAAGCCUUUUUAAUUUUGAAGUUGAACUUAAAGAGAUUUUAGGCUUGCUUGUUUCACUAAAGAUAAGGUUUAAGUUGAAGUAAAACUACGGAGAGUUCAAGUAAAAAUAGAAAAAAUUUUAAAUACCAUCCAUGUGGUUUCACAUUUUCUCACUUUAAUAUUCAGUGGUUUAAAGUGUAUUAAUUUAGUGCUCUGUGAUUUUAUUUUUAUUUUUUAUUAUCGAUUUUACUAAUUUUUUUCGUUAAAUCAGUGACGAAGUUAAAAUUAAAUAGUACUAAAAUGAAUAUUUGAUAAACCUAGGUGGGGUAUUUGAAGUUUUUUGUAUAUAAUUUAACGAAAUAUUAACGGAGAAGCGACGAAAAGAUAAAAAUGAAACCACAUGAUACUAACUUGAUACACUUUAAACUACAUGGUACUAAAGUGAGAAAGUGCGAAAUCACAAGGAUGGUAUUUGAAAUUUAUCUAAAAAUAAAUAGUAUUUUAACGGGAACAAACCGGAUGGCAAAUACGAAUACAACUGAAUUUUUGUACAGACAAAUAUGAAAAAUUAAACUUUGUUGGAAUAUAUUUAUUAUUUGAUAUGUUUACAUAGAGCUGAAUGAAAUUAACCCUAAUAAUUAUAUAGAGUCAUUUUCAAUAAUGUCUCCACACAAACAGCACACCUCAUGGUACACCUUUCCAACUACUACGAACGCAACAUUUCCUGGUCAACACUGUGAAUAAGCCCCUCAAAUAAAGUAUGAGGCAUAUCCAUAGCAUUAUUCCAGUUUAUACCAGAAUUUGUCUUAAGUUGAUUGGUUAGAAUCCCCUUUUUGCCUUCUCUUAAAGAUUUCUCAUGCAUAUGUGUUGAAGCCCUUAGAUCUCUAUUAGAUUUGUCAAUGUUUUUUUGUUUAAGUGGUUAGUUAGGUCAUUUCACACUGAAAAAAGUUUAAGUAUCUUUCUGAUUGCGCUUCUGAUGCAUGCGUAAUUGACCGUCGCGCAAAGAAAAUGAGAUGUGGAGCAUUUUAUGUUUCUUAUUUUGGCUAAAUUACAGAAAACCUUCCUGUAAUAACCUGUUUUUUUACUUUUCCUUCCUGACAUUUAAAAACCUACAUUUUGCCCCCCUGUAAAAUGAAAAAUGUUCACAGGAGAGUUACGGGAUGUAAAAUGACCAUUUUGCCCCUCGCCAUUGUCGUCUUCUUUCCCAUCUUUCUCAGCCGCCCCUUCGUUCGGCCGCGAUUCCCACCUCAAUCGGCCGCGAUUUCUCUCCAUUUCCUUCUCCACCUGCUCCCCUUUUCCUCCUGGACCCUUGGCACCCUCGAUUUCGGCGACAGUAGGAGAAAACCGAGAUAGGCAACAGUAGGAGAAGGGCAAAGAAGGCGGAGGCGAGGCGGCGGAGGACGGCGAAGGGGAUGUAGGUGAGGGCGCGGCAGUGGAGGACGGCGAGGCGGCGAGGCGGCAGCGAGGUGGCGAGCCGGAGGGAGGCGAAGCAACAGGGAGAUGGCGGAGGGGUAUUUUCGGCAUAAAAAUAUAUUUUUUAACAGAACCCUAACGGUAGGGGGUGAAGUGCAUAUUUUUUAUUUUAUAGGGGGAUAAAGUGUAGAUUUUUAAAUGUCAGGGAGGGAAAGUAAAAAAGUGGGUUAUUAUAAGGGGGUUUUCUGUAAUUUAGCCUUUUAUUAGCUUAUAUUUUGGUAAAGUGAUGUUUCGUUCGUCUCAUAUUUGAUGGAAAGAAGAUUGUUUGUGAAUGCUCGAGUGCUAAACAGUCGGUUACUAACAACUUACGAUUAAACAUUUUAGAUUGAUGUUUGCGCUCAAUAAGUUGCUAAUAUCUUAUGGUAUUUUCUUUCUUAGGAGUUGCAAACUAUUUAUUUUUGAUUUUUUUUAUAUGUUCGGUUUAAAUAUGCAGAAUCCUUGACUCACAAAUGAUACUAAUUUAUACUGCAUAUAAAUAGUAGGAUACCAACCAAUUAAUUACAUAGAACAAAUUUUUUUUUUUUUAUAUAUUUCUUACGAAUCUACAUUAUCAAUUCGCCCAAUGGCUCCAACUUUCUACGUGGAGAACUUCAAGCUCAUAUUUCUUACGAAUCUAUAUUAUCAAUUCGCCCAAUGGCUCCAACUUUCUACGUGGAGAACUCCGAGCCCAGAGUUUGCUACGUGGUAAUGCCAACGCUAUAGGACCGAAGAUUAUAUUAUUGGAGAGAGAGAGAGAGAGAGAGAGAGAGAGAGAGAGAGAGAGAGAGAGAGAGGCCAUAGCUGUUGUGUUCCACUCAUCUUAUAUGUUAGGACCCAAAAAAAAAAAAAAAAAAAGAGGGGGGGGGGGGGGGANNNNNNNNNNNNNNNNNNNNNNNAGGGGGGGGGGGGGAUGUCAAAAAUAUGCAAUGGAAUGUGGGUAGGUGAUUUAUUUUUUGAGGAGUUAUGGUGAUGAGGGGCUUAUUAUUAUUAUUAUUUUUUUUGAGAGCGAGAUAGGUAGCAUGCUACCUGUUUCGUUUAUUUAAUUUAGAAAUAAACUUAGCUAGAAAUGUGAAUCAACUAGAAUACGAACUUAGGUUUCGGGUACCAACCACCAAGCUCUUUGCCGGUUGUAAUUUAGUUUAUUUUACUUUGUCAUUUUGUGAUUCAAAAAUUUUACUUUGCCUUUUUUGAUUUUAGCUCCUCUUCACUUUGUCAUCCUGUGGUUCAAAAAGUUACGCUUUAUUUUCCUGUGAUUUAACGUAUUUUUUUAUUUUGGCACCUUAUAGUUUUUUAAAAAAUUUUAUUUUACCAUCCUAUUUCAUAAUAAAUUUUCUGGUAAAAUAAAUUUUAAACCACGGUAGAGGAAAUUUAAAGUUUACCCUAAAAAAAAAUUUGAAUGAGAAGCCGUUUAUUCUUUUUUAAUAGACAUAUAUUGUAGAGGCUUGCGCAGAAACUUUUGAAUUGGCACAAAUUAUUAAAAUCCGAAUGCAAAGUAAAUCACACAACUCACCAAUAGGGAUGCAAUCAAGCGAAUCCGGGGGCAGGAGGGUUUCCUAUUUCUUGUCAGAAUGGGGCGGAUUCGAUACGGAUUAUUUUUUAUUUUAUUUUUUUUUUGCACUUACCACCCCAUUCAGGGCGGAUUGGGACGAGAGCGGAUUUUUGGCGGAUUUUUUAUAAAUCGGGAUCAAUUGAAGGAAGAAAAGAGUCUCCCGCCUCCCUCUUCAUUUAUUUGGCGGAUUGGGAUGGAUUUGGGACGGACUAUAUUUUUUUAUAUUUUUUUUAUUCUUACUUACCGCCCAUUCGAGACGAAUCGGGACGGGAGCUCUACCAACCCGGAUCAAUUUGCAUUCCUACUCACCAAACUUCUCAACAAACUUGAUCUGGUCGCAUUAAAUGGGCUGGGUUAGAAUCCGAGUUAGUGUGAGUCCGAAUCCAAUUCAAUAAAAUUUAUAAGCUUGUCAGAUCAAGACCGAAUUGCGGAACCAGUUCAAAAAUUAUGACCCAGGCCUGAUUACCAGGGCCCAAAAAGGGCAGUGCCGCCCCGGAAUGCAGUCGGUGUCGUGCCGUGUCGUGCCGUGCUGUGCCGUCCCAAACCAUUUGCCGGCCGGCCCCAACACAGCAGGCCAUGCCGUGCAGGGCAGCGGGUCGGCGACAUGCAGCUCAGCACGGCCGCCGUCUGUGUCAGGUCGGGCCUGUCCACGGGCCACCCAGCCUGUUUUACAAUUCAACCCAAUUUAGAUCCAUCCAUGAUCAAUAAUUAUUAUUAAUCUGUCUAUUAGGGAGGAUUUGGCCUAAUUUUUGAAAAGUGAUUUUAGGCUCAAAAGUAAUUUUCAGCUCAAUAGUGCGUUUGCCAACCUUACUUUCCAAAUGUGAUUUUGAUUUUUAGAAUCAGUUUGCUGAUUUUCGAGAUCCAAAAUUAGAAACAGCUAAAACUUGCUUCUUGACAUCUGAUUUUGAUUUUGAACUGAAACUUCAAAAUUUUUAUUUUGAUUUUAGAUUUAAAAUUUAAAUUUAAAUUCAAUUUUAAUUUUAGAUUUUAAAUUCAUAUUUGAAUUUUUAAAUUUUAAAAUUUAAAUUUUAAAAUUUAGAUAUUAAAAUUUAAAUUUAAAUUUAAAUUUCAAAUCUCAAAUUUUAAAUUUUAAAAUUGAAAAUUGUAAUUUUCAAAUUUUAGAAUUUAAAAUUCAAAAUUAUUAGUCUUAAUUUUCAAAUUUUCAAAUUCAAAUUUUAAACUUUAAAAAAUUAAAUUUUAAACUUUUAACUUUUUAAAUUUUAAAUUUUAAUUUCAAAAUUUAAAAUUAUUUUUUAAAUUUUAAAAAUUCAAUUUUAAAUUUCCAAUCUUUUAAAUUUUAAAUUUUAAAUUUUAAAUUUCAAAUCUUUAAAAUAUUAAUUUUAAUGUUAAUUUUUAUUUUAUAAAUUUUAAAUCUUAAAUUUUAAAUUUUAGAUUUCAAAUUUGAAAUUUAGAUUUUAAAUUGAGAAUUGAAAAUUUAAAUUUAUAUUUAAAAAUCAAAUUUUAAACUUUAAAUUUUCAAAUUUUAAAUUUAUUUUUAAAUUAAGAUAUCAAAUUUGAAAUUUUAAUUCAAAAUUAAGUUUUUUAAUUAAAUUCAAAUUUUAAAUUAUUUUAAAAUAAAAUUUAGUAAAAAUAUUAUUAUAUGUAAACAUCAAAAAGAUUUUGUCAAAUAAUUUCACAAAAUCAUUUCAGAAAAAUCGCUUUUAUCUAAACUAAACCAAACGCUUUACGGCUCUUAGUCAAAAUUAAUUCCUCAAACCAAAAUUAAUUCCGUAGAAAUCACAUUUUCAGAAAUAUAAGGCCAAACGGGCCCUUAGGCUUAGUUUGCUAUUGAGGCCCAUCUAACAUUAUUAGAGAAAAUAAAGUUUGGAUAAAAACAUAUACGGAUAUGGUUUUACAUUUUUUGACGGAACCACAGAAAUUAUAUCAUAACUAACUCAUUACGAUACGUGGAUGACAACAUUAUAUAUGAAAACAAACAUAAUAUUUUUUUAUCGUAUUUUAUCAUCGCACGUAACGCAAUCUUUUCACAAUCCAAACGAAAUCUUAAUCUCCAAAACUUUUAUUUUAGUUUUUUACUUUUAUCAUAGUGCGGUAAAUACAAACUAAAUAAAUCUGGUUAUUUAUUCAAAAAAGAAAAAAAAAAUCCAACGUAUAUCCAAGUCGCAUGAGACGCAUGUUUUCGGCCGUCUCUCGAUCUGAAGCCUCUCUCUUUCUCUGACAGACCUUCGCUGCCGCCCGCUCCCCCUCCCUCGCCGUCAGCCGCCGCCAGCCGUCGGACGCCAAGCAAGCAGCAGUCUGCCCAGUCGGGCCUACGUCUCCCUCCAGUCUGCUCCAUCGAUCGACGCUUCCUCUUCUCUCAUUUUCUUAGGUACCGAUUUAACAAAUGACAAUAUUGUUCAAGUUCGAACCUUAUUUAUUUGUUUUUGUUAGUAAAUAAUUGUUAUCAACUAAAUUGGGAGUGAUUUUAUUAAAAAAUUUAAAAAUUUAAGAAGACGUUAAUGAACAAAAAAAGAAAAAAAAAGUUGAGAAGGCCAUUAGAGAACGGUGUAUAAGUGACAGGGUCUUGUUAAUAUAUAGCAUUAGGACUUUUUUUCCCCUCUUUUUCCAUGCUGAUAUGAAUUUGGAUACGGAUAUUAAAACGGAUACAAAUACGAAUUGGAUUUAUGUGGAGUAUGAACUCGAAUCGGAUUUUUGAUCAGAGAUAUAAAUUAGAUUUUGGACGGAUACUGAUUAGGGUGUGUGUUUAUUGAGAGAUAGAGAGUACAAAGAAAUACACAUUGUAAUGUGCAUGUAUGUGUGAUUGUAUUUUUUACAUAAUAUAUGCAUCAAUAUAGGUAUUGUGUCUCUGAUAUCCGUAUCCGAAUCCAAAUUCAAAUUCGAAUAUGAAAAGCAUUUGUUCGUAACAUGUAUCCGAAUUCGACAGUUACAGUGAGUAUCUGACCAAAUCUGAAUCCAAAUUCAUGCCAAAUGGACUAUUUAUCAUCCGAAUCUACCUCCAACUGGAUUUUCCGGUCCGAUAAUGUCACAUCAGUUAAAAAAAUCAAAAGCAUGCUCAGGAACAUUAUGAGCAACAAAAUCUUCUUCUUUGUCUCCUAGUAUAUGCUACAUGAACAUUAGGAAAAUUUUUGAGCGAAUUUUUUCAGUAAAUGAUAGUAUUUCAAAGAAACAUAGGUAGCAUCUUCGGGAUGAACGUAAGGAUCCAUUCAAGCUAUAGAUGUUAUGAUUUGCUUUGGAUUAUACAUGCAGGAUAUUUUGUUUAGUUUGUUUGAUUUCUUUUUUAUAGGUUGGGAGUAGUUUCAUUUGAUUAUGUUAUCUCUCCUUACCCCUGCUCUGGUUACAAUUUUCACCUUAGAUUUCAUUCGCGGAGAUAGUUUUAUUUGAUUGUGUUAUCGCCUCAUAUUUGGUUAUUUGCUACUGGGAGCAAGUUUAUUCUUUUGUAUUAGUAAACCUUUGUUUUUUAAUCCAAUUUUGUUUGGUCAACAUUGGCUCUUUAAUCAAUUUUUAUUAUUAUUUUUCAAAUCUAACAUUGGUGAGUGGUGCAUUACCAAACUCGUGCUAGGAUAAACCGUUCCCAUUUGAUAACCAAAAACAAAAAAAAAGGCAAAAAAAGAAAAGAAAAGAAAAGAAAAAAGGCAUGGUUGUUGGAAGAAGGGGUUCCUCCAUUUCCAGCCUCCGACGAAUCGCAGCGAGGGUGUUCUCUUCCUACUCUGCGCCCAUUCACGGAAUCCACGUUUUUCAGUGCCCGGUGAGAUUCAUGCACUCCUAUCCCCCUCUCUUUUCGUGCUUCUGUUUCUUGAUUUCGGAUAGAUAUGAAAUGUUGAGGAUAGAUCGAACGAUCUUUUCUUAGUUGAGAUUGUAUUGUUAAGUUUUAUGAUUAGGAUGUGGUGGGAAUCGUCGCUAAGCUCUCGGAAUGCAUUGCCUCCAGAGGAGGUAAUAUACAUAGCAUCGACGUCUUUGUUCCCGGGAAUAAACAGGUCUUCUACUCUAGAAGGUCAAUUUUCUCAUCCCUUUCUCUAUCUUUCCCAUGCUAUUUCAUCCAUUCCUUUCAAUUUAAUUAGUUUCUUGUGCAAAGAAAGUUAUAAUCACCACUAACCCUUUUGAUUUUGUUUUCAAGAUUGGACCGGCAUGUUUGAUAUUUUUCUUGAGGGGUUAAUUUAGGAUCGACAUAGGUAGAAAGUUGAAACAGAUCGAAAAUUUUGGGACUUGUGAAGUUGCCUUAUCCCUUGUAUGUUUUUAAGUUCUGCUUUAUCACUUCGGUGGAUUUAGUUUUCUGAAAGGAUCAAGAAUAGUAAAAUCUACGAUAAAUGCAGCUGUUAUCUGACAGAUUAAUGUUUUGGUAUUGUAAUGUUUGCCAAGAUAGUUGACUGCAAUCCGUAACUGACAGUUUUAGGGCUCGUGUUGAUUAAUAGUCGACAUCCCCGAUGCUUUCUGUUUCCGUCUUCUUUGAUAGAUAAGGUAACAAUUGCCCAUCAAGCUCCUCAAAUUGAGAGAAAAUACUGGUUGUCUGGAGCUAGGUUAUAAUGCUUCUAAAAGCAAGCAAGACCGUUUACUUCCGCAUUGUUUCUGACAAUGGUUUAUCUGAAUUGACGAUCGACACCAUUAAACAUGAUCUAGUGUAUUUGAACUUUUUGGAUUUCACAUUUCAGAAUUUUUCGCUAUCACUUGGUAAUGUAAGAUGAAUUUAAUGCUGGUUGAUCGGUAGGCAAAUGAUAUUGUAAAAUUACAAAAUUUGGUUUCUAGGAAGUUUAAAUAGCCUAGAUCGUAUUUAACGGAGCUGAUCAUCGAUUCGGAUAUCCUAUUGCGGGAAACGACCUGGAAGUAAACGGCUACGUUUACUUCUGAAGUAUUCUAGCUUUAGUCAGUUGUCUGUUAGCAAAUCCUGUUAAUUCAAUGAUUAUAAUAAGAUGUGCCUAGCCAUUAGCAUGUUGUUCUUUUUAAACAAUCCGAGUACUUUACAAGUUCAGAUCUUUUAUUAUCCGCAUUACUAAUGUCUGCUAAAAGAGAAUAGUUUUCUGCAGUGAAUUUGUGUUUGAUCCUGUACGAUGGCCACGGGACGUGUUGGACAGUGACUUCCUCAGAUUAUCAAGGUUAUUCAGUGCAGAAAAAUCUAUUGUAAGGGUCCCUGAUGUAGACCCCAAAUAUAAGAUUGCAGUUCUUGCUUCAAAGCAGGUAGGUUCCGUAUAUGCUUUUUAUUAUUUAAAAUUUACUUUCUCUAGUUGCACGAUAAACUACUUAAGUGUCCAACUAUUUGAUUAUAUCAUCUAUACACAUAGUAGUUUGACGUAGUUAUUGCUUGUGUAGGAUCAUUGUUUGGUAGAUUUGCUACAUAGAUGGCAGGAGGGUAGGCUUCCGGUGGAAAUUAGUUGCGUAAUAAGGUGAUAUAUUUAAUGUAUUUCUUUUCUGGUUUUUACUUUAGAUGAUUUUCUUCCGCGGCAAAAAAAAAAAGCUAUGGAGAACUCAACUUUAAGCCAUUUAUGAAGUAGUCUCUUCAAAUCUUCAUUUUUUUUAAUUGAAAACCCGUUAAACUUUGAUGUUUCGGAAUUGAUUAAAUCAGGGAUUUUAUAUUAUAUUCACAGCAAUCAGAUACACUAAAAGUUAAAGGGGUAUCAAUCAUAUAAAGUAAAGUGAAAGUGCCUAUUUAAAAUGACCAAUAGUUGAGGCUGUCUCCAUAUUAUAUUUAUUUUUUUUUUAGCAACUAAUAAAUUCAUUUUCGCAGCAAUCAUAACAGAUCUCCAAAUACCCAUGUUAUACGUUUUCUUGAGAGACAUGGGAUUCCAUAUCACUACUUACCAACAACUUCAGGAAAUAAAAGAGAGCAGGAAGUUCUGGAAUUGGUUGAACAGACAGAUUUUCUUGUGCUCGCAAGAUAUAUGCAGGUAAAAUAUUUAAAGUGCUUCGAAAAACUUCAAGUGCCUACUUCCGCAUUUGGAAACCUACUCAUUUAAGAAAACUUUUGGUUUACCAAUUUUUUGUGGUACUUGUAGCUAAAGUUAUUUUAUUAAAGUUUAUUUUGUUUAGAGUGGUUCUUUCCCGGAAACAACAAGAGAGUUUGAACCAUCAGAAAUUUAUGGGCUAAAUAAGCAUCUGAUUAUUGGAAACUGGAGUUGUAAACUGGAGUCGUCUUAUUGUAAUUUGUUUGAGAGUUUGAACUUUGCUUUAGCUAACAAAGUACCUUUGGCUUGAUAUGUUGUAUGAUGCUGUCACGCCCCGGGACCCAGCGGGAGCCCGCCCGGCGCGUGCCCAGACCCGCCAUAUGUCUACAACAUAUAAGGCGUCUAAAAACAACAAUAAUAACAGCAAUAAUAAAAGACAUCUAGAAGUAUAAGAGCAUAAUAAAUGUCUAAAUGCUACAACAAGGGAUAAGGAUAAAACAGUAAAUCCACUAAAUAAAACAUAGAGUAAGAACAAUAGAAAAUCCCAAAUACAAGAGCUAUAAGUAGGUACAUAGGUGGUCUCUAUACAUGGAUACAAAAUCUCUCUCUCUCUCUCAACUACAAAAAGAAAGAGUAAACCACCUAGGCAAAGUACCGCUCCUCGCUAGCUAGCUAAGCGAUCCCCUUGCCGCGAUCCCGUGCCUCCGCCGGUGCCGAAGGCUCUGAAAAGUAAACCACAAAACGGGNUACAACCAUCAACCCUUAUACCGGUACAAGGCCAGUCUUGUUCCGGUACAAGCCCUGCUGCGGGCUACCCGAGAGCUGUCCAAAAAUUCCGAUUUUGGAAUUUUGGGUGCCAAGUCCUACUCCAACAUCCUCGGGAUGCGUGCCAAGGGUCGGGACACUAUCAACGACCCUCCAAAAACUGUGGAAAGGCUCCACACACAGAUCAAACACUCGAAUCUUGCAAUUUGCUAAGAUCCAGUGCAUUACAGAUGCAGAAGCAGAGUAACUAUUUGCAAGUGAAACCUUGUGAAUAUAUAUAAGCCUUUACAUUCCGCAGGGUUUUAAGAAACAAUGUCUUGGUUUGCUGAAUGAAAAAGAUGUCAGGUUUAACUAAGUAAGAAUGUGCUUAAACUUGCUUGAAGUGGUUCAUCCUUUAUAUGAACUGGAAUUUGGCUAUCCGGAGAUUGGUUCUGUAGCCUCAAGUUUUAAGUACUUUUGCUUCGCGCCUUGAUUGGUAUUUAUUAUUUAAGCCGUCAUGCCCUUUAAAGACUCGGGAAACUAAAGAUGUGAAUAUAGGCUUAGAAACAUGAAACAUUUUCGUUAGUUGCUGUUCUAUCAGCAGCAGUGGUAGUGAUGUUUGCGUGAAGAAAUAAGUGCACUUUUUUUUAGCAUUAUUGAGGUGUAGUAAGUAUCGGAUACACUCAUUUUACAUCGUCUUUUUCGCCUAGUAUCACCUAAUUAGUUCUUACUUGCAGAUCCUGUCCGGAAAAUUUUUGGAAACUUACGGUAAAGAUGUCAUUAACAUUCAUCACGGCCUUCUCCCAUCAUUCAAGGGUGGAAAUCCUUCUAAACAGGUCUGCAUUUCCUAGAUCUUGUUCUUCAAAUCUGGUCUCUAAGAUUGUUGUUUAAACUUUAAAAUCUCUUUUAUGACUCCAGGCUUUUGAUGCUGGGGUUAAAUUGAUCGGCGCGACAAGUCAUUUCGUGACAGAAGAACUCGAUGCUGGCGCAAUCAUUGAACAGAUGGUGAUUGUGUUCACAAUUCUUUUCUUUUUUUUGAUUGCAUUGAUACGAAUAUGCUGGUCAGCGUAUCAAUAUAGCUACCUACCUGCAAUAAAAGUUAAUGAUCCAUAAUGAUGAAUCAAACAAGUAACUUUAGUGGUUUUCAUAUGUUAUUGAUUGGUUCAGAAUAAAAGUUAAUGAUCCAUAAUAUGAGGGUGAAACUAAUCUUCAAGAAAACAGAAGUGGGCCAAAAAGAAGAUCGCGUUAAAUCUUUUGUUUAUCGUUCGAUUUACUGUAUAAACGCCACUCGACAUUACUUACAGCUCCAAAAUUUUGACUCUUUUAUUCAUGUGAUACAGGUUGAGAGAGUCUCUCACAGAGAUACCUUACAAAGCUUUGUGAUGAAGUCGGAGAAUCUUGAGAAGCAGUGCCUUGCACAAGCAAUAAAAUCUUAUUGUGAACUCAGAGUGUUACCUUACGAAUCCAAAAAAACUGUUGUAUUCUGAGGCCCUUGUGAAAUUUUAUAAUUUAUAUUAUUUGCAAUUUAAUAAUCUGUAACAUUAUGGGUUGUCUUUGAUUAUCAUUCCUUAAGUUCAUAAUAUUUCUUUGAACUCUCCCUGAAUUUGCCUAAUAAUGUGAAAGUUAAGUUAUAGCAUUAAUGUUACUCUACAAGGUGAUAUGCACAUUUUAUCACCAAGAAGAGAAACAUCCACAACUUCAUAUUUAGAUGUAUAUAUUCUUAAUUAUGAGUUAGUACAUUUUAUCUCUCUCAUAUGUAAAUAUAUAAAGUAAUUGAUUUUUAGUUCUAGGUAAUGUAUUGAGUCCCCCUCAACUAUUGGCCAUUUUGGAAUUGGUCUCUCAACUUCUUCUUUUUAUUAUUAUUAUUUUUUUACAAACUGUUAAUUUUAAUUUUUUACUUAAGUUAUUCUAAUUAGUUAAAUUAAAAAUUUUGUUUCAUCUAAAUUAGUGUUUUUUUUGGGGUAAAUUUCCCAAGAACUUGAGAAGGUUCAGUUAUUUUAGUUUCAUUUACUAAACCAUGAUUAAAAUUAUUAAAUUUUAUAAAAUUAAAAUGAAUUUAAUAAAAAAUUUAAUUUAUUUCUUCAAAUAAAGCCAGAAUACUUGUAAAAGUAAAUGGUCAUUUACAUUUGUGUUAUUUCUCGCUAUAGACUACGAACUCCAUCGUACAUAUUUUAGAAUAUUUAAUUUUCUUUUGAUAUUAAGUUUUAUAAAUUUUUAAUAUUAUUUAUCUAAUAUUUAUUAAGUUUCAAAAUUGGUAGUUUUUAAUUAUUAGGCAAAUAAUAUUAAAAAUUUAUAAAUUUUGAAUUUAAAUUUGUAAGUGCUACUAACUUUUUCAUCAUUAGGUUUAUUCUUUUGAUAAUUUUUAUUUUUUGAAUAAUACUAUUCCAUCAACCACUACUAAACUCAUGAAUGCUAUAACCACGGCCCUACAACUACUUGAUCUAAGGACUAAAAAUUUACAAGUACCAAUAACUUAUGCUAUCAGAAAUACUUCAAGUCAGCUUUCUGUUACGACCUUAGUAUUUUUGUUCGCAAAGCACGUGUAGCGCCCGCCUUCCGGCUCGAAGAUAGAUAAGCCUAACUCUUUAUUGCAAGCCUACACCUCCACGUCCUACGACUAAAUAUGCAAAAAGGAGAGAAGAGAGAGGGGUAAAGGUUCUAAAAAAAACCUAUUUAGAAAAAUUGGAUUACAAUAUAUAACUCCUUUUGUGUCUCUAAUUCUGUUUUGGUCUUAGCCAACCCUUCUACUUAUAGGCUCAUAGAUACAAUAAAUCUAAUCUAUACUAACUCACAACUAAGCAUACAUUAAAGCACACAUUAACUCACCUAUUAUCACAUAGUAACGAGUCCUUAUGAAUGCAAGGUGAUUCUAACGGUUGUUCAUAACCCUUGAUUUUUCGCUGGCGAUUUUGGAACCAUUAAGUCCGGCACAUGAUCCUUUCUCUCCCAUAAUGACGGCUGGUUUUAGCCCUCCUUUACAGCCCGCUCCGCUAGCGAAGUUAAGCCAGAAAAUCAAAUUAUACUGCAAUUUCGUGAAGUCCUUGGUAUUUCUCUCUCUAUACAUAGAGAAAGAAAAAAUUGAGCUCAUGUGAUUUUAAACGCACAAGAAUAUUUAUGUAUUUGGAUUUUUAAGCCGUCGGAUCGUCUCAAGAUUUUUGUACAAUACUAAUAAAUAAGACUUAAAAAAAUAUACUGUUAAUAAUAUUGGACAGAUCUUGAAACGGUUGGACGGCUAACUUAAACCAAAAAUUCAACUAAAAAAAUAAAAGACGCUUAGGACAACUUAAGAACGUGUUAACUACCCCUUUCCAAGCUCUUAACCAGUAGGAUCCCUCCACGUCACACAAACUGCCACGCGGCAUCCUCUCAUUCGCCACAAAACCGUUAAUCGACGUGGUGAUCCAACGCUUAUAAGCACAACAACAAAGCUUAAAAAUUGCCUCUCGACGACGUCGAAGGCGAGGGGAGGCUCUAUUCCUACGCCGGAGCACGAGGCGGUAUCCUCACCGCUCGGCCCCGGUAAUCUCACCGCGCCCGUCACCGCACUCACCGGUGAUUAUAAAAGCGUUUCACUCUCUCUCUCUCGAGCGCCAUUUCUCCUCCUCCAAACUCAUCGUACGUGGUUGGGUCCUCUUCUUCUCCCUCCUCCACCUCGUAUCCAUGGCGAUCUCGUUCCACCUAGCCCUAUCGCUCCUCCUCCUCCUCCUCCUCCUCCGCGUCGACGAGGGCUUCGUCUCCGUAUCGGCCGCCGCCGCCGCGGAGAGCGUCGAGGUCGGUCCCCGAAACCCUAGAUCUCGGCACCUAGAGUUAGCUUCUUCGUGUUCUCUUUUUCCCGAUUGUUUCUCUAAUUUUGUGGUUUUUUUUUGUGGGGUGGGGGGUUCAGAUCACGUACGGCAGCGUGAUCAAAUUGAUGCACGAGAAGACCAAGUUUCGAUUGCAUUCGCAUGAUGUUCCGUACGGGUCCGGGAGCGGGCAACAAUCGGUCACGGGAUUUCCCAAUGUUGAUGAUUCCAAUAGCUACUGGGUACGUUUUGUGGAUCGCCAUUUUGCUUUGCUUUGAUCUGUAUAAUUUGGAAAUUAGGUGUUGUUCAAUGUUGGGGUAUAUCUAGUGUGUGGAAAUGUUUGCUUUGGAUUUGAAGUAGUUUAAAUUUCCCCCAUCAUUUUUGGGAACGAAUGGAUUGAUGUCUAAUUCGGUUGUUGCCGAAGUUUAGCGAGAGUAGAAAUGUUAGAUUUGCCGUCGGCCACGGCAAUGGCGAGAAGAACCCUGCAAAUAAUUCAUCUUUCGUGGAAAGAUCCACCCACCAUGUAUGGCUAGUAGUGUAUCUCCUCGGCAUCUUUGUGAUCCACUGUGGAACUAUUGUUUCUUCUUUCACUAACUUUGGCCAAAAACCAGGAUGUAAUUACGUCGAUUCAACUUUUCCUUAACCAGUGUUUCAUAUCUCAUAUGCAAGACUCGAAAACAAUUUUCGAUCUAGUGAAAAAUCAUUUUUACACAUUUUAGGAAAUGCUUCUAAUUUUCGUUUUCUGAACUUGCAGGAACCGAAAUUGAAAGCCUCUCUUUCUCUACUAAACAAAACACUACAAACCCUAAAUUUUGUCUUCCAUGAGUAGUAGUUUUAUCCUGAAACUGGUCUCCAUAGUUUUACAGGGAACAUAACAAGGUCUUAACUUUUGUUUUUCCCCCUCCAGUGUUUUAAGUUGGGGGACUUAUUCUUGAAUUAGAAUGAAUUAUAUAUUGCUCAACCUUCAACUUAGUUUUUUUGUCGGGAGAUAAAUGAAUGUCAUGUAGUCUCUUUUGUUGUGUGUUGAAAUCUCGAAAAGUAGUUGGAUAUAUUGUCUAGCAAUUAAUGUAUAAUGUACAUUAUGCCCUGGCUCGGUAUCUUUGUUCUAUGUGCUUCUUUGAUAAUUACUAAUUGGUAAGUCUUUCCACAUGCAUUCAUUUUUUUUUUUUCCUACAUUCAUCCAUCUCAUCUGUGUCGUUAAUAUUUUAUAGGGUUUUUGGGUUGUUCAAGAUAUAGUAGUAGCUUUAAGUUGAUAUGCUAAUUUUCUCUUUGUACAUUCUCGUAGAUUGUAAGACCUACCCAUGAUUCGUCUGACAAACAAGGCGAUGCCAUUAAAAGUGGAACAAUUAUCAGGUUGCAACAUAUGAAGACCCGAAAGUGGCUGCAUAGCCACUUGCAUGCGUCGCCAAUUUCUGGGAACUUGGAGGUUAGUGUUGUUUGGGUUGAUCUAUCUAGAGAAGUGGUAACCUUUUAUUCGAGUAAAUGCUUGUUUGAGUUAUCUUGCGAGUACUAGAUUCAUGCCCUGCAGGCUGCAGCAGGUUCAAAUUCAAUUUACUAUGUCUUGCAACACGAACAUUGUAAUUAAUAUUUUGUAAUAAUCAAAACUAUUUGAUGUUCGCUGGAGUCCUAAUAACUGAACAUGAUUUAUUGAUUAAGUUAAAUUUGUUACUUGAUAAUAGAUUGAUAAUUAGAUGACUGGAGGAGAUUUUUGGGUCAUUGGCAAUUUGAUAGAAGGUUUGGUUGUGAACUUAAUUGUAACAGUAAAUUAAGGGUGAAGGGUACGGAGUUCACUAAAAUGAAGACUAGGUUACGGACAUCAGAUGAAUAGAGAUAAACCCUGAAGGUAAAUAUCUUGAGAAAAAGGGCGGUGCGGUGGCAAUGAAAAAGAGGAAGUGGAACAAAAGGAACAGCAUAGAGUAAGUAUAUGCUGUCCGCCACACUGAAGACUAGGUUAUUCGAAUAGGAACUAUAGAUAUCAUAUAUAAAGGUAAAUAUCAGCAUAGAGCGCAUUAAGGGAAGGUGGUGUACAUUAAACAUUUCGACCAUAGAUUUAAUAAAUCUAGCAGCCUCGUCAAGGCCAUAAUUCCAAAGUAUGUGAAGUUGGCUGCGAAACCCGUAUUCUCCCAUCUUUCUUUUUAGGUCUUGCCACCCAUUUUAAGGAAUCAUUCCUUUUCUAUCCAGUUUCUCCUAUAACUUAAUUCUACUUGCACUAUGUUCUUAUUGUCACGUAUAUAUCAAUGAAAUGAAGUGGAUGGUGCGAUACUGAAGGUUUAAUUUGCCACCAUCUGUAGGUGAGUUGCUUUGGAGCGGAUGGUGAAUCAGAUACUGGGGACUACUGGAGGUGUGACUUGUUAUUCAUUUUACUCAUGUACCUUGAACCGUUAUUUUAUGAUAUAGUCAAUAUCUUUUUUCUUCCUUAUUUUGUUACCUCAGGCUUGAGAUUGAAGGUAGUGGAAAAACAUGGAGGCAAGACCAAAGAGUAAGACUCCGCCAUGUUGAUACAGGGGGCUACUUACACAGUCACGACAAGAAGUACACUCGCAUCGCUGGAGGGCAGCAAGAGGUAAGAAGAGAGAAUUUAGUGAUAUUCUCUUAACAGUGUCACUCCCCAUGGUAUCUCUAUAUUUGACUCUUAAGAUAGAAUAUACUGGAAGUUCCCGAAUGUCCGCCACAUUGCAGUUUCGCUCUUGAUCUUUCAUUUACAAAGCUCGAGUCCUUGAACUUACAUAACAUGUUACAUCGUCAUUGUCAUUCGGGACCAUAAUCCAUGAACAAUUUUCAAGUCUGCUGAGAGUUGACCAUAUAACUAACAAAUGGCAGAUGAAAAUAAAUUUAGUUGAGUGGAUUAUGGAUCAAAUUGCACCAGAUUUAAAAUUCAAGAACUACUACUGCAUUAAGUUGUUAGAACUUGUCUUCUUGUUAACUUGAUUAUGAUCUCUCUUAUACAUUUGACGUUUUUAAUGUUCUAUUCACAAAUUACGGUGCUGCAGGUUUGCGGUGUCCGAGAGAAGCGUCCAGACAAUAUCUGGUUAGCAGCUGAGGGGGUAUACCUUCCUGUCAAUGGAAGCAAAUAGAUACUAAAAAUCUCGUAGAGUUGAAACAGGAUUAUAAACUCGUCGAGCUGAUGCUGACACAUGUUGCCUGUUUAAAUUUUGAACUAAUCGUGGAAUAGAUCACAAAUUACUUGCUGUGUUAGGUAUAAUUCUUAAUCAGUGGAGAAUCGUGAACAAAACCAAUUUUAUUUUUUUUACUCUUAUCUGUGGAAAUGAUAAUGGAAGUUUGUUGUAAAAAUUUUGGCCGCCUACAAUUUGCAAAUGUAACGAUCGAGUCUCUAGUCAUUCUUGUGGUUCUAGUUAUUGUAUCUCGUGAAUCAGCUCACUUUCGAGUUGCGCCGCUUAUUAGCUCUUUAAAUUGAAAUUUUCAAUUGUUAGAAGUGUAAUUGAUAUAAGAUUGGGCCUUCGUCAUCACCAUAUUUGGACCGAUGAAGUUGUGAUUCGGUCAAAAAUUAUGUUCAUGAAGAGUAUUAGUCUUGUUAUUAUCUAUCAUGAAAAUAUCAAAAUAUCAAGAAGAUCUGUUAGGUAGCCACAAAUAUAAUCUGCCGCUGGAUGGUGAAUGUUUUCAGUAUAUGCUAAUUGAUGACAAGAUCAAUAUUUUUAUUCCCACCGAACUUAAUUUUCAAUCGAAGAACGUUUAUUUCAAUCCAAACAUUUUCUAAACAAAUAUUUAGUAUUAUUACAAACUAAUAGAGUUUGCCUUCAUAUGAGUGUGAACUCAUAUUCUGUUAUUAUUCUGAUGUUUUUCGCUAGAAAGACGAAUAAUCAGUCAUGUCAUGUUGUUAUUUGCUUUAUCCGUAGGAGUUUGCUUUAUCCGUAGGAGGUGUUGCAGUGCUAGAUGCUAGUAUUAUUCAGUGCUCGAAGAUGGGGAUUGAAUCGAAGAUCCAUUGAAUGGCGAGAGUUUGAGAUACUGUGAGAGAGUGAGUCUAAUGCCAUAUUACCUAAACAAUCAAUCUGAUGUAAAAUGAUCCAAUAAUAUACUUAACAUCGAUGAAAUGUUCGAGGGAAUGUUGUCGUGUAACGUUCUCUAUUGGAACAUUUAAUCAACCCGAGAGUCCGAGACCGACCAAACUUAACGCAAUUGACUAAAAGCUUGAUGAUUGAUACCGAAAUCUUAAGUUAGAAACUUAGCUAUUUAAUAUUUUUAACUAACUUUACUUUGUAAAAAUGAAUACGGCGAAUAACUCAGCCACAUUUUUCUGAAAACAAAAAACAACAUUUUAACAAGCUGAGGAAUGAGGAUAGCAUAGCCAUCGACCUGUUCAGCGAAAUAAACACUCCUGCACGCUCCAGCUCUUGGACAAAAUUGUUUGAACUUGUCACAGAAUGAGGGAGAGAAAUAUGUCACUCCAAGAUUUUACAUUUUCACAUUAUUGGUUACCAAUUUAUUGCAAAAUUUAACGAGCCGUUGAACUUAAGUGUUUCUUUUCUUCUUUUUUUUUGAGACAGAUAAGUAAUAUGCUAUCCGUUUCGUUUAUUUUACUUAGAAAUAAGCUUAGCUGGAAAUGUGAAUCAACUAAGAUUCGAACUUGCGACCUCAGGUACCAACCACCAAAUCUUUUGCCACUUGCUCUAGGGACGGUCGGUAAAAGUGUUGCUAUUAAUGCAUUGAUAUUUGGUUCUUGUUUCAAUUAACUCACCUGAUUGGGAGUUGUCCAAUUUAUGCUUUGUUGAGCUUACAGGUAUAGUAUUUUGCACGUGGCUAGAAAAUUCAAUAAAAAAAUAUUUUUCUUUUUCUUCUUAAAUAAUAAUAACGUGUUAUACAAAAGACACAAGUUUAAUUAUAAUAUACUUUCUCCAGUUUUACCAUAAAAUAGAGAAUUAUUGUUUUUAUCAUAAAAUAGAGAAUUAUUGUUUGGUUUGGGAAUUAGGGAAGAAUUAGGAGAACAAGGGCCUUACUCUUCAAAAUAUUUUUUUUUUGAGAGAGAAAUAAGAGAGCAGCAUUCGGGAGGAUUCCAGACAUUUUUGCUGAUUUAGAGGCGUAACUAUCAGUUGCCAUAAUACCAUUUUUCAGAAAUAAAGUAUCACAGUAGUUACUUUAUCUGGUACAUCACCUGAAGAUUGUUGACUUAAAUGGGCCAGUAUACUGCCCUGUGGCAUGAGGUCAUGUUGGACCGAGUCAUAUUUGAACUAAUGUAAGGCUUGAUGAGUCAAAUCAUAUUCGAAAUCGCGUGAGGUUGAUUAGACUAAGUCACAAUCAUGACCCGUGGGCGCUGUAUCUGUAUAUUUUAAGUGAAUUGGUAGCGUAUUUAUAACAGCUCGAGCUUUUAAGAUUAACGGUUAGCGCAACGAUCCGACAAAGAUUAUUAUGAACUGCUUGUAAUAAAAGGAGAUCGAGGGAUGAUCCCUUCGUAAGAUGAAGUAUAAAAUCCGAUGAUGAAACCUAAAUUAAAGUAUGAAGUAUGAAAAGUCAAAGGUACAUAUGUAAAUUUAUCCUGUAUUAUCUCUCUAUCAAGUUACAACUGCAUUACAGAUACAGCGGUAGUACGGAGGCUUUCGUGCUAUCAAGUUGUUUUCAAUGAUGCGGUAUUCAAAUCGACGAUCGGCUUCGUUAGACUUGAUCUACACUAUUAAAAGUAUUUGAAAACUAAAUUUUAUAAUUUUUCAACAUCAUUUGGCUAGUGAUCAAAAGGACUCAAAAUUGACAAUUUUAAUGAUAGAUCUGAUGCGUUUGUGAAUUUAAUAGUGUAAAAUAAUCCAAAUAUGAUAAAAUUUUUAUAAAAAAUUCUUCACUAUUUAGAGUAAGAUCAGUACAUCUAAUCUUAAAUUCAAGCCUUUUAUUAUUAUUUUUUAUAAGAUUUUUAAUUUCAGCUGUUAAUUUUUAGAUUAUUCAUUUGAUAAAUAAGUGAUACCGAAAAAUUAUAAAAUUUAAUUUUCAAAUAUUUUCAAUAGUGCAGAUCAAGUCUAACGGAACUGAUCAUCGAUUUCGAAGCCGCAUCAUUAAAAACAACUUGGUUGGACGGGGGCCUAGCUAUAUAUAUACAUUAGUCGAAUGUACGUGCAUUUGCACAUAACAAUUAUUUUAAUUUAUUCAAAAUUAAUAUAAAUUUGUACAUUAUAUUUAUCCAAAAAUUCACAAUAAAAAUUAUAUUUUAUAAAUUAUACAUUAUAUUUUAUUAGAAAAUAUUUGUAAUAUCCUACAGUGUUAUUUUUUUAUAUAAAUUAUAUUUUUUUAUAUAUAUAUAUAGUUACAACUGUAUUAUAAUUAUAUUAUGACUAUAUGAAAAUCAAAAUAUGACGUUUACUUUAAUGAAUUUGAAUCUAACUGCUACAGUUAAAACUACACAGAGUCUCAACUAUAAUAGUUCGAACUGUGUCCAAACUAGUCACUAUUCUAAUUGCAAUAGUUCAAAAAAUAAAUUUAAUCAAAGAAUAGGCUUUACAUCACUAGUAGCCUUUUAAACAUUUUUUUUUAAAAAAAAACUAUAAAUACAAAUUUUCAACCGUACGUAACCAAACAAAUUAUAAUAACUACAAUGCUUUCUAUACCCAACCAAACACAAAUUAUAAUAACUACAAUGCUUUUCAUAAUUAUAACGGCUAUAAUUUUACCCAAAAAAAUAGUUCUUGUACCCUCGAAAAUAGAGUAUAAAUAUUACAUCAGUCAUCCGAGAAUUUAAAAAAUUCUUUUAAAUUUUUAUAUAUAGCUAAAAAAAAAUUGAUAAGACUAGUGAAAAAUAUUAGCUCUGGCAAAUAGUGUAAAGUUUAUUUCCAAUUUUCUCUCCUAAUUACGGAAUUUUCGCAUCUAACCAAACAGGCGGAGCUUAUAUUUAAUAAUAUAAAGAAGAACAAUCAUUUCUCACGAGGCUGUUCAGACUUCAGAUCCGAAUAGUGGGUUCCUGUUUAAUACGGAGUUACUACUAUUAUAAGUUAUAAGAUGACAAAUAAGAAUAGACACCAAUAGCUGGAACGGAUCAGAACAUCCACAAAAAUAGGACUUUUUUUUGCAUCCCCUACAAAAAAAUUUAUUUUAAAAAUAACUUCAAUAAAUUUAAAUUUACAAAAAUAGUCCUGAUCUUACCACAUAAGCGCCACAUCAGCACCACGCAGAUGGGUUGGGUUGUUAAGUUGAAUACGGUGAAUCAUUCAUCGUGUUUGAACACGGUAAAUGAUUCACCAUAUUUUAUACUUAUCUUUUUUAUAAUAUGUAUAUUUUUUUCUUUUUCUUUUCUUUCUUCAAACACGGUGAAAGGUUCAUCGUGUUUGACUUAACUAUUUAGUCCAGACCCGCCCGCAUGGCACUGAUGUGGCACCUACGUGAUAGGACCAGAACCAUUUUUUCAAAUUUAAAUUUGUUGGCACUCUUUUUAAAAUAAAAUUUUUUUAAGGGACUAAUUGCAAAAAAAAGCCCACAAAAAUAGAUUCAGCAAAAGAGAGAUCUCGUGAUUCCAAAGUUCACCAACCCUCAGAAUGAUAUCCAAAUCCCUCAUUGAAGUUCCUCCUAUCCCCACCGUCGCUUUCAUUUCCUGCCACCAAAUUAGAUGAGCCCUAGCUAGUGUUUUAUUUAGGCAACAAACAGGGGCCCUAACUAGAAAUUCUUUUGUAGUAACAGAUCAACUAGAUAUAACCUUUCACUCUCUCUCCCCCUCACCUCUUUUCAGCUCCUAGGUCCGGCGGUUUACACUUUACAUGAAGAUGACAGCCAUCCCUCACCAACCAACCCGAAAAGGUCUGCCUGCUGUCAAUCGUCCUGACACUACCUACUAUUGGGUAGGGUCAAUUCGACAAAGAGAUUGAAUCAGACAGAAUAAUAUUAAGAAAAAAAAAUUUGAGGAGGAGUGUUUAACUAUAAGAAGGCCCUUGGGAGGCAGGUGGAAUGAAUUUCUAGAAGUGCUUUUCGAAUAAAACUAAUCAAGAAAGAUACGAGAAUGAUUUGAUAAUUUCUUGUUGCAGCAAAAGCAGGGGUAGCAACAGAAGCUUCAAUGAAGUUUCGGAAUAGUUGAAUAGUUGUUCGAGAGGCUAGAUCAAAACGAUAUGUAACAUUCGCUGCUACAUCCGACAUUUCUAACUCCGGUAAUUAAUGGCACACAGAUUUCAUUUCCACCUUCUUUUUGUGGUCCUUUGAAGAAAUUUUACUAGUACACUCUGAAAUUAAAGGAGCAUCAAGACUUGUACUGCAUUCCUUGUCAAAAUUGUUUCAGAGUACCACAAAAAGAUGGCAGAAGAAGAUCAAUGGGGCUGCUGCAAAUUUACCAUAUUUUAAUACAAACCCAGAAUAUUUAUACGCUAAACAAGAAUAGUAAACUAAAGAAAGGACACAAACUAGCUAUCUAAUCCCUAUCCCUAUACAAAAAUGUAUUAAUUAAUAAUAUCAACAAUACCUAGAGAGCCCCGGAGGAGGAUGUAAUUUAUAAGAGAACGUGAUGCUGCUCACUUUGGUAAAUUCGGUUGGGCCAUCGCACUCAGAUCCAACUCUUUUUCCUGCAACAAAAGCACAUGGGUUGCAUAAAUUAGUACGCAUGAGCAAAGAUGAGCAAUUUAUCACUGCCCCCAAAACCACCCACCCCAGUUCCCCACUGAGAUUCCCAAGCAGAGCUGAGUAAACCAGAGAUCUGGUAUUUCAGUGUAACUGCUGUAAAUUGCACUUGUGGGAGUAAAAUGUGAGUUUCUAAACAUGUGGGUCCACCACAAUUUUAACAAAAGAAAAUGGUUUUGAGCCUUUGAAUACACAUUUACGAACUGAUUAAAGAAACUAGUAAAAACGUACAGAACAUACCUGAACUAUUACCUAAAACUAUAAAUUUUUUUGAAUCUGUGUCUACCCAAACUUUUAAAAUUUUUAUUCACCAACCAACCUUUCAACUUGUUUGAUUUGAAUCAGUUAAUGAUACUUCGACUUUAAAAUUUAAACCGAUUACUUACUGUAAUGAAUUUCUAAUUGCGAGAAUUACAAAAACUCUGUAAAGAUAAACGACACACUUAAAAUUUAAAGUCAAAAUGCUAUAGACCGACUCAAAUCAAACAAAUUGAAAAAUUGAGCAGUAAUAUCAAAAUUUCGAAAGAUUAGAUAACCAACUCAAAAUAGUCCAUAAUUUAAAUAAGUACUGUACGUUUUUACCUAAAAAUUACUACAUUAUGUAUGCAUAUGUCGGCAACUUAUAUGUUAAUAAUCACUAGGUUGGUCAAGUGAUUGUUAUAUUAGGAUACUGGUUGCGAGCUUAUAAAAUGAGGCUCCUUAGACUUAAAAUUUUGCCUUCAAUGACUGAAGAUUCAUAUAUCUGUGCACCAAUAUAUAAGGACAAAUGAAUCAGACAUACAAUCGACGGUAUAAAACCAAAGUAUUUGAGCAAUCUAUAGCACUGCCGUAAUUUCAAAGUAAUAAAUAAGAAGCAUCACUAUAUAUUUACAGCAAUAGAAUAAAUGCUCAUUGCGACUCCGUUCAAAAUAAAAUAAAUCAUUUUUAAGCUAAAAUAUGUUGUUUAAAAAUUAUUACCAUUGCAUUUUGGAAUUGGCUAAAUAGAAAAUUGCAAAUUGUAAAACACAAUGCAAAAUUUAUAUAUAUAAACAUCUUCUUCAAUAUAUUUUAUAAUUUACUUAUAAAGCUUGUGAUAUUCAGCAGAUAAGGAGUUGGAUUAAAUGUCACGAUUGGAGUACUAUACUAGAUCUUCAAAGUUAUAAAAUAAUAUAAAUCACCUUUGUGAUAAAAUAUGCUACCUUAUAAAACCAAGAAUAAUAAAACUAUCCAAGCAACUACCAAAAAAAAAAAGUAAACAUUGUAUAAAACAUGCCUAAACUAUUAUCCAUUUUGAUCUUAAAUACCCAACCUCUAAAAAUCUCCCUUAAUUCAUUGAUAUAAACCACUGAGUGGCUCUUUAAUUUCAAAAUUUGAAUGCACUGUUUAUCUUUACAGGUUUAGUUAAUAUAUUUCAUACAAUUUGUAUAACUAUAAAUUCAUUAAAAUAAACUAUUAGCAUAAAUUUGUAUCCGAAAAGCCAUCAAACGACUUAAAUCAAAUAAAUUAAAAGAUUGGAUAAUAAAAUCAGAAAUUUUGAAAUAUUGAAUAGUGGAAUGAGAAUAAUCUAUAAUUCAAAUAAAUUUUACACAUGUUUAUCAAAAAAAAAAGUUUUAUAUCAAAAUAUUUACCAUUUUAGUUCUAUCCCAUUCAUGACAGUAGAAAGGACUCUGUACUCUAUAUGAUUGAUGGAAACGACCCACCGACCGUAGUAAUUAAGAAGGAAGAUGUUUGACUGAAACAGUUAUCAUUUAAGUGGCUUGUUUUAACUUUUUUGAACAUUUGAAAAGCUCAUACGCACAUGGAAAAUUGUUUAAGAAGAACUGGUUUAUCCCUGAUUUACCAAUUAAUAUAUUUAUAUAAUAAAAAAAUUAAAGUAAAAACCAUAGAUAACUUAUUUAAACUACGGAGAAUGGACUAUUUUGAAUCGACUAUUCAAGUUUUCAAAAUUGUUAUUUUUUCUACAUAAUUUUUUAAUUUGUUUGAUUUGAGUCAAUUAAUAGUACGCCGACUUUAAAAAUUAAGCUAAUUUUUUUAAUAAAUCUCUAGUUGUGAGAAUUACAUUAAAUAUACUAUCUAAAUUUGUAAAGAUAAACAAAAUAUGUUAACUCACAUAAAUCAAAUAAAGUAAAAGAGUAGAUAAUAAAAUUAAAACUGUAUAAGUUUGAAUAGUGGAUUCAUAAUGAUCCAUAACUCAGCUCUAUAAAUUUCUAUAAUUUUUUUUUUUAAAAAAAAAUAAGUGAGAUCUUGAUCAUAGAUAUUGCCCCACCACCUAAUAAUGAACCCCAUGCUUUUGGCAUAAUGACAAAUGACUCCAUCCAAAAAGGAAAGCACAAAAUUUUCUUUUUCAGAAAAAUCAAAAGAGAAGAAAUCAUUACUGAAGGAGACGGAAAAGCGAGAAAGAGGAGACGAUCAUGACCUUCUAUUUCUUUAAAUGAUAAAUAAAUAUAAUAAAAGUAACAGUAGGGCGAAAUAUGCAUGUCGAAUCCCUCAACAAUAGGCUAUAUGAAUUAUAUCCUCCAACUUUUUUUUUUUAAAGGGCUAUAAUUUUGAUUGGCCGACGUGAAAUAAAUCUUUAAAUUUGUUUUUAUGUAGGUGACAUUAUAGUUUAGAUAGGAAAUUACUGCUUUUCUAUUAUGCAUUUUAAAAUAUAAAUUUUUAUUGACGUUUUUUAGGGGCCGAGUCAAGUUGAUAUGGACUCGUUAUGCACUUGUCAAAAUUGGAACUAUAGUAUCCACUUCCCGGUUAGCAAUGCUCAAAUUUUAUAUUACUAAAAUAAAAUUUCCAAAUUAAUUUUAACAUUUCAUACAAAGUAAUAACUUUAUUUUAUAGUAAUUAUUAAUAAUUAAUGAAAUCUGCAACUUUAUAAAGAACAGGCAAAUUUAAUGUACGCACUAUUCAAUUUCAAAGGCUUUUAAAUUAGCUACAAGAGAUAAUCAAAACUAAAAAUAAUUAAGAGAUAUAUGUCACAAUGACCUGUAAACUACAACUUGUACAGAGGUUCCUAAACAAUUUUUACACCUCUAUAAAAUUUUUUUACCAAACAACCAACAACAAGGGUCAUAUAACCUUACAAUCCUCCGUUCUGGAGUUUAGCCAAAAUUUUUAAAUUUUUAACAUUAAAAAAAGAUUAAUAUUAAAAAAAAUAAAGUGAUAAGCGUAUCAUAAAAUCUACCGUGCCUGGAUAGAAAUAUUAUAAAAUUAUAACUAAAACUUAGUGUAAAUUUUAUUACUCAUGUUGUCGGACAAAAAGCUGAAAAUUCAAUUCUUUGUGUGUGUGUGUGUAUAUAUAUAUUAAGGUUAUUAUAUUUUUAUGAACAAAAAUUUCUUGUUGGCAUAAAUUAUUUUAAAGGAAAACUUCAAAAACUCCCUCUGUGGUUUCGUGUAUUCUCAUUUUGUGCUACCCUGUGGUUUAAAACGUAUCAAUUUACCCCUGUGGUUUCGUUUUAUCUUUUUGUUAUCAAUUUAUUAUUUUUUUUUUAAAAUCAGUGACAAAGUAAAAUUAAGGAUACUAAAAUGACUAUUCGAUAAAUAUAGAUGGUUAUCUGAAGUUUUUUGUAUAUAAUUAACGAAAUAUUAACGAAAAAGCUUCCGAAAAGAUAAAAAUGAAACCACAGGGGGUUAAAUUGAUACUUUUUAAACCACAGGUAGCAAAGUGAAAUGCACGAAACCACAGAGGGGUUUUGAAGUUUCCCUAUUUUAAAUGAUGAAACUUUCAAAUUAAAUACAUACGCUAAAUAUGAUAAAAUAUUUAAUUUUUUUUAAAAAAUAUUUAAGUUUUGUGAAAUUAUAAAAAACUCCAUUGAGCAUAAAAUGAACGAUCAAAUUAAAAAACUUUCUAAAAUAAAAAAUCAAAAUUUUUAUUUAAUAUCAGAGUUAUAGAUCUCAAUCUAAAUAGUGAAUAAAAUUUUCUAUCUAAAAUUCAACCGAUUUUUAUUUUUUAUAUUUUAAAUUAGAAGCAUCUUAUACCUAUCGAUAAAAAUUAUCAAUUUAAAUUUUUUAAUCGUAAAAAAUAAUAUUAAAAAUUUAAUAAAAUUUAAUUUUUUUUUUUUCGAUUUAAAAUACUUCUAAAUUAUGUUUAACGCAUGACGUCGAUAUCGAAAAUUUUAUUAUCAAAAUGACUUAUGAAUAACAAAAGUUGAUUGUACUCCAAAAAUAAUUAGCCGAGUGCGAAAAUUACAUAAAAUACGCUAACUAAAAUAUAUAUAAAAAAAUAAUAUAUUAAAAUUUUAAAAUUAAAUCAAAUAAAUUAAAAGAAAUGUAUAUUAGAAUCGAAUUUUUGGCAAGAAUAGAUAGUAUACCCAAAAUAAUUCCUAUUAUUACGUAUAUCUUUACUCGAAAAGAGAAAAGAAAAGAAGAGAAAAACGCUUGCCUCAAUUUCGGUGUUUGUGGUUUGGGUUAGAAGGCAAGCUCUUGGAGGGGAGGAGGCGAGCGCCCGAGGUGCUCGGAGGGCGCGAAUCCUGCGGGCAAAUUCGCCCGCUUCACGAUCCUCCUCAUGUUGCUCCUGCAAGUCUGCUGCUGCACCACGCCUUCACGGGCGCGCUUCUCCUCGCUCAUCCCACCUCCUCAUGACAUAAAAUUUCUUGUUGGCAUAAUUAUUUUAAAGGAAAACUUCAAAAACCCUCCCUGUGGUUUCGUGUAUUCUCAUUUUGUCACCCUGUGUUUAAAACGUAUCAUUAUCCCCUGUGGUUUCGUUUUAUCUUUUGUUUAUAAUUUUAUUAUUUUUUUUUUAAAAUCAGUGACAAAGUUAAAAUUAAAGAGAUACUAAAAUGACUAUUCGAUAAAUAUAGAUGGUUAUCUGAAUGUUUUUUGUAUAUAAUUUAACGAAAUAUUAACGAAAAAGCUUCCGAAAAGAUAAAAUGAAACCACAGGGGGUAAAUUGAUACGUUUAAACCACAGGUAGCAAAGUGAGAAUGCACGAAACACAGAGGGGGUUUUUGAAGUUUUUCCUAUUUUAAAUGAUGAAACUUUCAAAUUAAUACAUACGCUAAAUAUGAAAAAAUAUUUAAAUUUUUUUAAAAAUAUUUAUAGUUUUGUGAAAUUAUAAAAACUCCAUUGAGCAUAAAAUGAACGAUCAAAUUAAACUUUCUAAAAUAAAAAAUCAAAAUUUUUAAUUUAAUAUCAGAGUUAUAGAUCUCAAUCUAAAUAGUGAAUAAAAUUUUCUAUCUAAAAUUCAACCGAUUUUUAUUUUUUAUAUUUUAAAUUAGAAGCAUCUUAUACCUAUCGAUAAAAAUUAUCAAUUUUAAAAUUUUUUAAUCGUAAAAAAAAUAAUAUUAAAAAUUAUAAAAUUUAAUUUUUUUCGAUUUUAAAUAUCUCUAAAUGAUGUUUAAGGCAUGAAAUCGUCGAAUCGAAAAUUUUAUUAUCAAAAGUGACUUAUGAAUCAAAAGUUGAUUGUACUCCUAAAAAUAAAUUAGCCGAGUGCGAAAAUUACAUAAAAUACGCUAACUAAAUAUAUAAAAAAAAUAAUAUAUUAAAAUUUUAAAUUAAAUCAAAUAAAUUAAAAGAAAUGGUAUUUAGAAUCGAAUUUUUGCAAGAUAGAUAGUAUACCAAAAUAAUCCUAUUAUUACGUAUAUCUUUACUCGGAAAAAGAGAAAAGAAAAGAAGAGAAAAACGCUUGCCCAAUUUUCGGUGUUUGUGGUUUGGGUUUAGAACGGCAAGCUCUUGGAGUGGAGGAGGCGGUGAGCGCCCGGAGGUGCUCGGAGGGCGCGAAUCCUGCGGCAAAUUCGCCCGCUUCACGAUCUCCUCAUGUUGCUCUGCAAGCUCUGCUGCACCAACUGCUUCACGGCGCGCUUCUCUCGCUCAUCCCACCUCCUCCUCUCUGCCUGCCUCCCCCCUCUUCUCCUCCUCCCCCUCUCCCUCCUCCUCCCUCGCCAAUGGCGCCGACACCGCCGACGAGCCCGAUACCUCCUUCCCCUUGUCCACACGGAGAAUCUCGAGCGUCCGCGACGCCCUCUUCUGGGCGAGCGCGCUCCCGAGGAGCGUGAGCUCGAGGAGGGCGGAGACGACCCCGGCGUCGGCUAUGGCGGCGCGGUCGGCGACGCGGCCCUUGUGCGCCAUCACCAUGAGGACGUACGCCGCCUUGUCCUGGCACCCGGGCGCGUCGCACCACCCCAGCGCGUCCACCAGGAUCGGGAACGCCUCCGCCGCGUUCCGCCCCACCGCGCGCCGCCCCUCCGGCGCCGCCGCCACCAGGUUCGCGAGCGUCGCCAGGGCGCGCUCGCCCGCGCCGGCGUCCGCGUCGCCCGCGGCCGCGAGCAGCGCCGGUACGAGCCCCGCGUCCACCAGCCGCGGCGCGUUCGACGCCGCGAUCGAGAGGUUGAAGAGCGCGCGGAGCGCGUCGGAGCCGCUCGGGUUGGGGGUAGGUUUAGGAUAAGGGUUAGGGUUAGGGUUUUGGAAGGCGCGCACCAGGAAGGGGAUCGCGCCGGAGGAACCGAUGAUCGGCUUGUUCGAGUCGAGGGCGCUCAGGCUGAGGAAGUUCGCGACGAUCGCCUCGGAAACGGAAGCGGAAGCGGAAGGGGAAGGGGAGGCCUCGUCCUCCGGGGAUCCGAUCAUCCCCAGCAUCUUGUGCACGGCGCCGGCCUUCACGAUCGCCGCCUUGUUCCUGAACCAAAAUGUGGAUCGACCGAAACCCUAAGAAAUGUCGUUUGGAUCGAUCUGAGGGGACGAGAGAGGUUAGGGUUAGGGCUCACAUGUCGUUGCCGAUCCCGAGGUUGAGGAGCGCGUAGAGCGCCGCGAUCCGGAGCUCGAGAUCGUCGGCGUCCAGCAUCCCGAUCAGGGGCGGGAUCGCGCCGAGCAUCGCCAGCGUCUCCCGCGCCUCGGCGUCGUCCUUCGCGAGCCGCCGCACCUCCUCCGCCGCCUCGCGCCGCCGAUCUCCGCCGUCGCCGUCGACGUGGAGCCGCCGCACCACGCGCUGGAGCUCCUUCAGAGCCUCGACCUUGCGCCGCGCCUCCUCUUCCGCCGCCGCCGUCGCCGUCGCCGUCGCCUCAGCCGCCUCGUCGGAGCCCGACUCCGACGCCUCCGCCCUGAGGAGCUCCGCGAGCCGAUCGGACCUCGGCCGCGGCAUCGGCGACGAGAACGCCGCCGCCGCCACGGCGCAGCCGCGGCCGCCGCCCCUGCGGCGGCGUGGGCGAGAGACGCCGCCGCACAUGAGCGCCUCGAGGAGCCUGCGGCGGAGGGACGCCGCGGAGAAGAGCGGCCAUAGUCGGAACCCCGCGUCGCCACGAUCGCACUUCGCCAUUGCCGCUCCCCAAUGCAAGAACCUGCUCCCCCUCUGUCGAUCACUACGUCACAUCGUCGGAGGAGGAGGACAAAAAGCAGUGGAUGCGACAAUGGCUUGGAGGAGAAGCCACGGCCGUAGAACACUCGGCUUCUCUUAAACGCAGCUUUUACUUCUCUCUCCAGCAUAUAUAUAACGCGGCGCUAUCCUCGAGGUGCGCUCUCUCUCUCUCUUCUCUCUCUCUCCUCUGAGCUCGUCCUUACGGGACGGGCGACACGAUGGCUCUCGCGCCCUGUCGGUUUUUGAGUGCGUUAAUUGCACUAAAUAUUUCACUUUAGUCCCUCAACACUCUAAUAUUUACAACCGAGUAUAUAUGCUCUUUUUUUUUAUUUUAACUACUAAUUUUUAUGACAAAUUAUUUCAACAAAAUGCUAGGUUCUCGUGUUGAAGUUAUAAUUUAAUUUGAUAAAAUAGAUUUAAUAAAAAUAAUUAAUAGGAUUUGAAAAUUUAAACAUAACACGUAAAAAAUAAUUAUUACUUUCGUCCAAGUAUAGUUAUACAUACUAUUGGUCAUCAGUUUGAAAAUUUAAUUAUUUUUUAGUUUAUUUAUUUUCUGGGUUAAAAAAUAGUAUAUAUUUGAGAGAUUUUGAGAUAGAAGGAUAAAUCUAAAAAAUAAUUAAAUAAAAAUUUAUUAAGACCCUCUUAUUUGUAACUAUUUUUAAAAAAUUAAAUUAAAUAUUUUAAAAUGUAGCUUUAAUAAUUUUAUUAAUUAAUCUAUUUUUUAUGAUCAUUGUUGUUAAAUUUAAUAAAAAUAACCUAUGAAUUUGCUAAAAUCUUUGAUUUAGCCGAUAAAAUUUAUUUAUUUGAAGAGAAUUCAAAAUUAAAGGAGAGUAUCAAUCCAACCAAAAAAAAAAAAAAGUUGAGAUGCGAUAUUCUAAAGUCCUAUAAUUUAGGGGUCUCGGUGCAUGUUUACCAAUAUUAAACUUGUGCUAAUGAUGCAAUUAAAGCGUUUGAGAAAUAUAUUUUUAUAAUUAGGCUUGCAUUUCGAGUAUUAUUAUUGAGGCUUAGAAGUGUGUUAUUAAAUAGUUAAAGUAGUCAGAGAUAAUUUGACUUUUUCAGAGGGCCGGGGAGUUAUUGGGUCGUGCUUUAAAAUAAGCGCAGGUUUAAUAGAGAAAGGCUGACUUAGAAAGUACAAGUUAGGUCAUGGAUUUGGUUCGAUUUACAACAAUGCCACUGUACCUGCCAAUAGUGUAAUACACUAUUAAAUAAAUACUCGCUCUGGCCACGGUGAUUUAUUUAAUAAAGGGAAAACUUCGAAUACCCCCUUGUGGAUUAACUUUUUCUCACUUUGGUACCCUAUACUUUAAAGUGUAUCAAGUUAGUACCUUGAGGUUUCGCACUUUCUCACUUUAGUACCUUGUGGUUUAAAGUGUAUCAAGUUAGUACCCUAUAGUUUCGCACAAUAUUUCAUUAAAAGAAAAAUAAAACUACAGGGUAUUAACUUGAUACAAAAAUAAAAUUAAAGGUGCUAAUUUAAUACAAAAAUAAAACCACAAAAUACUAACUUGAUACACUUUAAACUAUAGGGAACUAAAGUGAGAAAGUGCGAAACCACACGAUACUAACUUGAUACACUUUAAAUCAUAGGAUACUAAAAUGAAAAAGUACGAAACCACAAUGGGGUUUUUGAAGUUUUUCCUUUAAUAAAUGAUCUGAAUACGAGUUAAAUUUUUCGACUUGAAAAUUUAAUAAGUAGAACAUAAGUUGAGAUCAGUUCGCUUAUUUUCGACUCGAUAUAGCUCGAAUAUAUAUUUAUUUUUGCUUUUUAAAUUUUUAUCCCAAUCUGAAUAUAAAGAGAUUUAUAUUUUGUAAAUUUAAUUAUUAGAUUAAGAUUUUAAUUUUCUACAUUUUUUUAAACUCAUAUAAUAAUAAAGCCGGUAAUUUAAUUUGUUGUUCGCAAGCUAGCUUGUAUUCGACUCAUUAAUAAAUAAGUCGAACACGAGUUAGAUUUUUCAGUUCGAAAUUUUAACAAGCCAAUUAGUGUGUGGCUCGUUUAAUAAACGAGCGAACAUGAAUUGGCUCUAGCUCAUGUUUAACGGUCGUAUCUGCAGGGAUAAAAAUUAGUAAAAUAUUACCUAUACAUCUUUUAUAAUGUGUAUAUCUUAUAUCGAUGACAUUUUUUUAGUAAAUAAUUUUUUUUUUUAGAGAAAAGUAGCAUGCUAUUUGUUUUAUUUAUUUCAUUUAGAAAUAAAUAUAGCUAGAAAUAUAAAUCAGUUAGAAUUCGAAUUUAGAAUCUUGGGUGAUUUUUUGCCACUUACGCUAGAAACAAUGGGUUUAGUAAAAAAUUGUUAGAUAGGAAAAAAUUAGGACAUAUAUUGUAUACCUGCAUGAUAGGUGUAUAGAUAGUAUUGCUCUAAAAAUUCUAUAAGAUCAGCAUCAAACUAAAAUACGGUGAAGCUGGAUAUAUGUCAUGCACGCGUUUCCGGGAACGAGUACUAUUAUUUGCGAGUACCAAACAAAAUAUUUGAAAAUAAAGAGAUGAAUAAGAUCUGAUUCUUCUUUUUAUUUUCGAAUCAAACCGGGGCUAAAGAAUAAAAAUUAAUAAUAAUAGCAAACUAGGCUUGAGCAAUUAAUUUUUAUAAUUCAAAAUAUGACUAUAUUGUACGGACACGAGGGUGGGGGGCAGAGUUAUUGUUAUGCGGACGGUGCGAUGGACGGGGAAAUGGGAACCGGAUUGUAUGGNGACAGUAACAAUAAUAAAUAUUAUUAUUACUAUUUUUUUUUUUUUCUUGAGAUGGUGUGUGGUCAAGCGUGGUGGAGACCAUAGUUAGUUAGUGGAGAGUCUGGAGACUUGGAGUGGGUGGGGCCCGAGGUAUGGUGUUAAAUUGAUAAUUAAUUACAGAUUGGUCCUUAAAUUUUUCAGAUUUUUCAAUUCAGAUUUUUUUUUAUAAUCAUAUUACAAAUAUUUAUUAUGAAUUUCAAUGGAAUCACUUUUGACAAAAAGUUAUUAUCACUCGGCAAAAUCUAGAGCUUCCGCGGCAUUAAUUUGAUAAAUAUUGGUUAAUACUAACGGAGUAAUUUGGCUAAAUUACAAAAAAAUUUCUGUCAAUACCGAUUUUUUUAUUUUUUUUUGUCAUUCAAAAAUCUAUAAUUUGCUCUGUUAUAAAAUAAAAAUAUUUAUAUGAGAAUACAUUGUGACAAGAUAAUCAAAUUGUCCUCAACUUCUUCGGGUUGGGUGUGGACAGAGGGUGGACGAGGGCGAGAGUGAGGCGGCGGAGGCGAGCGAGAUCGUGUGUGUGGACAUGGAUAGAGAUGUAGGUGAGGGCAAAGUGGCGAAGGGCGAGGUGGUGCGAUCGAGAUCGGAGAGGAAGGAUGAGGGUUUCAAGAAUAUUUUGGGUAUAAAAAAUAUGAUAUAAACAUAAUCCAAACAGUACUGUAACGGAACACUUACGGCGGGUCAAAAUGAACAUUUUUUAUUUAAUAAAGAGACAAAAUGUAGGUUGAGAGAUUUUCUGUAAUUUAGCCUAGUAGUUUUUGUUAAAAUAAAUAUUUUUGAAUACUAAAUAUUAAGAAUAUGAUCUGAAAAAGUUGGCAAUGGAAAAUAAAAUGAUAAUAAAGUUGUGGUACAAUAAACUCUUUAAAUUUUAAAAAACACCAAGUCUCUAUUUAAAAAAGCUUAUAAUUUCUGCAAAAUCUUGUCGGAUUGUUGGCACUAACCACAACUCAAUUAAAACGUAACACUUUCCACGAAUCUCAAUUGUGAUUUGGUUUAACCAGCCUCACGUUACUCCGAAUAUAACUCGACCCAAUAUAGCCUUCUGCCACACAUCAAAAUGCUAGGGCGCAAAUUCAUAGCAUGCGAAAAUUAAAUCCGCGAUCUCUAAUUCUGAUACUACUUAUAAAAUUAUUGGCGCUAAUUAUUAACCCCAAAAGCUCAAACUAUUAGAAAUAUACUACCAACUUAGUUAAAACGUAUAGAUGCAACGCCCAUGAGUCUCUAUUAUGACUUGAUUCAAAUAAUCUCACAUUAUUUUGAAUAUGACUCGGCCCAUUCUAGCCCACGUCAUUUUGAACUUAACUCUGCUAAUCUGACUUUCCGCCGUAAGUCAGAAUGUUGGCUCCUUUAAGACGACACACCUUAUCUAAAAAAUUAUAGAAUUUACUAACCUAUUUUAAAUUUUAGAUAAAAAGAAUAAUACCACAAGUAAAAUAUAGAAGGCUUUUAGCAAACUACAUUAGAUAGUGUCAGUUUAUUUUUAACUAUUUGAGAGUUUUCUUGAAUGAUCGUUACGUGAUUUGAAUAGUGUGACUAGCGUAAGUAUGGGAUCAAUCAAUUGGAUAAAAUUGUAUUUUACGGCAUAAUUUUUAAUAUACAUUUGUAUGCAUAAAUCAGUGUCGGUGCUACUACUUUUUUGCCGCAGUGCUGAGCUGUACGCUUGUACCUAUGUUCCGAAUAGUCAACAGCUGUUGACUUUUAUUAUGUGAAUCUGGAGAUUAGAUCUAUCAAUUUUUUAUUAAAUCAUUGUUCCGUUGGGUAGCGUUUGAUUCGAGAAUAAGGAGAAAAUAAGCCCUCAUUCCCCCUUUGUUCCCAAACGUGAUAUUUGGUAUUCAGGAACAGCAGUUCCGGAAAUUUCAAGAACAAUAGUUCCAGAGUUUCAAGAACCCUUUUUCUAAAAUAAGCUUGUUCCUUAAUGAGAACAAAAUUAAUUAAAAUCUAAAUUUAAUUUUAAUUAACCAGUAAAUUAUUAAUUAAUCUAAUUAAUAUAUUUAAAUUAAUAUUUAUUAUUUUAAUAAUUUAUUAAUUUAUUAAUUUAUUAUUUAUAAUUAAUUAAUAAUAAUUAGAUAAUUAUUAUAAUUAAUUUAUUAUUAUUUAUAAUUAUUUAUUAAUAAUUAAUAAUAUUUAUUGUUAUUUAUUAAUAAUUAUUAAUAAUUAUUAUCCUUAAUAAUUAGAUAAUCGAAAGUAUUAUUAAUUUAUUAUUUAUAAUUAAUUAUUAAUAAUUAGGUAAUUAUUAUUAUUAAUUUAUUACUAGUAAUUAAUUAUUAAUAAUUAUUAUUUACUAAUAAAUAUUAAUUAUUAUUAUUAUUUAUUAAUAAAUAUUAAUAAUUAUUAUUAUUAAUAAUUAGAUAAUCGAUAUUAUUAUUAAUAAAAAUUAGAUAAUCGAUAUUAUUAUUAAUUUAUUAUUAAUAAUUAAUUAAUAAUAAUAAUUAAUAAUUAUUAUUAUUUUAUUAAUAAUUAUCAAUUAUUAUUAUUAUUAAUUAGAUAUUCAAUAUUAUUAAUUUAUUAUUUAUUAAUUAAUUAUUAAUAAUUAUUAAUACUUAUUAUUAUUUAUAAUUAAUUUAUUAAUAAUUAAUUUAUUAUUUAUUUUUAAGUAAUAUUUUGAUGUUAAUUAAUUACAUAAUAUAAUUUUAAUUUUAAAUUAUAACUCUUAUUCCUCUUAUUACAAUUUAACCAUCCAAAUACUAUUUACCUUAUUACUAGAAACAACCCAAUUUUCAUCUAAACGCAAAAUUGGUCUAGUUCCUGCUUAUAUCUGAACUUGUACCUAUCCCUGAAACUAGCAGUUCUUACUUAUACCCGAACCAAACGCAGCCGAAAUUCGAGUUUGGUUCGGAAACGAGAGGAAUAAAUUCUUGUUCCCUCUUUAUUUCCGCAUGUAAUUUUUAGCAUUGAAAAAUAAUAGUUCUCAUAUUUCUAAAAUAAAUUGGUAUAAUUCGGUAUAAAUUUGAAAUUGUUGUUCCAUCCUUUUUUCUAAAACAAACAUAUUUCCAAAUGAAAAUAAGAUCAAUUAAAAUUAAAUUUUAAUUUUAAUUAUAAUAUUAAAUUAUUAUUUAAUCUAAUUAAUAUAUUUAAAUCAUUAUCCAAUUGCUUUAAAUAAUAAAACAAUUAAUUAAUUUAUUAUUUCUAAAUAAUUAGCUAAUUAAUUAUUAAUAAUUUAAUAUGUAAAUUAAUAUUUAUAUUGAUCAGCCAUUAAUUUUUUUAUUAUCUAAUUAAUUUUUUUACGAGUUAUCAAAUUAAUAUAAUUUACUAACUAAUUAAAAAGUUAAAUUAUUUUUAUAUUAAAUUAAUUAAUUAAUAUAUUUUUAUUAUUUUAUACAAUAUUCAUACUUUCAUUCGUUAGUUUAUUCAAUUAUUCCAAUCUAACCAUCNUUUCGAACCAAACGGAAGCUAAAGAAUAAAAAUUAAUAAUAAUAGCAAACUAGGCUUAAGCAAUUAAUUUUUAUAAUUCAAAAUAUAACUAUAUUGUACGGACACGAGGGUAGGGGGCAGAGUUAUUAUUAUGCGGACGGUGCGAUGGACGGGGAAAUGGGAACCGGAUUGUAUGGGGACUUUUUUUUUUUUUUAUUGAGAUAGUAUGGGGUCAAGCGUGGUGGAGACCAUAGUUAGUUAGUGGAGAGUCUGGAGACUUCGAGUGGGUGGGGCCCGAGGUUGCCCUGUUAAAUUGAUAAUUAAUUACAGAUUGGUCCUUAAAUUUCUCAGAAAUUUUAAUUCAGAUCUUUUUUAUUAUAAUCAUAUUACAAAUAUUUAUUAUGAAUUUCAAUGGAAUCACUUUUGACAAAAAGUUAUUAUCACUUGGCAAAAUCUGGCGCUUCCGCGGCAUUAAUUUGAUAAAUUUGAUAAAUAUUGGUUAAUGCUAACGGAGUAGUUUGGCUAAAUUACAAAAAAUUUUCUGUCAAUACCAGCUUUUUUAUUUUUUUGUCAUUUAAAAAUCUACAAUUUACUCUGUUAUAAAAUUAAAAUAUUUAUAUAAGAAUAUACUGUGACAAAAUAAUUAAAUUGUCCUCAACUUCUUCGGGUUGGGUGUGGACAGAGGGUGGACGAGGGCGAGAGUGGGGCGACGGAGGUGAGCGAGGACGUGUGUGUGGACAUGGACAGAGAGGUGGGUGAGGGCCAGGCGGCGAAGGGCGAGGUGGUGCGAUCGAGAUCGGUGAGGAAGGAUGAGGAUUUUAAGGAUAUUUUGGGUAUAAAAAAUGUGAUAUAAACAGAAUCCAAACGGUACUCUAACUGAACACUUACGGCGGGUCAAAGUGAACAUUUUUUAUUUUAUAAAGAAAUAAAAUGUAGGUUGAGAAGUUUCUGUAAUUUAGCCUAGUAGUUUUUGUUAAAAUAAAUAUUUUUGAAUACUAAAAAUUAUGAAUAUGAUCUGAAAAAGUUGGCAAUGGAAAAUAAAAUGAUAAUAAAGUUGUGGUACAAAAACUCUUAAAUUUUAAAAAACACCAAGUCUAUAUUUAAAAAAGCUUAUAAUUUUUGCAAAAUCUUGUCGGAUCUUUGGCACUAACCACAACUCAAUUAAAACGUAACACCUUCCACGUAUCUCAAUUGUGAUUUGGUUCAACCAGCCUCACGUUACUUCGAAUAUAACUCGACCCAAUAUAGCCUCCUGCCACACAUCAAAAUGCUAGGGCGCAAAUUCACAGCAUGCGAAAAUUAAAUCCGUGAUCUCUAAUUCUAAUACUACUUAUAAAAUUAUUUGUGCUAAUUAUUAACCCCAAAAGCUCAAACUAUUAGAAAUAUACGACCAACUUAGUUAAAGCGUACAGAUACAACAUCCGUGAGUCUCUAUUAUGACUUGGUUUAAACAAUCUCACAUUAUUUCGAAUAUGACUCAGCCCAUUCUAGCCCACGCCAUUUUGAACGUAACUUUGCUAACCUGACUUUCCGCGCACAGGUCAGAAUGCUGGCUCCUUUCAAACGACACACCUUAUCUAAAAAAUUAUAGAAUUUACUAACCUAUUUUAAAUUUUAGAUAAAAAGAAUAAUACCACAAGUAAAAUAUAGAAGGCUUUUAGCAAACUACAUUAGAUAGUGUCAGUUUAUUUUUAACUAUUUGAGAGUUUUUUUGAAUGAUCGUUACGUGAUUUGAAUAGUAUAUAUAUAUUUUUCGAGAGAUAGAUAGCACACUAUUCGCUUCAUUUAUUUCAUUUAGAAAUAAAUUUAGCUAGAAAUAUAAAUCAACUAGGAUUCGAAUUUGGACCUCGGGUACCAAUCAUCAAAUUUUUUGUCACUUCUCUAGGGUCGGUGUGAUUUGAAUAGUGUUACUAGCGUAAGUAUGGGAUCAAUCAAUUAGAUAAAAUUGUAUUUUACCGCAUAAUUUUUAAUAUACAUUUGUAUGCAUAAAUCAGUGUCGGUGCUAUUACUUGUUUGCUGCAGUGCUGAGCUGGACGCUUCUAGCGGUGUUCCGAAUAGUCAACAGCUGUUGACUUUUAUUAUGUGAUUCUGGAGAUUAGAUCUAUCAAUUUUUUAUUAAAGCAUUGUUCCGUUCCGUAGCGUUUGGUUCGAAAACAAGGGCGGAAUAAGCCCUCAUUUCCUCGUUGUUUCCAAGCAUGAUGUUUGAUAUUUGGGAACAGUAGUUCUAAAGUUUCAAAAAUAAGCCGGUAGAAAGUUGGAACUGUUGUUCCACUUUUUUCUUAAAACAAACUUGUUCCUUAAUGAGAACAAAAUUAAUUAAAAUCUAAUUUUAAUUUUAAUGAUAGUAAAAUAUUAAUUAAUCUAAUUAAUAUAUUUAAAUUAAUAUUUAUUACUUUAAUAAUUUAUUUAUUUAUUUAUUUAUUAUUUAUAAUUAAUUAAUAAUAAUUAGUUAAUUAUUAUAAUUAAUUUAUUAUUAUUUAUUAAUAAUUAUUAAUAAUUAUUAUCCUUAAUAAUUAGAUAAUCGAUAGUAUUAUUAAUUUAUUAUUUAUAAUUAAUUAUUAAUAAUUAGAUAAUUAUUAUUAAUUAAUUUAUUACUUAUAAUUAAUUAUUAAUAUUAUUAUUUAAUUAUUAAUUAAUAAUAAAAUAAAAUAAUUAUUCUUAUUAAUUAGAUAAUCGAUAUUAUUAGUAAUUUAUUAUUAAUAAUUAAUAAUUAAAUAAUAAUUAUUAUUUAUUAAUAAUGAUUUAUAAUUAAUUAUUAAUAAUUAGAUAAUUAUUUUUAAUUAAUUUAUUACUUAUAAAUAAUUAUUAAUAGUUAUUAAUAAUUAAUUAAUUAAGUAAUAAUUAUUAAUAAUUUAUUAAUAAUUAAUUAAUUUAUUACUUAUAAAUAAUUAUAAAUAAUUAAUAAUAAUUAAUUAUUAAUAAUAAUUAAUAAUUAUUAUUAUUUAUAAUUAUUUAUUAAUAAUUUAUUUGUUAUUUAUUUUUAAGCAAUAUUUUGAUGUUAAUUAAUUAGAUAAUAUAAUUUUAAUUUCAAAUUAUAACUCUUAUUCCUAUUAUUCCAAUCUAACCAUUCCAAUACUGUUUAUUUUAUUACCAUGAAUGACCUAAUUUUUAUCUAAAAUUAAAAUUGGUUUAGAUCCUGCUUAUAUCUGAAUCUGUAUUUAUCCUUGAAAUAAGCAAUUCUUACUUAUACUCAAACAAACGUAGUCGCGGGAAUAAAAGAGCGAAUAAGAAAAAUAAAGGUCUUACUUCACUCCUUAUUUUUAAAUAAAAAGUUUAUUCUUCUCUUAAUGGAUUAUUUAAGGAUAAUUUAUGAUAACCUGUUAAAUGAGUGAAAUUGUUUCUCAUCUUAUAUUUAUAUACUAAUUAAUUAUAAAAUAAAAUAUUACCAAACUAAUACAAUAACUAGUGGUUGAGGGUGGUAGCAUCAAACUCUAAUAACCCAGUGAACAAUUACCCAACUCACUUCUGAUAAUAAAACGAUGUUUAUAAAUUAUCAUAGAGAUAUUUUAUAGAGAUAUAUUAUGUAGAGUUAGACUGAAAUAUUAUCGGUAGCAAACGAACUCAUUGUCACCAUUUAUUUUCGAUAAUAGAGCCUUCAAAUCGAUGAUCGAUAUCGUUAAACAUAAUCUAUACCAUUUGAAAUAUUUUGAAACCAAAUUUUAAAUUUUUUCGACAUUAUUGACCUAAUGAUCAAAGGGUUUCAAAAUUUAUAAUUUUAAUAGUAGAUAGAGGCGUUUUCUCGUUUAACAGUGUAAAACUAUCCAAAUCAAUUAAAUUUUGGUUAAAAGAUUCUUUAAACUAUUUAAAAUAAAAUCUGUACUCUUAAUCUUGAUUACAAAAUUUAUAUCAUCACUUUUUAGAGGAUAUUUAUUUUAGCUGUUCAUUUUUACGUCCACUUGAUGGACAAGAGAACAAUAUCGAAAAAAUAUAAAAUUUGAUUUCUAGAUACUUCAAGUGGUAUAGAUAAUAUUCAACGGUGCAGAUCGUCGAUUUGAGGCUUAUCAUCGAAACAAAUCAGUGGCAAUGGAGCACGUUUGCUACCGAUAGUAUUCCAGCUCAACUCAUAUUACAUAAACGUAUUAUACAAAAUAGUAUAAUAGGUACAGCUACUGCUGUAACCUAAUAGUUCAACAUCUCGUGAAAAAAAAACUUAUACUUAAAAAUAUAUGAACUAAAAAUUUUUAUAUUAAUUAAUAAUUGAGUUUAAGCAUUUUUGACUUGAAUCGUAAUAUUUUGUACAGGACGAGAACACAUAAAUUUGGGCUUUGGGAUGAACACGAGCCGGAUUUCACAUAAUUCCAAAAAAACCCAAAAGUAUUUUGGGCUUAGAUUUUUAGGCCCAGCUCAAGACCCACUCACGUCUCACGCGCGACGUUAUCCAAAUGGAACAGCGUAACUGCCCUCUCGAAAUAUCCUCCAGGAGCCCAUCUAAUCGGACGACACGUGUGCGUCAAGUUUCGGGCAUAACCGACUCCGGCGGAUCACUGUACCCACAGUAUCCAUCUCCUGUUCUCGUUCUCCUUUCCCGGCCCUUCCCCCGCUCUCUCGCGUCGACCUCUCUCCUUCGCCCCCUCUCCGCCACCAUGGGAGCUUAGCACCCCACCCACCCGGCUCCGUGGACUCCCAAACCCUAAUCCGUCCCNAUUAUUUAAGAAUAAUUUAUGAUAACAUGUUAAAAGAGUGAAAUUGUUUCUCAUCUUAUAUUUAUAUACUAAUUAAUUAUAAAAUAAAAUAUUACCAAUUAAUUUAUUAUAUAUUAGUUUUUUUUAUUAAUUAACUAGAUAAAUACUUAAUCACUUGCUUUAUUGCUAUAAUAAAUAUUUAAUUAACUAUUUGAGUAAUUACUUUAUUAUUUAUAUCUAAUAAGCUAAUUAAAAUUUUAAUUAUUUAGUGUGCUUAUGCAAUAACUAGUGGUUGAGGGUGGUAGCAUCAAACUCUAAUAACCCAGUGAACAAUUACCCAACUCACUUCUGAUUAUAAAACGAUGUUUAUAAAUUAUCAUAGAGAUAUUUUAUAGAGAUAUAUUAUGUAGAGUUUGGCUGAAAUAUUAUCGGUAGCAAACGAACUCAUUGCCACCCAUUUAUUUUCGAUGAUAGAGCCUUCAAAUCGAUGAUCGAUAUCGUUAAACAUAAUCUAUACCAUUUGAAAUAUUUUGAAACCAAAUUUUAAAUAUUUUCGACAUUAUUGACCUAAUGAUCAAAGGGUUUCAAAAUUUUUAAUUUUAAUAGUAGAUAUGAAGCAUUUUCUCGUUUAACAGUAUAAAACUAUCCAAAUCAAUUUAAUUUUGGUUAAAAAAUUCUUUAGACUAUUUAAAAUAAAAUCUGUACUCUCAAUCUUGAUUACAAAAUUUAUAUCAUCACUUUUUAGAGGAUAUUUAUUUUUAGCUGUUCAUUUUUACGUCCACUUGAUGGACAAGAGGACAAUAUCGAAAAAACAUAAAAUUUGAUUUUUAGAUACUUCAAGUAGUAUAGAUAAUAUUCAACGGUACAGAUCGUCGAUUUGAAUGCUUCAUCAUCGAAACAAAUCAGUGGCAAUAGGGCACGUUUGCUACCGAUAGUAUUCCAGCUCAACUCAUAUUACAUAAACGUAUUAUACAAAAUAGUAUAAUAGGUACAGCUACUGUAACCUAAUAGUUCAACAUCUCAUGAAAAAAACUUAUAAUUAAAAAUAUAUGAACUAAAAAUUUUUAUAUUAAUUAAUAAUUGAGUUUAAGCAUUUUUGACUUGAAUCGUAAUAUUUUGUACAGGACGAGAACACAUAAAUUUGGGCUUUGGGUUGAACACGAGCCGGAUUUCACAUAAUUCCAAAAACAAACCCAAAAGUAUUUUGGGCUUAGAUUUUUAGGCCCAGCUCAAGACCCACUCACGCGCGACGUUAUCCAAAUGGAACAGCGUAACUACCCUCUCGAAAUAUCCUCCAGGAGCCCAUCUAAUCGGACGACACGUGUGCGUCAAGUUUCGGGCAUAACCGACUCCGGCGGAUCACUGUACCCACAGUAUCCAUUUCCUGUUCUCGUUCUCCUUUCCCGGCCCUUCCCCGCUCUCUCGCGUCGACCUCUCUCCUUCGCCCCUUCUCCGCCACCAUGGGAGCUUAGCACCCCACCCCCGGCUCCGUGGACUCCCAAACCCUAAUCCNCCCCCCCCCCCCCCCGAUCCAUCGUCGUCCCCGAUUUGGUAGCUAGGGUUUAGAUCGGAGAUCCGCUAGGGUUUUUCCGAUGUCGUCGAUCCUGCCGAAGAGCGAGAGCGUGGAGAUCCGCGAGGUGUGGCGCGGGAACCUGGAGGCGGAGUUCGCGCUGAUCCGCGAGAUCGUCGACGAGUUCCCGUACGUGGCGAUGGACACGGAGUUCCCCGGGGUGGUGAUCCGCCCCCUCGGCACCUUCCGGUCGAGCUCCGAGUUCAACUACGCCACGCUGAAGGCGAACGUCGACACCCUGAAGCUGAUCCAGCUCGGGCUCACCUUCUCCGACGAGCGCGGCAACCUCCCAGCCUGCGGCGCCGGGCGGCGCGGCUGCGUGUGGCAGUUCAACUUCCGCGAGUUCGACGCGCGCCGCGACGCCUUCGCCGCCGACUCCAUCGACCUCCUCCGCCACAGCGGCAUCGACCUCGCCCGCAACGCCGAGGACGGCGUCGACGCCGCCCGCUUCGCCGAGCUGCUCAUGUCCUCCGGCGUCGUGCUCGACGACGCCGUGCGCUGGGUCACCUUCCACAGCGGCUACGACUUCGGCUACCUCCUCAAGCUCCUCACCUGCCGCAAGCUCCCGGAGACGCAGGCCGGGUUCUUCGCCCUCAUCCGGAUCUACUUCCCCACGGUAUACGACAUCAAACACCUCAUGAAGUUCUGUAACAGCCUCCACGGUGGGCUCAACAAGCUCGCCGAGCUGCUCGACGUCGAGCGCGUCGGAGUCUGCCACCAGGCCGGCUCCGACAGCCUCCUCACUUCCUGCACCUUCAGGAAGCUCAGGGAGUCCUUCUUUAACGGCUCCACCGAGAGAUAUGCCGGCGUCUUGUACGGCCUCGGUGUCGAGAACGGUCUCGAGAACGGUCUGGAUACCGCUCAUUGAGUAAGAAUAAUGAUAAUAAUCAUCAUCAUCAUAAUGAAAAAAAAAAAGAAAUUGGUUUGGUGAAUUGUGUUGGUUGAUGCUUUCUCGUGUGAUCUGCUUGAUUGGUGUUGUGUUUCUAGUUACUUACCAUGUUUCUGAAGUUGAUUUAACAUUGAUUGUUAAAUCAACCAUACCAUACUUCGGUUCUUUGUGAUCUCCACGACGGUAUGAAACUUUGUUGGGAUCUUCCUCUCCUGAUUGUAGUUUUUGAUACCAAUUGUUAGAUUUAACAAAUAAUCCUAACAUAUCCGGAUCGUUCUAGGACUCGGUGGGGUAAUCGUAACAAGCUUAAACAGUAAUAUGUUUCCCCUCCUUUGAGAGGCUCUUCAUCCACUGCCGUUUGUUUCGGAGGUGGUGUAUAUCUUAUUUGAUUUUGCUGCAUGUUCAGAAUUUAAUUAUGAUGACCGGAAAAAUGAUUCUUUUUUACUCUCAUCUUAUCUUCAAUAAGCACUAUUGAAUAUUCUUGAUGGCAGUUUAGGGAUUUUGCUCAGGUAAAUUGAAUUCUGUGGAUAGAUUUAUAAGUUGUUGUUCUUCAGAAUUUUACAUCAUAGCGCAUGCUAAUUGUUUUUGGUAGCUUAGCUUUACAAAAUUGGAUCCUUAGAAUUAUUGUAGUCUCAUUUGAAGGAGAAAAAAUGUGUCUGUUUAGUACUAAAUGUGAUCAAGUUUGGCCAUGAUGUUCCUGUCACAUUUGAUUAACCGAGUAGAAUAGGUGGAAUUCAUAUAAUAGCCUACUGAUCUGAUGUACUUAUUAUCGUGUUAGCAACUCUAGAAAGGAUGUUUCUUAUUCGAAUUAUUAUGAGAACUUUGAUAAAUGCAUGUUGGUGGAUAUCACUAUCCUCAUAAAUCUACCUAAAUGCUAAUGGAACGAUGGUGUUUGUGAGGCCUUGCAUCCUAGGGAGUCACCCAUCCUAGAACUGUUUUAAUCCUAGCACGCUUAACUUUUUUAACCUCUUGAGCCUAAUCACUGUCCAAAUGCUAUAGCCGACGGGUUACGAGAUUUAGCUCUAUUUUAUCUCAUAUAUAGAACUAUUCUAAAUACUGGGGGUGGCACGGUUUUGCACUCGUAAAUAGAUACCCCUUUUGUAUUCCGACAUCUGCUUUACUCUCUAGUAGUUCGGUCCUUAACAUAGAGCUAUGAAAUUGAUAUUCCUAACUUCCAUUUGGUCCUCGAACUUGCCAUUGAAUUUCGAAUAAAUUGUGAACGUCAUAAUAAUUUGUCUUGUUAGAAAUACUGUAAAUAACAAUCCAUUUGUCUUGCUGUAUUGGCCUUCUUCAUUUUCUAUUUUUAAAUGUGCUAUGUGUUUCUCACAUGCUUAAUUUCAAUGACAAGUUUUCGAAGUAGCAAUCCUAGGUAACAAAGUGCUAAAUUUUGAACAAAGGGAAAAAUCAGAUAUUAGAUAUACAUCAAAGUUUUUCUUUCUAAUCUUAACUGUAGUAGUUAUAUCGGCAAAAAUAUGACCAGAGCAGUAGUUAUAGCGACAAAAAUAAGACCAAAGUGUAGUAAGUUUAAAAAGAAAAUCAUGAAGUAUGCUACUGAAGUCCAAUUUAGCUUUUAGUUACCACUUCAGAAUGAUGAAAGAACAACUAUUGAUGGAUAAGAACUACAUAAGUGGGAGUAUCUUUCAUACCCUAGUUUUAUAGUCCUCUGUGAUGGGAGUAUAUAGAGCUACAGCAAUUUGGCAAGAAUUUUGAUAUAUACUUCUCAGAUUUAGAAGAAGUUUUACUGGACAAAUUUCAGAUGGAUGAUUCAAUUGCUAGGAAAUAUAGAAUAUAGAAUUUAGAAGUUUGUGUGUUUUAUACAUGUAGUAUUCAUUUAACUAUGUGGAAUGAGCUGACUCCAAUUUGAAAGCGAGAUUCAAAUAGGUAUUCAUUUUCUACUGUUAUUGUCAUCUUUAGUUUGAUGUAAAUUGACUUUCUCUUGGUCAGGAUUUGAGGAUAUGGAUUCUGUGUAAGCUUAAUUGCAUUCUUCGUGUGUAUUGCUUGUUCUGCUUCUUCCUUGUGUCGCCUAACACGGGAACAAGUGACAGUUCAAACAAACUUUGCUGUGCAGAAUUAAGACGACAUUUUUACACCUGCUUCAUGGUAAAUUUGGGAUUACAUUUUGUUUUCGUGAUUGUGAUUCAGAUGCAUCGUGCUUUUUUUCUUUUCUUUUCUUUUUUUUUUUGUUUUCUUUUCCCAGAAUGAAGGCAGAUCAUGCCCAUUAGAGUUCAAUGAAAUCUUUGGUUCAUUCAAAAUCCAUGUUCAAAUGGGUUAAUGAAAUGUAUAGAAUUAUGGAAACACUGGAGAAUGCCAAAUUGGGCCGAGUACAUGUUCUAUUUUUGUUAUUUUUGUUGUUAGUUUGGCCUUGAAUUAGAGACAUCACUGAUUCCGAGCUCUCUCAAAUAUUCACUUUGUGGUUGCACGUGAAAAUACACAUGCAACUGUAAUAAUCAAAUAAGGCGCUAUUUAUAGUGCACUUUAAUUUCUCAAUUUGAAAGCACGUAUAUGUAAAAUUUAAGGUGACUUAUUUAAUUUGGUUUGAUUUUAAUAAGUAUAUAGUAAAUAGUGUAGAGCUAGUAUAAAGUAGUUGGUGCUUUCAAUUUUUUAGCCCUUAGAUUAAAGAUUCUACGGUUGGGAUGAUAGCGGUCCCUUUAGAGUUGAGUGGUCCCCCAGGAUUGAGUAGUCCCAUUGGUUAAUAAUAUUAAUCCAACGGUUAGAAAUGAUCAAUGGGGUUGAUUUAAGAGCUAAAAAAUCGGAAGCGCUAACUAUUUUAUGCUUCCGAUAGUAUAGUAGCUCUACUCUAAUAAAUAAAUCCAUAUAUAUAUAUAUAUAUAUAUAUAUAGAGAGAGAGAGAGAGAGAGAGAGAGAGAGAGAGAGAGAGUAGGGCUACUAUACUCUUGAGUAUAGAGCUCUUCGUAUUCAUAAGUUGUUUUUGGUGAUGGAGCUUCUGAAUUGACGAUCCACUUCGUUAAAUAUGAUCUAGAGUAUUUGAAACUUUUAGAAAAUAAAUUUUGUAUUUUUUUUUAAUCAUAAUAAAGUUUAUCAAGCAGGCAUAAAAUGAACCGUCAAAAUCGAACGACGUUCUAAAAAUGAAUGAUCUGAUCCUUCAAUUUAAGAUAGAGUUAUUGAUCUUUAUGUAGAUAGUGAAUAGAAUUUUUUAUGAAAAAUUCAGCUUAUUCUAAUUCUUUUAUAUGGUUAAACUAGCAAGUAUUUCAUACCGGUCGUUAAAAAUUAUUAAUUUUGUGAUUUUUUGAUUGUAGUGUAAAUAAUAUUGAAAAAUUAUGAAAUUUGAUUUUAGAAAUUUUAAAUAUUUUAGAUAAUGUUUAACGGUAUCGAUCAUCGAUUCAGAAGUUCUAUCAUCGAAAAUGAUUUAUAAGUACGAGGGUAAUCAUGCUUAUAAGAGUAUAGCAGUCGGACUUUAUAUAUAUAUAUAUAUAUAUAUAUAUAUAUGAGUCAAGUUCAAAUGACAUAUGUGUAAUGGUGAACAGUGUUACACUCUUUUUGGGCCGUAGAUCUAAAUAAAAUCCAAGGAUCCAGCAAUGGCAACUUUUUUAACUUGUCAUUGAGUUGAGAUCAAAUAGUUGUCAUAUCUCUCACCAUCACUUUAAUGCCUGACGCGAUCUCGCACUAGCACACACACACACACACACUCUCUCUCUCUCUCUCUCUCUCUCUCUCUCUCUUCCCAAUAUCUUUUGGUGCAUGCAUUCAUGAUUUUUUUUUUCUCCUUCUUGGCCUGAACUUUGCAUCUCUAUACUCCUUUCACUUACUCGCAACAUACAUUAGAAGGGAUAAAGAAUCUGAUGCCUUAACCAUUUCUCUAUACAACAUGUAUGGUAAAUUAACUAGACACUUUUUUCUUUCCUUUCUUUUUUAAUUUUGUGGCAAUAGAUAUUACGGAUUUUUUUUGUUUUAUAUUUAAAGAAAUUUUUUGUCUGUUUAUAGUUACUAAAAUUUUUAACCUAUUCUCGUUAUUUUAUAUGCAUUAUCAAUUAAAGUUUCUUUUUCUAAGAUUUAACUAAAUUAGAUAACUAAAAGUAACUAAACAAAAUAUUGCCAUUUUAAAAUAUCCGGUAAUGUUUUCUUUUUAUUUUGGCAUCCUUUAAUUUUAAUUAAUUAUUUGAUUUAGUUAAUUUUUAGAUCAAAUGGGAUUUAUAAAAAAUUAGCUGUUUGUUGGUUAUUAUGUCAUCAUCAUUUAAAAAUUUCAUAAUUCUAUCAACUGCAAAGUGUCUAAUAAUUAAAUAAUAGAGUUACAUCCAAACUUAGCAAAAUAUCUCUAUACAUUUUACCUUUUUUCUCCUUUCAUGAUGUUCUAUCUUUCAUUGAAUUACUUGUUUAACCACAUGAAAUUAUUUUGUAUUGUGUUUUAUUUUAUUUUAUUUUUUUUCUGUUGAGCUUAUGUAUGUGUGUUCUUGUUGGAUGUUCUUUUCUAAAUAAUUCAUAGUUUGCAAAAGUUUACUUUGGAACUUUUUUGUCCAGAACAGUGGCUAAAUGUUGUAUGGGGAAUUCAUCACCAACUGUUAUUCCAAUUGCUUGUACUAUGAUGAUGCCAAUACUACAUAUAAAGAGACAAAAAUGCAAAAUGUACCAAUCUUGAAACUAAUUCGAAAAAUAUAUAUCAAAUGCCUCUGUUGACGAAUCAAUGAAACAUAUGAUUGAAUGGGUUUAUAAACUUUUGUGAUGUUGUGAGAAUUUCUACAAGUCUUUGCAAACAGCACGGUUUUGGUAUUCGUAUUCGGACAAGUCAAACAGGCUUUCGAAGUAAUGAAUUAGAAGUCGUAUAUAUGUAUGUGUGUUCGAAGGCCAUCAUAAGAGAGAUUUCAAAUUGAAGAGAGCACAAAUAGGAUGGAAAAAUAUAGGAGGAGUGUUCACUAUAAGAACUGUUGUGGGGCACUAUUUUAAGAUAGACGAGUAAGAAUAGUACAACUUGGGUUGUAAAUCAUUCAAAAAUGGAGCACAAUCAUAGUAUGAUUAGCCCUAAAAGUGUGUCAUAUCUAAGAUGUCAUAGAAAAAUGACUUCCACAGUUAGCCUUGUUGAAAAGUUUGAGAAGAAGGAAUUCCCACAGGGCAAAGUUGCAUCAAUAUUUAUAUAUGUUGCAUUAACAAUUCUCUAAUAGGGAUUGUUGGAACAUCUUAAAACUUAAGAGAAAGGACUUGGAUAAUGGAGAUGCAAAGCAGUCUAAGUUAUUUUUAAAGAAGCAGGCUGAAGAUCCGAAUUUCUUAUGUAUGCUAUUCAGAUGUGAUUGUGCAUGCUCGGAUUAGUAACUUAUUUUGGUGACUGCUCGGAUCUUCGUUUGGCUGAUGAAUAUUUUGGUGAUGUUGUUACAUUUUGACAAAAACAAAAUAAACAAAGGUAACAUGCCAUUUGCCCUUUUGUUGGAUUAAUCAAUCAAUCGUCAAUAGAUUUUAUAUUUGUUGUGCUUUGUUACAGAUGAAUCUGACAAAAGUUUUAUUUGGUAUUUGAAAACUUGGCUGAGAGGCAAAUGCAUGGAAUAGUCCACCAUACUGGUAUUAUGAUCAAUUUGCUAUUGAGCAGCUGUGAGAAAAUGUUUCAGAGUGUAGUUAGCCGUACCCCCGCCCCCUCGUUUUAUCGUUCGAUUAAAAAUUUCCAGGAACAGUUGUCACGAUUAUAUAUCAUAAAAACUCUGACUUCUAAGCGUGAAUUAAAAAAGAUGAUCGUAAUCUACUUACUAUAGAAGAGUUUGAAAAGGCAUUGGACAUGAACUGAUGAUUCACGAUGCUUAGAAGAAUGAUUGGCUUCAAGGUCUUUAGCAAGAUUAGAGAGUUUGGAUACCUGGUGUUAACCGAGCGACCCUUUUUGCGGGAAUGAUACACCCAAAGAAGUGAAAGCAUCAACGCAUUUUUUUGAUUCUUUUGUAAUUUCAACACUUCAUUAAAGAGUUUGCCAAGUAUGGAAAGGCAGUGUAAGUUAUGAAAAAAAAGAAUGAAGAUUUUAUUCAAGGCACAAAUCAACGCAUGUUAAGAAUUGGGUCCAAAAUAGAGGCUAAAGAUGCAGCAUCAAUUUACACAAGAAUAUUUUUAACAUUUUUCAAAUGAGUUUGUUAAAGACUUUCACUUACAAGGGAAAAGGUUGAAAAGAAUGGCUCGUGAUUUGUCAAUACAAAGUGUUGAGUUUGCUUUAUCUCAGGAUAUUGUUGUUGUUUGUCGUAGAAUUAGACUACAAAGCUGGUAGUUGUGGAAUGUCAUCAUCUUUGAAUUUAUGGGUAUUUGUGCAGGCAAAUUUAGCAGGUUUUUCAUUUGAAGAAUAAUUUUUGAAUUUCCUUAGCGUUACGUUUGUACACGUGGACAAAGGAAGCAAUAUAGAGUAUUGAUGUAUGGACAUAGAAUCGGUGUCGAAAAUUGAUCCUCAUUUCGUGCUAGCAUUACGAGAACUGAAUAUAUGUCGUUAUUGGAACAAUUUGUCUUGUAUUGGCUGAGAAAUCGAUGAGAAUUUUAUAGAAGUUAUCAAUUGCCGAUUGAGUCAACUUUGCACGAAGGUUUUGUAUGAUGGAGAAUCAAUUUUGUAUGUAAUGAAAUUGAUUGACACAAGCAAAAUGAUAAGAUCAACAUGUGCACCAAACAGAGAAAUGAAGUCAAUAUAAGUGAUGACAGUGUAUCGCAAACAAAGUCGUAAAAAAGUUACCGAGAAGGAGUCACAACAGUGGGAGCAUAAAAGUGGUCUUGGAUCUCGUGUGGCUCGUGUAGCAGCAAAAAGAAGAUCGAUGUCAGUUGUGCGGGGAUAUGUCAUAAUAAGCGUAGUUUAAGGAGAAAGAAGAUCAUUCAAAUGUGUAAAUCAUCUGUAGUUGAAAAUUAUAACGUUCAUGUGGAUAUUUGUAUAUUCUAUAUUUUGUGUAAAGUAUUUACUACAAAUAUCUUUUUUUUAUUUGAAAUUGGAUGUUAACUUAGUGAUUUGUGUUAACUAACUAAAUGUUUUCUCAAUUUUCAAUCUUUUAAAUAUUCUUUCAGGUACACACUUUUGUACUUACUAUAAGCAGGUUAAAUAGGAGCAAAGAUGCUUUGCACAGUGAUUAGAAGGCAAGUGACAUAUCAUUUAAAUAUACAUUUUCACUUUUAUUUAGAUUGCAAGUUGCUGACUUGUUUUUUUAUAUUUGAUCUUUGCAGGUGUUUUUGUGUUUGUUUUGUUAAAUUAUAAUUCCAUAGAAUAUUGUUAGCUAUGAUAUUUUUUGACUCAUGAAUGUAAACGUUUAAGAUUGUCGAUGAUUUUCAGGUUUUGUUAAUUAACUCAAUUUAAUAUAUAGGUUGAAAUACAAUCUGAAAGGUGAUAUUUUUUUCUAUUUAGAAUGGUUUGAAAUAGUUAAAGUGAUGAAACUUAUGAAGUUGUUUCUUUUUGGUGGGGGGGUGUUUGAGCAUGAAAGUUUACAUAAUUUUUUUAUCCAAUACUCAUGUAUAAGUUUGUUACUCUAAUUAUUACAUUAAUUUGUAUCGGUGCACAAAAAAAUUCGUUGGUUUUAAAAGUGUCGAAACCUAUAUUGAAGUUUAACAGUAUAAACAUAUAUUAUAAAAGGGUUAUUGCUAUAAUUUGCCCUUAUAUUACUUAAUCUGUUAAUAAUUUCUAAAAUUUUAUUUAUUUUAAUGUUAAUGUGUUAUGAUAGUCAAUUAAAUUUGAUUUUUUUAUAAAAUUAAAUUUAGUGUAUUAAAAUCAAUUGCAACAAUCUAGUUAAUUUGAAUUAACUGAAUUUUACUAAAUUCAGUGUAUUAAAAUUCAGAUUCUUUAUCCUUCUAAUGUAUGUGUGCGGAGUAAGUGAAAGGUAGUUAGAGCUGCAAAGUUCAGCCAAGAAGGAGAAAAAAAAUCAUGAAUGCAUGCACCAAAAGAAUAUUAGGAAGAGAGAGAGAAGGCGAGAGGGAGGCUUAGAGUGGAGGAAGAUUCGAAAGAGAGAGACAUGGGGAAUACCACCCCGGGGGGAGUCUGUGAUGAUGGUAUUGUGUAGUGCAGUAAUCGAAGUCAUGGAUUAAAAGUGAUGUGAGAGAAUAAUUUGCACAAUAUUUAUUCAAUUCAAGGACCAGUUAAAAAGUUUGCCAUUGCUGGAUAUUGGAUUAUAUUUUAGAUCUACGGGCCAAAAGACCUACGAAGCGCCUGUGUAAAUUGUUCACCAAUCACAUAUGUCAUUUGAUUGACUUGUAUAUAUGAGUUAUAGCUAAUACUAUUAUAGUUAGGAGAGGAGAGAUCCGAAGUAGUUGGAGAGAGACAUGAAUAGGCCGGACGUGCGCAGAGAGAUGGGAGAGAGGAGGCGUGGCGGCGGGGUGAAGGUGCGCCGUUGCGGGGCGUAGCGGAGCCCAACCCGGUGCGGCACGCGGGAGAGGAAGGCGACUGAGGUACUGUGACUUUCGGGCCGAAAUGAUGGAGUGAGGCGAUGGGACAGGGGCGUCGUCCAAACGGAACAUAAGGCAGAUGCAGGGGACUAUACGACUGCGAGAGAGAGGAGAGAGGUCGGUCAAUUACUAUCGAUAGUACCAAAGCCCUGUAUAUUGAGGUUUUCUAGCAUUUAGUUACCUGGAAUAUUUCCACCAUUAAGUUAUAUAUUUAACAACAUCACUCACCUAGGGGAUCAAUAUCAGUAACCGUGGACACUAUCAUCUAAUCGCACUUAAUCAAUCAAGGCGCAAAACUCAAUAGACAAGGACUUGGUAACUAUUGAUAGUGUAUCAGUUAAGCAUAAUUAUUAUAUUAUAUAAUAAUGUUAUAUAUAUAUAUAUAAUAGUAUAGUAGCUCUACUCUAUAUGAGUCCGGCUACUAUACUAUUAUGAGUACGAUCGCCCUCGUACUCAUAAGUUGUUUUCGAUGAUAGAGCUUCCGAAUCGACGAUCCACACCACUAAAUAUUAUCUAGAGUAUUUAAAACUUCUAGAAAUCAAAUUUCAUAAUUUUUCAACAUCAUUUACCUUACGAUCAAAAGCUUACAAAAUUGACAAUUUUUAACAGCCGGUAUGAGAUACUUGCUAGUUUAACGGUGUAAAAGAAUCAAAAUAGGUUGUAUUUUUGAUAGAAAAUUCUAUUCACUACCUAGAUAAAGAUCAAUAACUCCAAUCUUAAAUUAAAGAAUCUGAUCAUUCAUUUUUAGGACGUCGUUCGAUUUUGACCGUUCAUUUUAUGCUCGUUUGAUCGACUUUAUUAUGAUUUCGAAAAAUUACGAAAUUUAAUUUUUAGGGGUUUCAAAUACUCUAGAUCAUAUUUAACGGAGUGGAUCGUCGAUUCGGAAGCCCCAUCAUCGAAAACAACUUAUGAGUAUGAAUGACGCAAUACUCAUAACAGUAUAGUAGCUCUACUCUCUCUCUCUAUAUAUAUAUAUAUAAAGAGAAAGAGAGAGAGAGAGAGAGAGAGAGAGUGGGCUGGUAUGCUUCUGGAAGCGCGGAGCCCUCCGUGCUUCCAAGUUGUUUUUGAUGUUCAGACUUUCAAAUCGACGAUCGACUCCGUCAGAGUUGAUCUAGAGUAUUUGAAGUACCUAGAAAAUAAAUUUUGUAAUUUUUUGAUAUCAUUUGCCUAGUGAUCGAAGGGGCUCAAAAUCAAUAAUUUUAAUGGCCGUGGUGAGCCGUUUGCAAGUUUAACGGUCUAGAAAUAUCCAAAUUACAUGAAAUUUUGAUAGAAAAUUCUUUAUACCAUAUAAAACAAGAUCAAUAACUUUGAUCUAAAAUUUUAAUGUCAUAUCAUCAUAUUUUGUAAGAUUUUUAUUUUCAGCCGUUGAUUUUGAAUCACUUCGAUCACUAGGCAAAUGAUAUCGAAAAAUCGCAAAAUUUAUUUUCUAGAUAUUUCAAAUACUCUAGAUCAAGUUUAAUGGAGCCGAUCGUCGAUUCAAAAGUCCGAACAUUAAAAACAACUUGGAAGCACAGAACGCUCCGUGCUUUUAGAAGCAUAUCAGACGCACUAUAUAUAUAUAUAUAUAUAUAUAUAUAUAUAUAUAUAUAUAUAUAGUCCGGCUAUGGUACUUGUACAAGUACCAAGCACUUUGUGCUUGUGAAUUUUUUAUCGUUAGAUCUACGCCUUUGAUCAUUUUCACCUGUUAGAUUAUACUAUUCAACUAACCACCCACUCAAUUCAAGAGGGUCUACAUCAUCCUAACCGCACAUUUAUUAAUCCAAGGGCUAAAAACUUAUAAGCACAAAUGACUUGGUACUUUUAAAAGCAUAGGAGCUCAAUUCUAUAUAUAUAUAUAUAUAUACUUUUUCUUUUGAUGUUCUUCCUCCUUGCAUAUAAGAAUCUAUUGUCUAUUAUAUACAUCUUUCCAUUGCAUUGAGGGCGCAUUCGUCCCCACCAUCCUGUGAAUAUAAUUAAGAAUUUUGUUUUUUUUUUUUUCGGAUUUUAACAUUUUGUUCAUUCCGUACGUAAUUUUAUCAGUAAUGUAAAUUACCAAUACCGCAUAAUUAAUAUAAAAAUAUUAUAGAAUUUUAUUCUAAAAUUUUUAGGGUUAAAGUUCUGUACUUAUCAUAGCUUUUGGUUGGAAAAUUAGGGGGAUAAGGGGUUAUCCACCGUUAUCUCCAAAGGAGAUUAUUUGAGGGUGGGGAUUGCUAACCCACCUCUGGAAUAGGAGCGGAAAUAGUUGUUCUCACUCUUAUUUAAUUUUAAAAAAAAUUUAAAUUUAAAUUUAAAUUUUAAAGUUUAUAAUUUUAAAAUUUUAAAUUUUAAAUUGAUAUUUUAAUUUUUUAAAUUAAAAUUUUGAUAUUUUAGAUUUUUAAAUUUAGAUUUAAUCUUAAAUUUAAAAUUUAAAAUUCAAAGCUUUGAAUUUUUGAAUUUGAGAUUUAAAAAAUUAAAUUUAAAUUUUAAAUUUAUAAAAAUUAAAAGUUAUAUAUUUAAAUUUUAAAUUUUAAAUUUAAAUAUAAUAUAUGAGACAAUAUCAUUAUUUUCUAUUUAUAACUACCUACUAUUCUUCUUAUUCUAAUCUUAUCUAUUUUUUUUUAUAUUCGGCAACAACACAAUUUUUAUUCAAAUAUAAAAUUGAUUUAUUCUAUGCUUAUAUCUGAACUUAUAUCUAUUCCUGAAAUAGAUAAUUCUUUGUUUAUAUCCAAGCCUACCGAAGUCUAAAAGUGUGAAUAGGACAUUCAAACAUGAUAUUGUAAACAAUUGGCACAAAAUGCUAAAAUAUUCUAUUUCUUUCCAAUACUAUUGUUUUUACAGCACUCCUAAACACGGUCUUAUUAUUGUAAUUUGUGUACUAAAAAGGAUCACGACUUCUUGUUGGUUGAUAUCAUUCUCUUUUGGGUUUUUAAGCUAAGGUAGCGUUUGGUUCGGGAACAAGAUUGAGAAUAAGUCCUUGUUUCCUUUUUUGUUCCCAAACAGUGCGUUAGAUACUCGAGAACAGUAAUUUUCGAAUUUUUGAAAUAAAUCGGUAUAAGGCUAGAACUGUUGUUCUAUCUUUUUCCUGAAACAAGCUUGUUCCCAGGUGAGAAUAAGAUUAAUUAAAGUCUAAAAAUAAUUUUAAUUAUGAUAUUAAAUAAUUAAUUAAUUUAAUUAAUAUAUUUAAAACAUUAUUUAUUGCUUAAAUAAUAAACAAUAAAAUAAUUUAUUUAUUAAUUUAUAAUUAACUAAUUUAUUAAUUUAUAAUUUAUAAUUAGUAAUAAUUUAUUAUUUAUAAUUUAUUAUUUAAUAAUUUUUAAUUUAUAAUUAUUUACAAUUUAUUAUUUAUUUUAUAAUUAUUAGUUUAUUAGUUUAUUAUUAUAAUUAAUUUAUUAUUUAUAAUUAUUAUUAGUUUAUUAUUUACACUAUAUUAUCUAAUUAAUUUAUUAUUAAUAAAUUAUUAUUAAUUAAUAAUUUAUUAUUUAUAAUUAUUUAUUAUUAAUUAAAUAAUUAAUUAUUAAUUAAUUUAUAAUUUAAAAAUAUUAAUAAUUUUUAAUUUAUAAUUUAUUAUCUAAUUAAUUUCUUAUUAAUUAAUUUAUAAUUUAUAUAAUUUAUAAUUAUUUAUUAUUUAAUUAAUUUAUUAUUUAUAAUUAUUAAUAUUAAUUUAUUUUUUACGUAAUAUUUUGAUGUUAAUUAAUUAGAUAAAAUAAUUUUAAUUUAAAAUUAUAACUCUUAUUCGCUUUGUGCCAAUCUAACCAUCCAAACACUAUUUAUCUUAUUUAUACAAACAACCCAAGUUUAAUCUAAACAUAAAAUUGGUCUAGUUUCUACUUAUACCUGAGCUUGUAUCUAUCCCUGGAAUAAACAGUUCUUAUUUAUACCCGAACGAAACGCAGCCUAAGAGUUUAAAACUCGCUAUAUACAGGAAAAAAAAUUAAAAUAUGUGUUGGUGUGCUUCACACAACAAAGAAAACAAAAAUAUUCAUUCUUUUUUUAGGGUGCGUUUGGUUCGAGUUAUCCUGACAGGAUUACAGGCAAUCCUGCCAGGAUAACUGUAUUUGGUCAAUCCGCUAUGUAAUUUAGUCGUUAAUGUAGCAUUACAAAUUGAGCAGGAUUACAUUAAAAAUAUUAACGAGAGGGGGUCGUGUAUCUUGCAUUACUAAAACCCGUUAAUACUACAUAUUAUGUAAAGUGAAAAUUUUACCCUCCAACAAUCUCAAAUCUAAUUAACAGCAUUAUUUUCAUCUCUCUCUCGCCUUCCCCCGGCCCUCUCUCUUGCACGCCUCUUUCUCUCGCUCUCUCUCGACGUCUCUCUCUCUCUCUCUCUCUCUCUCUCUCUCGCACGAACACUUAUCAUCUUCUAUUGCGUCGUCCUCCCAAGUAAUCAUCAUGAUCUCCUUCCCUUCAUUCGUCAUUUUCGCAAAAAAUAAUAUUCAAAUGACCACAACAAAGGUAAUUUUUAAAAAAACUAUACUUUUAUGUCAGGAUUACUAAAUUUUAUAAACUGAACGAAACAUAUUAAUGCUAUAAACAUUGUAAUCUAGUAUUACAUUACUGUAUUAAACCAAACGCACUAAUGCAGCAUCAGUAAUAAUCUCACGCCGAAAUCCAAAAUAUCUGGAUAUGUCGAGAUACUCUGUAAUAUUACAUAACUCGAACCAAAUGGGCCCUUAUAGUAAUUUGUAUAGUAAAAGCAACAAUCGCUGCUCAGGCCGAGUUGAUUACCGCCCUUCUUCUAGAGUGUUAAAUUCAGAGUUUGAAUUCUGCCAUAUACGAAAAACAACAUGAGCGCAACUAAUUAAUAACAACAUCAGCGCAACUAAUUAAUAUCUUAACAUAAAAAAGGUAAAUUAACAAAACUAUUCCUCCCUUCCUCAAAAUAAGCUGCCUAGAGGGAUGUGCUAAUGUGGCUUUAUUGUUAUCUUAACAAAAAUAAAAAAAAUGCAAAUAGACAAAAAAAUAAUAGUUUUUUUUUUUUUUUUUUUUUUUUUUNAGACAGGAGAAACCGAGAGAGGGGGCGAUGUGCAAAAGGAUCCCGGCCGUUAUAAUGCUGAUGAUGAUGAUGCAGUCGAAGUUAACAGCAACGUCUCUGAGGCUUUGAGCUCGCCGGUGGGUCGCGGUAUUCUCUCUCUCUCUCUGACACAGCCGAGGUUUUCGAUUCACACCCCUUCCUUAUUCUCUCACUUGUGGACCCCACCGCCAAAAUGAACGGCGGUGAUCGUCUCCUCCCAUCUCCGCCGCCUCUCUCCUCCCCUCUAUAAAUACCUCCCCUCAUUCCCCCCGCCUCAUUCUCCGAUCCCCCUCUCUCUCUCUCUCUCUCUCUCUCUCUCUUCGGCGUGGUCGGAAGCGGGAGGAGGGGUUUGGGUUCGCGGAGAGAGGGGGGAGGGGCGGGGGAACCCUAACCCUAGUGGAGUUGCGUGCGACGGAAUUUUAGGGUUUCGGCGCGCGCGUUUGGGUCGGGAUUGGGAGCUCGGAGGCGUGAGCGAAGAUGAGUAGCCUCGUGGAGCGGCUCCGGGUGAGAUCGGAGAAUAAGCCGCGGUACAAUAUAGAUGAUUCGGACGACGAUCUCUUCGUUCCCCUCGCGACGUCGAAGAGGAAGCAGGAAGAGAAGCCCCCCGAGAAGAUCGUGAGGGAUGAUGCGGUAUGAUGUUCUUUCGCGGCUUUUCUUGUUGUUUUCAUGCUAAGUAGGUUUCGUUGCUUUGGUUCUCGAUUGGUAUUUUUCACAUGUCGGUAGCGGGAAAUUGCGAAAUUAGGAUGAACAUGUGCUUUCUUCUUCGUGGGAUUGUAAUUAAGUGUGUGGAAUUUGAGCCAUUUUCUUCUUUUGUGUCUAAAUGUUGUAAGAAAUAUGUGAAUUAAUUGCAAGAAACCUAAGAAUUUGAACAAAUCGGUUCUUUCUUGCUGUUUUUAAUGCAAAUUGGGUUAUUGCUUUGGUUCUUGAUGGUUCUUUAAAGUUGUGGGAAUUGAGAGGGUAAGUUCACCAUCAAUCUUGCCACUUCUUGGGACUAUUUUAGUGUGUAGGUUUGAACCAUUUUCAGUUUCGGUAGUGUCAGAAAAAUGUGAAUUAAUUGCAAGAAAACUUCAAAUUCCAGCUGCAUCAUAGAACAUUUUAUGUAGGAUCGUUCAAAAUGUUAGAUUACAGUACUUGCCAUUUUUCCUGAUUUUGAAUUAGAUGUCUACAAAGAAUGUAGUCCCAACUAAUUAAUGGAAAAGAUGAUAGAGCAUUUCUCGUUGGCAACUUUAAGCGUUUUGGGUGUCGUUAUAUAAGAUUGUUUAGGUACAUAAACUAUAUGACAUUUAACUUUUGAAUUGUUAACCUAAAGUUUUGGUGCUUCGUUAAAAGAUAAUUACUUCGGCCAGCAGGAAGCAACUUUGACAUUCUCUCUGUUGGAAAGUUUGGAAGGUCACCAAAAACCACCAAUGCAAGUGGGCAUUCUGAAUGGCCUACCAUAAAAAAAAAAGUGGAGAGAAAACCUAAAAUUUAUGAUAUUCCUUAUUUGAAAAAAAUGUCUUAAGAAUGUGCCAUGUGCCAAACUUCUGAUGUUAAUGAAUACGAGGGAAACUGGAGCUGGUCUAUUCUUAUUAAUUUUGUAACAUUUUAGAUGAUUUCCCUAAUCACGAGUAAUCUUUAAGAACUGUUUCUUUGCGCAAUAUAUACAUUAAAUGAUAAAUGUUCUUCAAUUUUCUUGAAGACUCGUAGUCUCGAAAUAGUGCUUCCUAUACAUUUGAUUUGUUAUUAUGAUUGUCCAUUUUAAGUUUAAACAUUCGUAUUUUAGGCUAAAUUGUUUUCUGAGUACAAACCCAAAAAAAUGUCAAAUCAUAUGAGACGAGCUUAAAGAUGCUGAGUUAUAGCCCCAUUUUUGAAGCAGAGGCGAUAUCAACAGUAAGGCUGACUGGUUUUUUUUAUUACAACUCAAAGAUAGGAGGGAUAGUCAGUUGCUGGCUAGUUUUUUGAGUAAAACUCAAAGUUAGGAGGGAUAAUCAAUUGAGAGUCUUACACUCUUACUGUAAUGGCUUGACUUUGAUUUUCUUUAUUCGACCUGCAAAAUCAGUCAAUGGGUUUACAGAAUAUUAUAUUUCUGUUUGUAAGAUUUGUUGUUUGGCUUUAAUGGAUUUUCUUCUUUAACAUUUGAAACCUUGGCGUUUUUGUGUGUUUAAAUUGUCAGUUCAAGCUCUUAUAUUUGAUUUUUAGUUUAUUGCUCGUUGUUACUCUUUUUUUUAGCCCCUUUUUGAAAGUUCUGCCUGACUGGUCUUUGGAACUAAUGGCUGAGAGAAAUGGGCCUAUUUUCAUCAGAACUUCCAUUGAAAUAUAUAUGUUGGCUUGACUGGAUGUUAAGAAACCUGCCUAAGGAUGGAUUCAUCAUAAAUCAAAGUUCUGAUCUUCUGUCUUACGCCUGUUUCAUUUCAUGUUUUCUAUCUUUUCGCUUCAGAAAUGUGAAAAUAAAUUUAAUAGAAACUUACUCAGUUCUGAUGGCUGGCGGUUAGCUUUGAGAUGUCUUGGAAGUUGAAAUUGUUUAGAGUAAAAUGGUGGUUCUUGUUGUUAACAUUUCUUGCAUAUUGUUUAUUUUUCUGAAUUUGAGCUUUCGUUAUUUGCAGAAAGAAGAUGCAUGCCAACUCUGUGGAGAAAAAAAUGACAAUCUAAUUUCCUGUGGAACAUGUACAUAUGUUUUCCACCGGAAAUGCUUGGUUCCGCGUUUGAAAAUAACACCUGAUGACAAAUGGAGCUGCCCUGAAUGUGUAUGUUUUUGCAAAACUCGUCUCCUUCACAGAUUUUUAGAUCGCUGUAGUUAAUAUUUGUAAUAUUGAAUGUGUGAAAUUUUCAGGUGAGCCCGCUGACUGAAGUUGAGAAGAUAUUAGAUUGUGAAAUGCGCCCUGUUGUAAAGGAUGGGAUUGAUUCUUCACAGCCUGGUUCAAAACAAGCUUAUGUGAAGCAAUAUCUUGUGAAGUGGAAAGGACUUUCAUACCUUCACUGCACAUGGUAGCUCUCGAGCUAACCAUUUAUUUCCUACUUAUUUUCUGUAACUCAAAGUUUCUGCUUUAAUCUAAAUAACAUGCAAGCGGCCUUUGUAAAAUUCGUAUGUUCUAUCUUUCUAUUUGGCAUGCUCACAUUUGUUGCCACUCAUUUUUUUAGGGUUACAGAGAACGAGUUCUUGAAAGCUUCCAAGGCUCAUCCACGAUUAAAGACUAGAUUAAACAAUUUCCAUAGGCAAAUGGAUUCCAUGGAUAAGUCAGACGAUGACUGGGUUGCAAUUCGACCUGAAUGGACUACCGUUGACAGAAUUAUCGCUAGCAGGUCUAGAAAUUUAAUAUUCACCAUGUUUAUAAUUGUCCACAUACUUUUGUAGACAAUUUUUUUGUUGUUGAACUGCUAUGUAUACUGAAACAGUUUUGUCACAUUCAAUUUAACACUGACUAGCAGGUAUUUCGUAGAAAUUUGUAAAAAUUAAAGAUCAUCUUGUAAAUAGAACAUCAUUUGGCUUCUAUCAUGUUCAAUUUAGACGUAUAAUAAGCAAUUAGAAUACACUGGUGCCAAAAAAAAUAAAUGUUUCAUGCUAUAGUGUGUUGGCGGCUCGGCACAUAGGUAGUUUUGUAAACGGCAAGCUUCGGCAUGCCACGGCACACUCCGUGCUGUAUUGUUCCGGCAAAUGCUCCGUGCAACCCAGUGCCCAGGCACUUAAAUCCUUGUGCAUAUGCGACGCCUGUAUGACUCUAGCGAUGCCUGUAUGAACCCCAUCUAUUUACUCCCUUAAUUAAUGAUUUGUAGCAUAACGGACAUCAACAUAAAAAAUAAAUUAUCCUGGUUAUAUCAUACAUAAAUAGUAAUCUGGUGUAGAAGUUCCUUUUCAUGUUGUCACUUCUUUUCUUUUCUUCCUUUUUCUUUCUUCACUUUAAGUGCAUUGUCUUUAAUUCCAGCUAAAAGAAAGAACCUUUUCAAGUGGCAAUAUUAGAUCGUACUUUGAAUCAUAAUUCGAUGUCUGACAAUUUAACCUUCAUCGGGCCUUCACUGAUGCUAGAUGGCUGGAUUUCUUUGUUUCAAAGGCAUAAUUAUGCAAUACUGUGUCUUAUGUUGUUUCUGAGUAUGACGAAGAGUUUCCAACAGAAAAGCUGGUGAUGAGCGUGAGUACCUUGUGAAAUGGAAAGAGCUUCCGUAUGAUGAAUGUACCUGGGAAGUUGAGUCAGACAUAUCUGCCUUUCAAUCUCAGAUUGAAAGAUUCAACAUGAUUCAGUCGAGACGUCAUAAAAAACCUCCUAUUAAGAGUAAGAAUGGUAAUCGUGAUACACUUUCCUAUGAGCAGAGCCCUGAAUUUCUCUCUGGCGGUAUGUUUAUUUCCUGAUAUGAUUUUUCUCACUUUCCUCUUCCAAUUAUGUAUAGGUAUUGUAACACAAAUGCUUAUUUUGCCUUUUUGAUUAUUGAAGGGUCAUUACAUCCCUAUCAGCUUGAAGGAUUGAAGUUUUUGCGCUAUUCAUGGCUAAAAGAUAAUCGGGUUAUCCUUGCAGAUGAGAUGGGUCUAGGUAAGGAUAUCUAUUCUUCAACCAAAAUUUCUUUUUAUUUGUCAUCAUUUUUGGAGGUUUCUAACUUAGAGGCGUACUGAUAUUUUUUCGCAGGAAAAACAAUACAAAGUAUUGCUUUUCUGGCUUCUCUGUUUGAAGAGAAUGUAACUCCUCAUUUGGUAGUGGCCCCUUUAUCAACGCUGCGCAACUGGGAGCGUGAGUUUGCAACAUGGGCACCUCAGAUGAAUGUUGUGCGUGUUUAAGUUCCAACUUUUUAAUGAAAAGAAUCUUUCAUCCGAAGUCUUAAGAAAAUAUUCUCAGUUUGAAUUUUUCAUGUGAAAUCUUAAUCCCUUUUUUUUUUGUGUGUGGUAGGUAAUGUAUUUUGGAACUGCCCAGGCUCGUGAGGCCAUUAGAAAAUAUGAAUUUUACUUCCCCAAAGAAAAAUCUCAUAAAUUUAAAAAAAAGAAAACUGUUCAAGGAAGCAGUCAGAAGAAACAAUCGAGAAUAAAGUUUGAUGUUCUUUUAACUUCAUAUGAGAUGAUUAACAUGGACUCGGCAGUUUUGAAGCCUAUUCGGUGGGAAUGCCUGGUAUUUUCUUCUAUCUUACUAGUUAAUUAUCAUUGAAAUUCUUCCACUCAUUUUAGUUGUCUUUACUGACAUUACUGUGUGAACACAGAUUGUCGAUGAGGGUCACAGGCUGAAAAAUAAAGAUUCUAAAUUAUUUAGUCAAUUGAGAGAUUAUUCUACUAACCACCGUGUGCUUUUAACUGGAACGCCUCUACAGGUUUAUAACUGUUCUCGCCUCGUUUCUUGGAUAUUUACCUAAUUUUUUUAAUCUUUGUUCUCUAGCGUUUGCUAUUUUGCGAAGAAACAUAUAUGAUUAAAGUUGAUUGAUUAAUGCACUGUAUUUCUUGAAGAUUUUUAGUUGCUUUAGCUUCCUACAGUGAUGUUCCUAAUCUAUAAAUAUGGAACGGAUACAAAUUGAAAUAUUCACAGAUACUAUUGAUAUCUUCUGAUUACUGAGAUUGAUGUUCUGGGCAUGUAGAAUCGGUUUUUCACAGAUAUCGUUCAGUCAAUAAAAAUUGUAUCUAUUAUUUUGCUGUUAACUUUAACAUACUACAGGACAGUGCUCUUUGUGGCAUUAGUCUAUUACUUUUUCUUUUUUUUUUAUAAAACCCGGGUAUUCUCUUGUUAAGGGUUCUUUUUGUAGGUCAUUACCUGAAACAUUGUCAUCAUGAGCAACUUAUUGUCUGAAAAAAUGUACAUUUUCACAAUUGAAGUUGCUUCAUAUACACAAUCGAGUGUUGUUCCGCUCUUAUUAAGAGCAUGUACUUUAUGAGAGUGAAUUCAAAUUGAAUACUAGCUCUUGCAUGAAAUGGAUAAAACUUUAAACUGCUGAGAACAAGCCAAUAGGUAAGUAUUCUUAGCCAUAUCAGUUAUCCCACCUUACAAGUCUAGCAAGGGUAUCUUAUGCCUACAUUACCUCUUAAUUACUAGUUCUGUAGACUGAUGUAACUUUUGAUUCCUCUGCCUUCAAUAGAGCCUCCUUAGUAUGAUUGCUGUGAUGAUGACUAGAACAUUAAACUUCAAGCAAGUUUUGGGUGCAAUUGGCAACCGUCUCUUUUCUUACCCUUUGCUUAUAUUGUAACUUGUUAGAGUACUGAAGCCGGAGCAAAAAAGAAAAAAGUCUACCGACAUUUAGUUUACUUUUGCUUUCAUCCAAUGCUGUUUUGUUUCCAAAAAGUUGGAACUUUCUGAGGGCAAAAAGGAGCCUGAUAUCAUUUGUUUACACAGCAUACUUGGUUGUCAUAGGAAAAUUGAAUUUGCAACAAAAUUGAACGCUUAUUAAAAAAUAACCUAGAAUUGAAUUACAGAAAAAACCAUAACUUCUGGGCAAAACUCGAGCCACAACCCUGACAAAGGUGAUGUCAAAUGCACUUCUCAUUUUGCGUCUUAAAUACCACUAAAUACUCUCUAGAUUUGGGCUAAUUAAACUUUUCAACUAGAAUUGUGCAUUGCACUUUACCCUUUGCAAUUAACAUUUCAAAGACUUUGCAUAAGAUGAUGGAGGGUGACGCUUUAUUAACUCUCUGGUAUCAGUACUCCUUCCUAAUAAUGUGUCGUCUGUUGGAAGCCAGAGUGCUUUGUAAUGACAGCUUGUUUUGUAAGCUUCCCUUUUGUUGCCAUCCUUCUAAAGAUUGAUAAUUCCUUACAGAUAAUGUUCAUUCUAAUAUAAAGGUUAUGAUGAAUAUGCUUUUAAUUUUGCAGAACAACCUGGAUGAGCUAUUCAUGCUUAUGCACUUCCUUGAUGAUAAGAGUGUAAGUUAUGCAGCUCAUGAUAACUUUCUCAUCUUAUGUUUAUUGGUGCACCAUGGAUGGCAUCGUAUAGUGGGAUAACAACCUCAAUUUGCAUGCACAAAGUUCCUUUUUCUUCCUGUUGUAGUUAUAAAAGUGCAAGGUUAGCGUUAAUCUUUAAUCUUUUGUUUUCAACAUGCUUCAGUGACAGACUAUCAUCCAAAGGUUCUGUUUCUUGAAUUUCAUGGAUGAGUUAUAUGUUCUAUUAACUUUCUGAGCUUUUUCAUAUUACCUAGUUAUAUUAACAGGUUAUUAGCAGGAUUGGUAGGUUUCCAGAGGCAAAGAGCUUUAUAAAUCUAAUUGGUGGCAUCCCCACAGGAUGUCAUUAUUUUUUAAAAUAUUCAAAUUGAAGAUAACAUUGCAAGUGAAAUCACUUAUUUAAGUUGCUUGUUUGAGAUAUGUUGUAAUCAAGCUUUAAUUAGUGCAAACAAUUAUCUGAUAUUGCAGUUUUGAUAGAUUUAGCAGCUUAUCAACAUCAUAUUUGUUUUUCUUAUGUGUGGUUCUUCUUUUCUAGUUUGGGAGCAUAGAGCACCUUAAGCAGGAAUUCACGGAUAUAAAUCAAGAUAAGCAAAUUGAAAAGCUUCAUGAUAUGCUUAUGCCACACCUUCUUCGAAGUAUGCUCCUUUAUUUUCUUAAUUUAAAAUGAUGCUCGUAUUCAUUCUAGUAUUCCAUUGGUGUUACCAAGUCUAUAAGUAAGCUCCACGUUUUGUGUUAUAAAUUCAAAGAUAGUUUUUAUUGCGCAUUUCAAUAUUUUUUAAUGAUGGCUUAUCAUUUAGAUAACGGCUCAAGGAGACAUGGACUACUAUUAGGUGAACGCAAGUCUGUGCUAUAUUAUUGAUUCAUUAAUAUAUGUGGUGAUUAUAUUUGAGGUAUAAACUAAUAGCACUGUCUGAUAUUUAACUAUUUUUGAAUUCAAAUGGGUUGGCAUCCGUGAAGCAGUCAAUUGACACAUACUUCUGACGGUAGCAUACUGAAAGGCAUAAAUUGAACUACUAACAUAGGGUUCAGGCUAUGGUUACAUUUGGCAUCAUAAAUCAAGUACUUUAGAUGUUGGAAGGCUAUUUUUUGUAGAUCAGAAACAUUUUGCACAAUGCAAUACAUGAUGCUUUUAUCUAAUCUAAAUAAACAAAUCAUGCUAAUGCAUGAUCCUUUUAUCUAAUCUAAAUAAGCUAAUCAUGCCCAUUCAAACAUUCAUAGAUUCAUCCAUCUCGGGUUCUUAGAUUUUUAAGACUCUAGUGAGAAAUUAUAGGAGAAAAGGCAAGGAUAUGAGAUUUAUCAGAUAAAGAGAGAUGGGUAGAACAAGGAUGGACUUGAAACAAUGGAAUAGGGAGCAAGAAGGGAGCAAGAAUGUUACCAGCUUUUUGUGAUCUAUACAUUAUUUACUUUGGUCAUCAUGUCAUCAUUGAAUAUAUGCUAUGUACGAUGUACAAGGCAUUUAUGUUUGUCUGAAGGAUGAAUAUGUUAGACAUGCUAGAUUUAUUUAUCUAGACUCAGUUUAAAUACUCGUUGAGAGAGAGAGAGAGAGAGCUCUUCCUUUGAGGUUUCGUCGGAGAGAGAAGAUGGUCGCUUGUUGUUUUCCUUGAUUGGGAAGAGAGGGGGGUGAAAAAAAAUGUGGGAGAGAGGGAGCUUACUACUAGUGAGAGGAAGGUGGGAGAGAGAGGUGGAAGAAAAGGAGGUGGGAGAGAGGGAGUUUACUGUUGAGGAUGGGGAGGAGAGAGAAGCGGUAGGAGAGUGGAGUAAAAAAUAUAAUAAUAAAUAGAUUAGGAUGGGGGGAAAUAUAUGAAUUGUUUAGGUAUUGUGGAUUAUUUUGCUCAAUUUUUAAACGGGUGAAAUUGAUUGUGCAGGAAUUAGUUUUUGAGAAACAGCUUUGAGCUUCUUCUAAUUCUGGGGGACCUAAAAAUCAGAAUUCUGAUUUUGAAAAUUAGAAUUAGAUUUUACAACACCUGCUACCUGAAAGCUCUAUUAAACCAAAAAUCUCUUUUGGCCCCAAAAUCACUUUUCAAAAGCUAGGCCAAACACCCUCUGUAUGACAUUCUGUAAUGAAGACUUUAUGUCCAUACCUUUUCUUGAAUUACUGUGUUUUGCCUAUCCUUUUUUAUACUACCCAGAGAAGCCUAAGAGUUCAAGUCUAACUUUAUAAGAUACGGUCCACAGACUUUAUCUAGAAUGCCGAGUAAUAGGAAAGUUGACGAUUGAAUGAAUAGGUUGUUAGUGGAAAAAUGGUGAAUUAUUCAUUGAGAAAUGUUCUUCAUGAAUUAGUCAAUUCUGUUCCAUUUUUUGUUGUUUCUGUUUUCUUUGAGUGAGGCAUUUGGCUUUUCCCCUCAGCGACAAAGUGGCAAGUGAUUUAUCAUUUCUAAAUAAAACAAGUGAACUUUCACAGGAUUCAAGAAGGAUGUAAUAAAAGAUCUACCUCCGAAAAAGGAACUAAUUUUACGGGUGGAACUAAGCAGCAAGCAGAAAGAAUAUUACAAGGCUAUUCUUACUCGAAAUUACCAAAUACUAGCUCGUCGUGGUGGUGCUCAGGUAGGAUUUUGCUGUUAAAGCCAAACAUAUAUUUUCAUGCAAUUUGUGCAGGUAACAUCUAUACUUUCUUCUAUCUAGAUAUCCCUUAUCAAUGUUGUCAUGGAACUUCGCAAACUUUGUUGUCAUGCAUACAUGUUAGAAGGUGUUGAACCUGUUAAAGAGCCGGCCAAUGCUGAUGAAGGUUUAAGGUAUAUAUGCUUAUUGCCCUUUGCUUUAGCAGCUCAAAUUUGGCUUCUUUUCUCAUGUGGUGAUAUGAAAUGUGAUGCAUGCAUGAUAAAAGAACAAUUUAAAAGAAAUUAAGGAGCAGUUUCUACAUAUAGUUUUGCUGCCAUGAAACUUUAUCCUUGCACUAUUUGGAGGUCUUACCUAUCCUCUAGGUCUUACCUUUGAGGCUGGGUUGUUUGAUUGCUUAUAUUAGUACAAAUGUUUUGCAUGAUGUAGUUAACCUUGGGUUGUUCGAUUCUACAUCGCUUGCUCUUAUUAGACCAGAAUUAUCAGAUUAUGUAAAGGGAUGUGUGGGUAUGUGUGCUAUCUACUAUUAACUUGAGCAAUGCAAAGUGUUCUUUGAAACUAUCUUGGCGCCUUUAGCCUGCAAGACACCUCGCUGUCCAUGCUUGCAGCACUAAAACUUCUGCUUGCUCACUCUGAUGGUUCUAUAGGAGGUUGCGUUUGCCUAAAUGACUAUAUCAUAUCUCAAUGCACAAGUUCCAAUACUUUGAAAUACAUAAUGUAUCAAUUGCAUGUAACUUGUUUUCAUAGGCAUCUUCAAGAUGCCAUCUUUUUAAUCAGGAGACUAGAUUUCCAGUAGGUUUAAACUAUGUUAUGUUAUUUUCUAUUUUCUCCUCUUUUGAUUUUUCAGACAACUUCUAGAAACUUCUGGAAAAAUGCACCUGUUGGAUAAAAUGAUGGUAAAGCUAAAAGAGCAGGGACACAGAGUUCUAAUUUAUUCACAGUUUCAGCACAUGUUGGACUUACUUGAAGAUUACUUGAGUUACAAGGUAUAAGCCAGUAUCUUCUAUAUUAAUCUAUCUGACAAGCUAUUAGGCCCAAGUGACAUACUAAAUUUACAUAUGGUAUAAUUGUUUAAUGGAACCUAUAUACAAGAAAUGGAGCUAUGAGAGAAUUGAUGGCAAGAUUGGUGGCGCUGAAAGACAGAUACGCAUAGACCGAUUCAAUGCGAAGAACUCCACUAGGUUUUGCUUUCUUCUUUCUACCAGAGCUGGAGGACUGGGAAUUAAUCUGGCAACUGCUGAUACUGUUAUUAUCUAUGAUAGGUAAGAUCUAUCUGUUUUCCUGGUUUUAGAGAGCUUAAUUGUCCAUAUAGAAUGCUUUUAUUUGACUCUUGUUCGUAACCUAUUUUCUUGACAUCCAUGCUUUUCAGUGAUUGGAAUCCUCAUGCGGAUUUACAAGCAAUGGCUAGGGCUCAUCGGUUAGGGCAAACCAGCAAGGUUUGGAUUGGCACUUAUUGCAAUGGUUCUUAGUUAUGUCUGCUUACUAUUGGUGCUGUGUGAAAAUAUGUUUAACUUCUGCUGGCCUUUUGGCUAGUAAGAGUUAAGCUUUAAACUUUGAAGUCUCUUUAGAUUUGACAUUUUCUCUGCAGGUUAUGAUAUAUAGGCUUAUAACUCGAGGAACCAUUGAAGAACGGAUGAUGCAGUUGACUAAGAAGAAGAUGAUAUUAGAGCAUCUUGUCGUUGGCCGGCUUAAGGCGCAGGGAGUCAAUCAGGUAUUUUCUCCAAGCUCUUUGCUAGAUGGUCAAAAGUCAGUGUACAUAAUAAGCUUGUUGCUGCUUCUUUCAUGCACACUUAUUGAGGUUUUGAAUGGCAUUGCAAUUGCGAUGUAGAUUGAGGCCUUUAAGGGGUUUGACACUGUAGUUAAGAUCUAUGGAUGUCCUCAUAGUUGAAAUUAAUUCCUUGCUCUGUAGUGAGAAUUCGAUAGAUUUUGAAGUAAAGCAAAAGAAUGAAAUCUGUUUUUUUUAUAGUCUGAAAAUAUUUUCUUUGAAGCAGAUAUAAUUUUGUACACAUAUAAGGGGAGAAAUUUUGCCAAAUUAUCAUCUGCUUAGAAACUUGUUGACCAUUUUGUGAAUCGUUCUGGCAGAUCGUCAUUUUGGAAAAUUUAUCUUCUCUUGAUUUAUCUUGGUGCUGGAUACUAAGAUGUCACCUUUGUAGACCUUAUUUUUCCUGAAGUUUUGUAAACUAGUGCUUCUGUUUUGCAAGAUUAUAGAAUAGCACAUCAUUGUGGUGUCUUGCAUGGAAUUCAAUAAUCUUGAGUAUUGACGAACAACAUGCUAAUCAGCAUCUUACAUGUCAUAUCUCUAUGUUUAAACUUCUGAGGAAAUAGUGUAUUUGUUUAGAAGAAAAAGUUAUGAUGCAUGAAAAGACAGUUAUAAGGCUCAUUUUUCAUUUAUAGAUAUGCCUCGAGCCUACUUAUUUAUAAAAUGUGAACAGCAACAGUGCACUUAUCACUAUUUUUUGCUCAAGAUAAACAGUAAGAAAGCUUAAGAAAAAUUACGCAUAAUGCAUAAUCUCUUCUUGUUCUUUCUAAAUGUUCAUUUUUGUCUUGAAAAGCGAAUAAUAAUGGCAAAGAGGAUCUUUUCGUGCCUUCAUUAUGCUAUAGGAGGAGUUAGAUGAUAUCAUACGAUACGGAUCAAAGGAGUUAUUUGCUGAUGAGAAUGAUGAAGCUGGAAAAGCUCGCCAAAUUCAUUAUGAUGAUGCUGCAAUCGAUAGGUUCUAUUUCUUUUACUAAUGUUAUUGACAUCAGUCUGGAAACUGAUAUGGUACUUUUGGAUCUCUUUCUUAUGCAUUAUUAACUUUGUAGGUUACUUGAUCGUGACCAAAUAGAUGAUGAAGAGACUUUAGAUGAUGAAGAGGAGAGUGACUUUUUAAAAGGCUUCAAGGUAUUGUUUUAAUUUGUACGUUUAACUGUAGCUAUCCUUUGAGGCAGGUUGUUUUACAAAGGAAAAUAGGAAUCUUCUCAAUGGAUGAAAGUCAAAGUUUAAUAGUUGGGAAUGUUGCUUCUUGAGGAAUAUACAUGUAACGAUUAAGGAAUAAGUAUGUUGUUUAAGAUAUGAACAAUUCAUAUUCAUAUUAAUAUUCACUUUAUUUAAUAUAUGGCCAAGAAUAAUCAAAUUCAAUAGUCUUAUUGAUGGUAUUGGAAUUUUAUUUUAUUUUCUCCCCUGCUGGGCAAGAUGAUUUGAAAGCAACAUCCUCGGUUAUGUUGCCAUCUAAAAUCUAGAUGCCUCCGAGGUGAUUGUGUGUGUGUGUGUGUGUGUGUGUGUGUGUUUCUUUAAAGUAAAUAGGUUGAGCUUUGUUCGGCAACACUUCAUGGUUUUCUUAAGUUAUGCGAUUGAAUGUGCCAAUGGACACACUUGUCUGUUCUUGCUAUUGUUGGUUAGGUGGUAAACUCAUCUAAAAAAAGUGAAAAAAUUGUUAAUUAUUGUUUUUCAUUGGCACUGUAUAUAAUUGCGUACAGUCUGCCAUUUGCGAGCUUAUUCAGUUGUAUAGAAUUUUCAGAUUAAAAAAAAAGAAAAAAUAGCUGUAUCCAAACAAGGCAUAAGUUAGUGGUUUAUUUCAAGGAUUUCUGCUAUUGGUAGCUGCCGGUUGUGCCGCACCGUGCCAGUGAGGACCAGCUGAUGGUACAAGGGUGUACCAUGGCGCAACCCCAAGCCCUCUGUGCCGCAAUGUAUCUAUUACCUAGUGCCGCCACCAUUGUGCCUGCCAUGCUACUGUCCUCGUCAAGGAAUCACCAUUAUUUCUGACUGCUGCUCGUUGCAAUUGUCAUGAUGGUUUUAGAGUUUGAGUGGAGGUAGACUAAGAGAAACGGGUGUAGGUUAGCGGGCUUCCAGUUUACCGAAAUGCGCUCUGACGCGUUACUAGGGGGUUUUGAUAGACCAUGAGCUGGCUAAUCCACAUCUGGUUCUCUUAUACUCCCAUUUCUUUUACCUUAAUUUGGAACCACAUCACCUCUGUUCUCAUUUUCUCUCUCAUUUGAUUCUCCACUGUUCUCUUCUUCUUCUUUACCCAAUCCCUGUUGCCAUUUUCUUCCUCUCUACAGCUGUUGAAUGUUUUUGGCAUCGAUGAAACACCUCGACAGUCACAUAGUCAUGCUCUAGUGGCAGAAGCCAUCAUGCUGCUGCUGUGCCGGCACCGGCAUGAGGCAUGCCUGUGUGUUGUUCCGUGCUAGAGCUGAGCCAGCGCACCCCUUGCCAUCAGCAAGGAGAUCCUUGGUUCAUUUAGACCAUCAUCAGUUAUAUCUAAAAAGAAAAUGAGUAAUGUGCUGAGGAUUAGUAUUAUAAUAUAGAUUGGAGGAAUGGAUACAAGGUCUCUCUGAGACUGUAUUUAAGUAGUCAUUAUAACAUGAUACUUUUGCAUUAUUAGUUUUUUCCUUGAUUCGUUUUCUCUUUAGUACCCAUAUUGAAUAAUAAUAAUGCGUGAAGAGUGUUACAUAUUAUAGUAGCAGGACAAUAUUACAAUUGGAUUAUAUUUUGUUGUAAUUAUUUAUGAUUUGAGCAAAUGAGAUGUAUUAUUUUGCAGUUAGUAAGAAUUCGACUGAAGUCAUUAUGUGGUUCCUAGCUGUCUAAUUUCUCUCUGCCUAGGGGCAUCCAAGCUGCUCUGUUGUUUCACAUUGAGCUUUGUGUUGAAAACACCAUAAUGUUAUUAGUGGCUUAUUUCUUUAAAAUUGAUGCAAAUUAGCAGUUUAUUUCUUUAAAUAUGAUGCAUCAAUUGCUUAUCUUGACUUGUCCACUUAAUUUCCUUCUCACAUGUUUCAUAUUCAUGUUCUACUGUACUAUAUUUAUUCUGAUAAUAACCAUAAUUAUGUAAAAUUUUAGGUUGCGAACUUUGAGUAUAUAGAUGAAGCUGAAGCUGCUGCAGCAAGAGAGGAAGAGCUACGAAAACGUUCUAUGAAUGACAAAGCUUCUGGCUCUAAUGUCGACAGAGCAAACUAUUGGGAUGAAUUAUUGAAAGAUCGAUAUGGAGUACACCAAAUGGAAGAAUAUACUACUAUGGGAAAAGGAAAAAGAAGCCGCAAACAAGUAUUGCCUUGUGCUAACCCUUUUCUCUUAUCUUAUUAUAUUGAUAUUUGCUUAUUAUUAUUUUGUUAUGGUGUUAGUAUUUUCUUCUUGGUCUUCUACAACGAAUGCAUUCAAAUCCAUCUAGUUUUCUUUUUUCUUUUUUAUUAUUCUAUGGUAUCGCUUUUCUGUCUGCUCCAUUUUGUGACUUUCUUCAUUAGAAGUGCUACUUGUUUUCAAUUUUCAAGAUGGCCUAGCAAUGGAGAAUGCUGUAUACUUUUUCUUACAAAUGUGUGCAGCUGAUUGUAACAGUCUUUUAUUUUAUUCAGAUGACGGCUGCUGAUGAAGAUGAUCUUGCUGGCUUGCAAGAUGUAAGUUCUGAAGAUGAAGAUUACUGUUAUGAAGAUGACUUUUCAGAUGAGGACUCAAAUAUAGCUGGAAAUGGACCUGGGAAAAGGGGCCAAUUUUCAAAGAAGAAAGGACGCGGUAUGUUUUUAAAGCUAAUUGUAUUGUGUUUUUGUUUGGGUUGACUUGUAAUCUUUGUUACUCAGGAACUUCAAUGAUGCAUGUUUAUUAGGUUAUGUUGAGUCACCGCUGAUGGAAGGUGAGGGGCGGUCUUUUAGGGUUCUUGGUUUCAAUCAGAACCAAAGGGCUUUGUUCGUACAAAUACUGAUGAGGUGUGUAUUAAGUCUCAUGCUUAUUACAUGGCAUUUGGAAUUUUGGUUAAAUAUUUACUUCAUCAAAUCGACUCCAAAACUAGCCCUCCUUGUUCUCUAUAUUCUCUCUUCUUUUUCUUUAGUCGCAGUAUUAUGUCCAAAAUGAGAUUUAAGAUGAGCGAUUUUGGAACUAUGAUCAAUUUCUAUGCUAAUUUACGGUAAUUUAACAUAUGUAGCAUAAGGUAGAGCUGAUUGUGUAGUUAUAGAAUUACGCUUUCCUUCUUAUACGGUAGGUUUAAUGUAAAGGAUUACAAUUUGCAUGUAUAUCUGUGUCAGUUUGCACAUAAUUCUUUCAAACUUAAAUAGUAAAAUUUUUCUCCGACUGAUCACAUAUUUAUUAUACUCUCUUCUUUUUUGGUUUUUCCCCUCUCUUAUAGUUGCAUGUAUACUCUUUGGUUUGCUCGAUUCUCUUUCUUAGUUUUGAUACUCUCUAUCUCUCCCCCCUCCCUAUUAUGUAGGUUUGGCUUUCAGGAUUAUGAGUGGAAGGAAUUUCUUCCUCGACUGAAGGGUAAAACUGCUCGUGAAAUAAAAGAGUAUGCUUUUCUUUUAUCCUCCAAAUUAUGUCAUUGGAGUAAUCAACUUUUAUAUCUAUGUAUUGCUGUAUAGUAUCAUAUAUUAUGCCUAAGACUUUCCCAAUUAAAGUUAUUUGAUUCCAACUUGCCUAAGCUAACCAUUUUUUUUUUGGUUGACGCAAAUGAUUCAAGUUUAAGCAUCCGAUAGUCAAUGGGGAAUCCAUUAUUCUCUUUCUAUAUAUUAUUAUUCAAUAAAGUAAUGAUUGUGCUUGCAAAUGACUCAUUUGUGAGGAUUUCUUGGAGGAUUUCUUGGAGGAUCUACUUAGAAUCCAUGAUAAAACCAUCUAUUGCCAACACCUUCCAGUUUCCUUUUUGCAUAACCUGUGGAAGGAUCUGAUUGAAAUGGAGGAUUCCGUGUAUGAAAAUACUGUGUUUACAAUUGUUCCUUUUUUCUUCCAGGUAUCAAUGCUACCUGGUCCUUCUUAAGAAUCUUUGCAAUGUCUUCAUGUCAAUCAUUCCUACUGGAGUCUAAAUUUUAGACCAAUCUUAGCUUCCAGAACAUUUUGUUGGCAGUUAAGUAGUUUGACUCAAAAAUUUAAGUGCCCAUUGGCACGGGCCGUACCUACUGUACUGUAUCGUGCCAAUAAGAUAUCGGUACGAUAUAGCUCCCGUGCCGAUUGCACAGCUCAAAACCCUCUUUUCUUUAAAUUAGUAAGUAAUUUUCUCAAUAAAGUUCAAAAGAUUUGAUAAAGAUAUGAAAAUAAAUAUUUUAUAUCAUUAUAUGUCGGCACACAUGUAUUUUUUGUGACCGGCACGGUCCGGCACACACCAUAUCGUACUAUGCCGACAAAUUUUCGGCACGAUCCCGUACCACGACACUUAAAUCCUUAGACUUGCUUUUUUCAUUGAUCUAUAGAUUUUAAAAUAGUAGGUCAAACUUUGUUAUGGUCAUUAGAGAAUGAUAUUUCAUCUAGUAGAACUCAUGGAUUUAAGUGCCGUGGCAUGGAGUCGUGCUGGAAACUUGCCGGCACGCUUGCCGAUGCGUGCUGGUCACAAAAAAUAAAUGUCUGCCGACACAUAAUGGCACGAAAUAUUUAUUUUCUUUAGCAACAAAAUAUUCUAACGGUUUAUUAUGUAUCUUUAUCAAAUCUUUUGAACUUUAUUGAGAAAAUUAUUUACUAAUUUGAAGAAUAAAAGGUUUUGAGCUGUGUCAUCAGCACGGGGGCCGUAUCAUGCCUAUAUCUUGUUGGCACGAUACGGCACGGUAGAUACGGCCGUAGAUACGGCCCGUGCCAAUGGGCACUUAAAUCCUCCGUAGAACCCCAUGUGAAAAAUGGAAAAUAGUGGAAAAGGCGAACUUCUGAGUGUUGAAUGACUCUCAGAGCAUGUUUGACAAUAAUGAAGUUUCAUGAAGUUGGUUCUUUUCUGCGGUUGGGUUUAACCAAAAUCCCAACGAUAUACCACCAGAGGAAGUCAAAAAGCAUGAAAAUGAGGCACAUGUCCAGCAAGAUCUCACAAGUUCUGUAUGAUGCAAUUAACCGAACUCGUUACAUCCUAGUUCCACUCUAGCUAUCUCAAUUCGUCAGGAACAAAUGCACCCUUGAUUUACUUUUCUUGCGCAUAGAUGUCAGGCUCCCAAAACUAAACAUCAAUUUAAAUAGUUAUUUGUUACAUAAACUAAAAUGUUGUCAUAUACAUGCCGGCCGUUCAAACCUAUGAGCUCAGAUGUGGAUAGUACUUGUAAGCUUUCUGUGAUGAGAACAAUAUCUCACGAGAUAGGGUCUUCUCUUAGGACAAUGAAUUGCUUCACUUAGUUCUAAGAUAUAGGUAUCUCAAAUGUGAGUCUUGAUUAAUAUGGUCUGUCAUUCAUUUUCCAACCAAUUGGAUGGAUUUACUACAGAAGUAUAUAGAUCCAUCGAAAUUUGCUCUAUUUGUGCUCUAUACUUCAGUCUUUUAAGUGAAAGGUUUCUUUCUAUGACUACAGUGGAAGUAGAACCUCUAUAAGAAACAUGUUUGAUCUCCAUUAUGUUGUCAGGUUUACCCUUCUAUGAACUUGUUGGAUGGAAAGGAAAUUAAGCGUGGCGGACUAGUCUAAUAAGUUUCUGCCUUUUCCCUUUUUCUCAAACAAUUUUUUUGCUUUCUUCUCUUUGAUACUUCUUUAGUUCUGUGGUCUAGGUUGAGAGUUAUAGCAUUGUGUUCCUGAUAUUUUAUACUGCAUUAUUACUUCCAUGUUGUUAAGGAGAAAACUUUGUUUUUACGUUUUGAUGCAAAUUCUUUAGUUUAUGAUUCUGCUUUUCACAGAUAUGCAGCGCUCUUCAUGACUCACCUUCUUGAGGGUAUAAAUGACUCGGCUAACUUUUUGGGUAAUCAUGAGUAAUAUUCUCAUCUAUGUAAAUAUUUUCAUCUCAUUUGCAAUAGCAUUGUUAAUUUUUUAUUUUCUUUUCAAUUUAGAUGGUGUUCCAAAAGAAGGACUCCGCGUAGAUGAUGUAUUGGUCCGACUUGCAAACAUUAAUCUAAUAGAGGAGAAGGUAUGUCAUGCCUGCAUUAGUUUACUGUUUCUCUAGCAACUAUCAAUUCUGAUCCUCAUACCUUUUUUUUGGAUAGAUUCGUACGAACUUAGUGUUAUUCUAGGUAAUAGGUAGUUUUUGCAGUAGGACAUACAUAUUAUAUUGUGUAUGUGAUUGUAACAAUUGCCCUAUAUUGCAUUUAACAUAAUAGAUUCAUCGAUAUUGCAGGUGCAGUACAUGUCAGAAAACCCUGGCGCUAAACUCUUUCCUGAAAAUAUAAUAGCUCAUUUCCCUAGCUUGUUGUUUGGGAGAGUAUGGAAGGUGGAACAUGAUUUACUCUUAUUGAAAGCUAUGCUAAAGUAUGAACUUCAUCCUUCUUUUGCCUAUUCAUUUGAUAUCUUAAUAUUUCUAAUUUGUCAAAAUGGCAUCCACUUGGCCUAUCAUAUACUAAAUUUGUUCACGUAAUAGUCUUUUUUUUUGGGGGCAACAACUAUGAAAACAGAACCCUUUGUCCGCAUCUUGUUAUGGACCAAACCUGAUAAGUAAUGGUAACUAGGGACCUAGAUAUGGAAUAAUAUGUGUUCAGUCCUAUGCUGCUUUUUGCUUUGUAGUUUGUACCUUGUAAAACGCUUGGACCUCUGAAAUGCGAAUACCUCAUAUAGUUCAUUUCAGCAUCCAAAAUAUGUUUCCUUAAAUUUGGUCACUCUUCUUUGGCAUUAUAAAUUUCCUGUUAUGUCGCAGUUGAUGGCCAAUGAUGCAAUUGUUGAAGGUAUAUUGAAGUAUUCCCACUACAUCCUUAACCGUAUGGUUUUAUGCUUUUGGCCAUUCUUUUGGCAUCUUCUCAAAAUCCUAAUCUUGAGUGCUCUGUUCUGGAACCUGCUCGCCACCAUGCAUCCAAUUAUGUGCACAAUCCCUGAGCUGCAUAUUUGUUUAUAUUUUCCCUGUAUAGUUAUGUGCGACAUUCUGUCAUGUCUUUUCUAAGGACAUAGGGUAUAUAGUAAUACAAUGCUAUUAUUAGGUUGAGCACAUUCUCUUUCUCUGCUUGCUGUCAGUGCAAGAAGAAUAUAGAGAAAAUGAGAAAUUUUUUUUUGAUGUUUCUAUAAUUGUGUAGCCUCAGCUUAUGCAUAUUCUUGAAGUUAUAGCCCAUUUACUUCUUUAGACUCUCGAUGUAAUAUUUCUCCUUCCAAUAUCUUUGGUCCUUCUUUAGCAACACUAACUGUAGCCCCUUAGCUGCCUUAAUAACAUAGCUUACUCAAGAAACACUGGUGGUUCUUUACAUAGCAGCAUUUAAGUAUUAAAUGACUAAAGUAGACAAGAGGGUCAUGAACUUUAGGUAAUGCACCAACUUUUUGCAUCGGGUUGCAAAAUCAAAAUUUUCACAUUCUGUCAAUGUUUUUGACCAUCUUCCAGACCACGUCAACAUAGUCAACUAAACUCAACAUUCAACCCAUGUGAAAAUUUGUAUGGACUCGAUUUUGGCACUCAAUCAUAUUUCAGACUUGGUUCUCAUCCCCAGCAGUCCAAGCAAUAAAGCUUCUCCUUGCCUAUGCUGCAUCUUUCAGCACAGCUAUUAUAGUUUGAACUCAGGAUAUCUGUAAACCACCUCCUUUACUACACUGCCUCCUCUCACAACCCCUAGUUGCUACAGCUGCUAUAGUUAGCUCUCAAGAUUAUUUGGCUUCCCUCUGCAGUCUUUUGUUAAAUUUUGUAGCACCUACUUAUUUUGGUACUUUCAGGCAUGGCUAUGCAAGGUGGCAAUCUAUAAUGGAUGAUAAAGAUAACGGGCUUGCCGAUCUUGUUCGUCAAGAAUUGAAUCUUCCUUCUUUAAAUGGAAACUUUACAGACACUUCUCAGACAUUUGAGGGUGGGAAUUCUGCUUGCACCACUGCCAAUGUCAGUAUCUCCUUUCGAGUACCCAAUACUUUAGUCUACUAUAUAAUAAUGAAAGGACAAUGAAAUAUUUUUCGCUUCUUUUCUUGCAGGGAACUCCAGAAGCUGCCAAGGGAAGCCAGUUAGGUCCAGACUAUGCCACAUUGUAUCAAUACAGGGAACUACAACGUAGGAUGGUCGAGUUUAUAAGAAAGCGAUAUCAUCUUUUGGAGAAAUCCAUGAACCUAGAAUACGCUAUGGUGCGUUUCUUUUAUACUUCUAAAGGUCAAAGAUUUAAAGUACCUUUUUUAUUAUCUUUUUUUUUUUUUUUUUUUUUUGUUGGGGGCGGUGGGGGGUUCAUUGUCUAUCUGGCUAUGUUUGUUUCUCUAUUCUUUAGUUUCUGAAGCACCUGAAGAACACCUUUUGUUGCUUCUUUUGUUUCCUUAAAGAGUAGUGAAGCUUCAAGUUUUUUUUUCAGAAAAUUUGCAUGCCAUAUUUUUUUUCUUUUCCUUUUUUUUUGUCUUGUUCUGAUGACUGAUUCUCCGUAUUUUUGGCUCUUGGCAGAGUAUAACCAAAACUAAUGAGCUUACAGACCACGAUCAAGAUACUGAAUCAAAGGUUGCUGAAGAGCAGCAUACCAGCUCAAUGUUGAAGGAGUUGCCUGUUUUGGAACCAAUUUGUAAGUGAUCUCUCACUAUUUCUUUCUAAAGGAAACUCGAAUGAAUUCAAAUGUUGGAAAAUUUGGAAAUAAUUAUGUUAUUGAUCUUUUUGCUAAGGGCUGUUUGGUUUCACGUAAAACUGUGAAAAAAAAAAUUUGUGGAAAAAUUUUUUUGGAGGAAAAUAAAUUUUACACUCUUUAGCGUUUGGUUUGUAGGGAAAGAAAAUAGUUUUCCAUUACGAUUACGGUUGUUUGAUUGAAAGGAAAAAAAAAGGAAGAUUUUAUAAAUGGAAAAUUAUUAUAUGUAUUUUUUUUUCUUAUCUUAUAUAUUAUAUAUCAUUGCUAUAUAUAGUCCUGCUAUGGUGCUUUUAAAAGCACCAAGCAUUUGGUGCUUGUAAGUUUUCCGCCGUUAGAUCCACUCGUUAGAUCAUACUAUUCAACCAACCACCCACUCUAUUCUAGGGGACCAUAAUCAUCCUAACUGCACAUCUCUUAAUCCAAGGGUCUAAAACCUACAAGCACCAACGACUUGAUACUUUUAAAAGCAUAGGAGGUCAAUUCUAUAUAUAUAUAUAUAUAUAUAUAUAUAAGAGGGAGAGAGAGAGGUCCGCCGUGGACCUCUCUCAUGCAGUCCACACGAUGGAGCGGACCUCGUGGACCGCAUGCUGUAGCUCCCCAACGCGUUGUGCCCAACACCACGUGUUUUUGCUUUCCACUUGAAGAGAUCGGAAAACAAAAACCUCCGUUUUCCUUACAAUCUGUAAAAAAAAAAUUUCCGAGAAAUUUUUUUUACAAGCAACCAAACACCGGAAUGUUACUUCUCAACCAAAAAAAAAAUUUCGGGGUGAUUUUACCAGGAACCAAACACACCUUAAGUUGUAUAGAUGUUACUAUGUUAGUCUUCUUUCACAGAAUAAUUUCAGUAUGCCCAGUAAUGUGCGUCAAAAUCCUGGAGUACUACUAUAAGGUUGACAGUUAGAAGUUCAGUUAACAAAUGUUGGAAAAUUUGGAAAUAUUAUGUUAUUGAUCUUUUUGCUAAGUUGUAUAGAUGUUACUAUGUUAGUCUUCUUUCACAGAAUAAUUUCAGUUUGCCUAUUAAUAUGUGUCAAAACCUACGUAUCACGAACACUUUUAUAAGCCUUGCGUGUCCAUGUCAGACACGCGCAUGUCCGUUUGGACACGUGUCCGAUGUGGACACUCUUUGAACGCGCGUUUAAUGCCGAUCCAUAGCACAUACAAUUAAAAGAAAUAUAAACCUAUUUUUAUUUAUUUUUUCUAUGCAUAUAUAAUGUAAGAUAAUAAAUAUUUUAACUUUUUGAUGAAUGUAUAUAAUUUUUUUUGACAAUAUAAAUAAAUUAUGUGUGGUGGAGAAUUUUUUUUCUUAAAAUAUAUGAACUAUUAAUGAAAAUUUCACUAACUUUCAUUUGUAUGCGAAAUAUAAUAAUAUUUUACCAAAAUUAAUAUUUUAUAUAUAAUAAAAAUAUAUUAUUAUAUUAAUAUUAUUUUAUUUUAUUAGCGGUGUUCAUGCCGUGUCCGUGUUCUAAUUUUUUGAAAGUUGCCGUGUCGCGGUGUCCGAGUCGUGUCGUGGCCCGUGUCUCGUGUCAGUUUCCAUGACGCCUAAGUCAAAACCCCCGUGUACUAAUAUAAGUUUGACAGUUAGAAGUUCAGUUAACAAAUGAUGGAAAUUUUGGAAAUAAUAUGUUAUUGAUCUUUGUGCUAAGUUGUAUAGAUGUUACUAUUUAAGUCUUCUUUCACACAAUAAUUUCAGUAGGCCUAGUAAUAUGCUUCAAAACCCUGGAAUACUAAUAUAAGUUUGACGGUUAGAAGUUCAGUUAAUUUUUGUUCUUUAGGAUUCUGUUCUUAACUUUCUAUGUGUUAUAUCCUACUAAAAGCAAACAGUAUUAAAUGCUUUAUGUUUUAGGAUCCUACUAGAGCUUUUUUUUCUCCUCCAUACCUGUCUUCUGCUGUCCUCUCUGUUGCAUAGUUGUUUCUACUGUUUGUUAUUUUCUGAACAGUUAUUUGAUUUACCUUUGCAUUCUUCUCAUAGAUUGAAAGUCCUAGUUAUCUUGUCAUUUUUGAGAUAUAGGUUUCAAGUUCUUCACAAUCCAGUCCAUACAUGUAACUUGCACUGGUAUUGCGCAAGUCCUUAAAUCAAUUGACACAAUCUCUGUAAUCACCAUGACUUGUAACCACUGAAAAUAAAUCUCUGAAUCAUGAUAAAACACAUCAUAUGGUGAUAUACUGAUAUGUCUACUUAUUUCUUUCCCUAAUUUCCAAGCCUGCUAUCACAAGAUGGCAGCAGAUGGUGCAAAAAAAAGCUACAUGUGGUAAUAAAGAAGAGGAUCGAAGCGAGAGCAGUAGAAAAUAAAAUACGAUAAAAACUGAGUCAACUUGGUUAUGAGGAGAUAGGAGAAAACAGGAGGGCCGAUGGGGGGCCGUAGGCGAAGAUCAGGGAGCCUAUUGGCUGACUAUGGUGAUCGAAAACAUUUUAUAUCUGCCAACCUUGUUGAUUGUUGUGAUGAUUUUUUUCCAUUCUUUUUGGAAUACUUUGUUUAUGCCUUCAGAAAACCCACUAAUUGCCGACAUCACGUGGGAUAUACUCUCAAACCUGCUUUUGGUGCAGUUUUUCUUCAAUUAAGUUGCAUAGGGAAAGAGUAAUUCCUGGGCUCCGUACUUUUUCUUUUUCGUUUUCUUUUACCUCGUGAGAUGUCUAAUAUCUCCAAGGGUUGGAGCUUGCUAACCAGAGUCCCCUUUCCAGCUGUUGAUGAACCUGCCAACAAUCUCAAGCCUGAUAAUGUAGAAGCAGCUUUGCUUUAUAAUAAGGUAUUUAUAAACAGUUUUAAUUAGUCAGAUUACAUCCACUCCUUCCCCAUUUACUAUUAAUAAGUGCAAUCCUUUUAAUGAUUCCAGCUAUGUAAAGUAGUUGAAGACGGCGAAACUGACUUGCUCCACUCACAUCUUGGGGACAAGAUUGCGGGUUCCAGGUUACAGGAUAAUCUCCGCCAACUCGAAUCGGCAUGUGAAGAUUUAUGCCGGUUUCUUUCAGUGCAAGAACAGACUGUUAAUUCUGCAGAAGCAGUAAAUGCCGAUGCUGCUGAUCGGAAAGCUGGAGCUAAAGCAGCAUCACCAGCUCAUGCGUCAACUUCUGCGGCGGAAGCUAUGGAUUGUUCAUCGAACGAAGUGGAUGACGUCAAAACAGUGGAUAAUUUAACGGAGAGGGUGACAGCUGUCGAUGAAUGAGUGAGAUUCUCCUUACAGGUGGUAUUACGAACAUUCCUGCUAAUUGAAUCUAACUGUUGUUGUGUAGGAUAAAGCUUUCCACUUCUGAUUUCUAAUAUACUAGUUCCAUAUAAACUCUUUUUUCGCCGGAUUAAAAUAUCAGAUCAGUUUCUCUUUUCUUUUUCUUUUUUUGUUUAUUUUGUUGUAGCCAAUCAUGGCAUAAUCUGAAUGGUUUUGUAGAAUCCCAUGCGAUAUGUAUUACGAAAUAUUAUAGUUUCCUUAUUAUUGUUAAUUUUGUUCUUCAUCUUUGUAGGUAAGAUAAAUGCCCCCGCAAAUCACAGGAUUUGUGAGUUUUAGUUUACUGAUGAUUUCAAUAUGUGAUCCUUGUAGUACAACUGCUCAGGACCAUUUUCUAUGCACGCAGUUUCCUGCAAAUGUUAUGUGAUUUCCAUUGUUUUCAGAGCUUAAAACUGUAGGCCGUUUUGAAACAACUUUAGUUCUUUUUUUUUUCUCUCUUAUUGACAACUUAAGAUGCUUUUGAUUUGAAAUGUUUUCCUAAAUCAAUGGCUCCACUAGCUAGGUUUUUCAUUGACACUUGACAGCUCCUUUUUUCCUUUGAUAUUUUUCGAUUUUCCAAAUUGAGUGGGGAUCUGCUAAAAUUAACGACUUUGCUAGCUAUUUUUCUUUCAUCGACAUUUCCUUGGACUUCAAUUCUUUUCUUUUUUUUUUCAAUUUGAAAUGUCUUCCUAAAUUGAGUAGGAUUUGUUAAAAUUAGCGGCUCUACUGUCUGUCAGACAAUGAUAAUUACUAGAGACUUACGAUAUAGUCUGCUUAUUAAACAUUAAGAAUAGUCGAAUUAGACAAGUUUGCUGCUAAAUUGAAAAAAUAAUCUAGUAAAUAAAAGUAUGUUAAACUAAAACGUUAACGUUAACAGAUGAUCAUGAGAAGAAAAAUAGUUAAAAGAUUUCCCAUCUUUAAAGUCUAACUGUGAUGGUAGCCUAAGAACUUUUUUCUGAAAGUAAGCUUGCUGCCCCGUAAACAUUUAGUAAUGUGUUAAUUGGUUUAUUCCAUUAUCCGGUAUUAAAUUUGUUAACAAAAGGCUAAGGAGUAGACACAAAAAAAAAAAAAAAAAAAAAAAAAAAAAAAAAAAAAAAAAAAAAAAAAAAAAAAAAAAAAAAAAAAAAAAAAAAAAAAAAAAAAAAAAAAAAAAAA
rnacentral:lncRNA from 1 species